GGAUUUUCUAGAACUUCAAAAUGAUUAAUGGAGAAAGAUCCCAUUAUCGUUAUUGCUAUAAGAAAUUGAUUUAUGCAUCCAAAGAUACAUUAUAUAUUUCUGUGUCUCUAUUUAUAGAUGACAUUUAAGCAUCCAUAAACCGUCAGACAGAGGAAGGGGGUUCAGUGCAAAGAUUCUGUUGACCUAGGGUUGACUGCAUAAUGUCACUUGUUCGCAAUCUAUUAUUUAUUUUAUAUUUUGAAGAAUUUAAUGGGUAAUCCUAAUUGUUUGUUUUGGCAGGUAUGUGUUGUUUUCUCCUUCUAUCUAACAGUCGUACCUAAAUAGCAUAGUUUCAUCUGUGUUACCAUGUGAUGUACAUAAUUUCACAUUUGCCUCAGAUUAAGCUUAAUUUCCCACAGAAUAGAGCUGUCGCGACUGGACUUAGGUUGAUGUCCAAAGAGGUAAAUUAUUGGCAUGCCUAGAUAAUUUGGCCAUUUCCUAAUUCAUAAGUCUACAUUAAUUUUGAUUUUGAGUUGACUGAUUUCUUUUCAAGGUCUGCUUCCUUAACGGAGUGACCAAUGUUUUUCAACUAAAUUUAUCAUAUGAUGCAGGAAGCAGGGCAGGAUAUGAAAUGAGAAGCUCAUUGGUGGAAGUAUUGCCAGUAACAGAACCCAAAGAAAAUGAAACUAUUUCAAGGCAGCAGUUGGCAGUUGCAAGUGAAUGGAGGCCCUGACAAAAUUCUCAAGCGGUUGCAAUGCAAUUACGAUCAUCCUCAGCCUCAGGUAAUUUCUUCUCCUGCUCUGUUUUUAUUUGUUAUCUAAUUAAAAAGCAUAAAGUAUCUUGAAUCACUUUCUCUAUCUGGAAUAUAUGCAGCAGUUUCUAAAAUCUUCAUAUGAGUGUAAUGAUGGUAAUUUCUGUUUUUUGUCUGUCAUUGAAUGUUAGACAACUUUCAGUGAGACUCUUGAACCGAGACAUUUUUGACAACUGAAGGACAAUUGCUGAAGAGUCGGAAUGGUGCUAGAUUGGGGAAUAAAGACAAAGGAGGUAAAUUAUUUGCAGUUUAUUCAGCAUUAUUUGCUUUGGACCAGCGCCUGAUUCACAAGUCUCCAUAAUUUGGCUUUUGACCAGUUAAUAAAUUUUUAAUUCCAUUGGUGCUAAAUGUACACGUGAAGCAGGCAGAGCAGGACUGUGGAAAUGAGAAGGUUUUUAGUGAAAGCUUAAACUCAGGUAAUUCUAAAAAGUACAUGUUUUUGCUGAUUUAUCUAAAUCAGGAAAUUUUAUUUCCAUCUGUUACAAGAUAAAACAGAAACAGAACACAAAGAAAAAUAUUCUACUUCUUGUGGCAAUCUUGCCUUCAUUCAGACAAUGAAACCAUUUCCUUUCACCAAUUUCUUCCAAAAGUUUGAAUAAGUUUCAUGGGUGGACCUAGUUAGCUUCUUUUUCUUUUGGUGCAUUUAGGUCCUAUCAAGUGACAGCCAUAAGUAUGAUUGCAUUAUUGGGAAAUUUUAGGUUUGGAUGGCUCCCCAUGUUAUUGCCAAGAAAGUCCUCAUGUCAGAAGCUGCGGUUCUUUUCAUCAGCCUGAACCCGAACCUGUCGUUAUGGAUAACUCAGGUUUUUGUCAUCAACUAUAUCAUCUUUUUUACUGUUUUGAAACUCUUAAGAUUAAACUUCAGUAAAGUUGUUUCAGUUAUCCAUGUAAUCAGGCUAAGGAUAUUUAGCAGCUUAUUUAGGCAACUGCCAGAAUUCAGUUUGUUAGCUCGAAACUUGUAUGGUGACAAGGAUACUGGCAAGGAUAGUGAGAUAGUUUUUUGUGUGAGUGAAAUUUGAAAGCUUGGGUGUUCUGGGAUUUGCAAUUGCAAUCAUCCUCUGAGUCAGGUGAUUUCUUCACCUGCUCUGUCUUGAUUUUCUCUCUAAUUGAAAGCAUAAAGUAUUUCAAUCAAAUUCUGUACCAGGAAUACGUAAAAGUUACUAAUAUUUUAUUUCCAUCUGUUUGCAUUGAUAACUCGGCGGCAUAUGUUCUAGUUAAAGAACAAACAGAAACAGAGUUCAGGAAAAAGUUUCUUCGGCCACCAUAUUUGAAAAUGAAACCAUUUCCAGGAAGCAGUUGGCAGCAAAUUCAUAUGGAGUGUAGACAAUGAUGAGCAAAAAGGUGAUUCGCAAUUUCUUUUUUUUUUUAAGUGAAAUUAUUUGUUAGAUUGAAGCUGAUAUUGUAAGAAGGCCAUUGAGCUAACCUAUGUCGCCACUUGCCUAGAUUGCAGGGGGUCAAGACUCAAAAGAAGCACUGAAAUUUAAAAAGCAUGCAAUAGUUCUUUUGCCAUGUGUCAAUUAAUGCAAGUUUGAAUAAGUUUAUUGGCUGAACGAUGUUAGCUUCUUUUCCUUUCGUGCACUUUGGUAUGCUAUCAAGUGACAGCCGUAUGUAUGGCUUGCAUAUAGCUGCUGCUGGGAAAAUUGACGAUUUCAUGGCUGGCCGUGUUAUUGUCUUAAAUUAGUUGUGAUAAGCUGUUGCUUGGAGAUUCUGUUGCCAAGAAUUUGCUCACAUCAGAAGCUGUGGAAUCUGAACCCUUCGAUUCUGUUGCCAAGAAUUUGCUCACAUCAGAAGCUGUGGAAUCUGAACCCUUCGUUAUGUAUCAUCUUUUUCAUUGUUUUAAAACAGUAAACUCUCAGGACACUGAGCAGGCAAAUGUUAUAACUCGGUUUGUUAGCCAAAAACUUGUUGAAGAUUCUUGACAAAGCUGCGUCGAGUGAAUUGUCGGAGCUCUGAGGGUGAGAGAAAUUAGAGGGUGUAUAGGGAUUUGGAUUUGUUAGGAAGUUAUCAUUUUUAUUUGUCCGAUUCAAAACUUGAUAUUCCAAUUAUAUUCAUAAGCUUCUACAGUUAUCUUCAAAAAGACAUUCCAAUUAUAUUCAUAAGCUUCUACAGUUAUCUUCAAAAAGACAAAUGGAAGGCUUUGAACGGCUUGGGUCUGAGUAUUGUAGUUUGAUUUAUUUUGAUGAAAGAACCUUUUGACAUUAAGAUUCUUUCAUGAGUUAAACAUUCUUUUUAAAACCAACUUAUUAAAAAAAAAGUAACGAACAUAUAUUAUUUUGUUAGUGCUUUUUAAAUCAAAUAUAAAAAAGAGAACUGUAAUUCUUAGCAACCAAUUUUUCAUUGAGUACACCUACAACAAAUUAUUAAAAAAUAAAGCGAUAGAAAAUGCCUGAUUUUUCGUACUUUCUAAUUACUUUUGGUCCUAAAAUAUGGCGAUUUGUGUAAUAAUAAGCCCAUGUAUAUCUUUAUGCCAUUAGUUUGAUAAAUAACUAUCAAGGAUAACUUAUUAAGCUAAAAAUAUUUGAAGGAUAAAAUGGGAAAACUAAAAGGGUGGAGUAAUAAAGUUAUUUAAGAUUACAUAGUAAGUUAACUAUAUUCGAGGGAUAAAAUAUUAAAACUUGAAUAGUUAUAUUAAAAAUAUCUCGGCUAUUAUACUAUUAAACCAUAUGCCGUAAUAAUGUUUUUUUUCAAACUUUAAAAAAUUCAGGAUUUUAAAUUAAAACAUGGAUUUCUUUAAGAUGCUAUAUGUGUUUUUACAGUAUUGAUAGUGGGAUUAGUGUGUACCCUUAUAUGAAAGAGUUUUAAUCUGAAUCAUUCAUUUAAUAUAAUAGAUAAUUAAAUAAUUAAUUAAAAUAUAGCAGGUAACUUAUAGGUUGCAGGUAAAAAAUUAAUUUUUUAAUUUUAAAUUAAAAUUAAUUUGGAACAAAACCAUCCACACCCCUAAGGUUUACUUAAAUGAUCAUAUAAAUCCCUUUAGUUUCUACAUAGUUAUACAGACCCUCUUAAUUUCAUAAAUUAUUAUUAUACUUUUAAUUAAAACAACCUAAAUGAAUAUAAAUAUAGUAAUAGGAUAGAAAUAAUAAAUAAAUAUCAGAUGAAACAAAUAAAAUAUUACAAUAAAUACAAUUAAUUAAAUAACAUGUAUGAUGAAAAUUUUAUUCAUAUUAAGUUAUUAUUAGUCUAUCCCGAUGGAUUUACUCAAAUCAAUUAAUCCAAAAUUUAAUUUUAAGAUUGAUAUUAAUAUGGACAUAAUUAAAUAAGAUGUUGUAAUAUAUACUACUUUGAAUGUUAAGUAUAAUUAUCUAAUAUUAUUAGUAUGUGAAAUAGAUUUUAAUAUUAUUAAAGAAUAUGACAAUAUAUAAUUUUGAAUUAAAUUUUUUAGUAUUCAUGAUAUUUUAUAAAUUUUAUGUGAUUUUAUAUAUUAUAUUUUUUAAUUUUAAUGUAUUAUAUAUGAUCAUUUAAGCAAAUUUUGGAGGUGCGGUGGUCUUUUCCCUAUUAAUUUUGUAGCAUAUUUAAAGUGUUAUAUCAUACAUGAUACAUCACACUUUUGUUAAAGUGUUAUGUUAUUAAAAAUUAAACUUUGCAUUUAUAAUAUACUACCAUUUUAAUGUAAAGGUAAUAGAAAAUAUGAAGAUAUUUUUAAGUAGUCAAUUGUAGCUUUCUUUUACAAAAUAGCAGUAUAGAAAUACAAUUGGUAAAAUGUAAUAAAAAUGGUAUGGAAAAAAGUUAGUAGAGGCAAUUAUUCUUGUAGUUGCUAAAACAUAUGAAGUGACACACACACACACACACAUAUCAAGUACUUGUAUGUUCCCCUAACUUUUAUUAAUGGGAAGGAAAUUAAAUUCGUAAUUUUCCCGGUGAAUUAUGAAUUGAUAAAUGAAAUAUAAAUAUUAGUAAAAAUUAAUUUGUCGACUAAAGAAGUAAACCAUAUUUUAUGGGCAUUUAAUACAUUAAUUUAAGGUCAAAUGAGAUAAUAUCACAUGAUAUUUGAUACAAGAGUCCAAUUUUCAACAUUUGCAUAUAGUUUCUAAGCUAGUAAUCUAAUAAAAUAUACCAAAUGAGAAAUUGAAGGCUAUUAUUUAUAUUUCACCAUUGGACAAACACCAUACAUUAGAAUAAAAAAAUCUCACAGUAGAGACGGCAUCUGUUUGCAUGUUUUGAAAAUAGAUUUUGAAAUUAGUUUAAUUACAUGAUAAUUAAAUUAUAUUAUAAAAUUAAGAAUAUGAUUUAAGUACUAUUUUAGCAAUUUUGAGUCUCACAUUGAGUAUUCAAGUUAAUUAAAUGUUGAAACUCUUUUCUAUUUGGCUUGAAAUCACUACUAAAUAAAAUUACAAAAAGUCAAUAAUGAAUGAUGUAGGACACAUAUGUAAAAUAAAUUUUAAAGUGUAAUUAAACAUUCCUAUCAAUAUUAGUUUUGCAUACAUAUUCAUAUAUUUUACCGAAACCAUAUAUAAUUAAAUUUUGUGUAAUUAAGUAAAAUAUAUUAUUCAAGUGAAUUUAUGAGAAUAUUUAAAAUUGUAGGGGUCGUCACUGAAAUUUGCCAAACUUGAGCCAACCGUGCAUGAUCCAAACAGUUUAUUUUAAUAAUUCUCAAUAUGUUAGUCUGUUUGACUGUUGGCAAAAUAAAUUCCUAUCAGCAAUGCAACACAAUUCAAAAUCAUAUCUGCAUACAACGAACAAUAUCUCAUGAAAGAUCAAAUUAUACAUUUUUUACACCAAACCAUAAAUAUCUAAAUUGUCCCUCUUCAACUCACCAAGCUCAUACCUAACAACAGCAAGAUUAAAUGUCAUUUGAUCCAUCUUUUUUAUUAAGCUUUAUCAAUUCUUCUCAUGGUUGCAAUUUUGAAAGCUCGCUUCGCUAUUUCCAUUUGCUUUUAUGCUUUGUUUGAGCUCCAUCUUUUCUCUCCAUCUACAUUUUACACUGUAAAAAAAAUUUUAAAAAAAUUACAAAGCUUCUUAUGCUAGAAUAUGAGCAACAAUAUAAAUAAUAAACAAUAAAGUUAUGAUAGCACAGCAUGCUCAUUAAAGUGCUUCUUUUUUUUUUUUUUCAACAAGAAAUUACUACUGAAUUAAAGAUUUGGCUUUGCAUUAAGGUUUGCCUUCAAUAACUCAACUCCCCACUUGGGUUUUGUCGUUUUCUUAAAAUCUCUGCUCAAUCAAUUUAAAGAUCCUUUUUUUUUUCUUUCCAAAGAUCUAAAAGCAAUGUCUUUUAUUGGUACCCAACAAAAAUGCAAGGUCUGUGAGAAGACAGUUUGUCCAGUUGAGCAGUUAUCUACUGAUGGGGUUGUUUAUCACAAGUCUUGCUUCAAGUGCUCUCACUGCACUGCAAAGGCACACUCAAGCUAAGCAAUUACUCAUCCCUGGAAGGUGUUCUUUACUGUAAGCCUCACUUUGAGCAGCUUUUGAAGGAGUCGAGUAACUUCAACAAGAAUUUCCAAUUACCUGCAAAGUCAGCUGAGAAGUUAACUCCUGAGCUGAAAAGGUCGCCUAGCAAAGUUGACAGCAUGUUCUCUGGGCCCAAUAAAAAUGUGCUUCUUGCAGUAAAACAGUGUGUCCGUGGGAGAAGGUAGCAGCGGAAAACCAAGCCUCUCACAAGACAUGUUUCAAGUGCUCACAUGGUGGUAAUUCCAUUAGCCCGUCAAAUUACGCAGCCCUAGAAGGCAUCUUGUAUUGCAAACAUAAUUUCUCCCAAUUGUUCAAGGAAAAAGGCAGCUACAACCACCUUCUAUCAAAUCUGCUUCCAUGAAGCGUGCUGCAGUCUCUGUUCAAGAAGCUUGAACAUGUUAUGUUAUCUUCCAUAAAUCUUAUUUGGCGUGGGUUUUCUCUGGCUUGAGGGUGUGCUUUCUAUUUUGAUCCCUCUUGUUGUUUUUGCGGGGAACUACCAAACCUUCGGUUCCCUCUGCUUCUUUGGAUCAUCUUUGUUGGGACAAAUUUCAUGUAAUUAGAGAUACUGAUUUAUGGGAGGCAUAAUCCCAUGGUUGUAAAUUGACCAUUUUCUGGCAAUGUUCUUUUUAAAAAGAGAUGAGCAGUUGUUUAACAAAAAAAAUAGCUGGCCUUCAUCAUGGUAUGUUACCAAACUGCUAUGUAUAGCUGCUAACUAUGAGCAUCCGAAAAUAUGGUGCAUCGUGAUUCAUGUCGUGCAAUAUGGCUACCAACGCAUCCUAAAUGGAGUAUUACUCAGUUAGUCAGCAAAAUAAGACAACAGUAAGAUAUUAAAAAAAUAAAAACUACAUUAAUAAGUGGGCAAGAUCAUGCCAGUUUAACUUUUCGCGCGUCGCUGCUGGAGAUAAUCAAAUCGGGGCAGAGAAAAGGAGAAUGGAAUCAGAGGCUAAGAUUAAUAAGUGGGCUUCUGCUUGCUUUGCCCCUCUUUCUUAAACGAUUGGUAGACUGCUGCUUCCACCGAUUAACCGGGUCUUCAACCACUGCUUUUAUUGCCUGCCAUCUUGUUGUUUGUCGAAGGGAUGAAUUCGAGUCGAAAAGAGAAAGCGCGCUGAAAAAGACAAAUCACUAGUGGUUAACUACUGACUCAGCCAAGUGUUGGCUUCACUUGAUUCACCGAUUGAGGUUAUUUUGUCUUCUAUCUAAUGCAGCGAAGAAGCUUUACUGCUUAACAUGCUGCAAUGCAACUUUAUCUUUUGAAGUUCACACUUCAGGGCUGCGCACUUUAUGUAAUCCUAUGAGUAAAAAGAAUUUAUUUUCAAAUGUGAAAAAAGAAAAUGUAAGGUAGUAACUAAAUAUAUUAUAGCAUCAAAGUAAGAUUUGAUAUGAAUUUAGUACAACAAAGAACAUUAAAUCUGUGAUUCCUUGUCUAAUGUCACCAUCGAGCAACAAAUUUAAAAGCCUACCUAUCAAAUACACGAGGCAAUAAACGGAGAAAAAGUUGAAUUACAAGAACAAGUUUACAAUUCUUGUCAAUGGUUAAUGAUUCGUGAAUUGAGAUAGCAUUCAAGAAUCCAAUUUCAAUACAACAACGUAAAAGAUAAACAGAUGAUGAAUUUUAUGAGAUAAAGAAGGAGAUUGUGUUUUAUCGUAUCUCUAUUUUCUUUCCAUUUAAAUUUAAAAUAAGCUUUUCAACCGGUUAUAAUAUUUUUUGAAAUAAUUAAAUAUUUUUAUUAUUAAAAAUAAUGUGUACCGUUGAUUACAUCUAACGCUACAUAUUUCUUACACUAUUAAUACCGUAAAAAAAAUCAUAGAGGGACCCUUAAAACAUUUUCAUUUGAAAUUAUUUGGUGAAGUGAAAAAGUUAAGAAAGAAAUAGUUGUCCCUUUGGUCAUUUCACAAAAAUGAAAGCCCCAUAUAACAUGGACUUGAAUGGAAGCCCAAUUGUUGUGUUUGAUUUCAAGCUUUAUCGGACCUUUGGACCUGGAUACUUUACUGCGGCCUCUAAGCGCUACAAAUUUUUUUUUUGGGAUAAAAGGCGCUUCAAUGAAAAAGCACUUUAAAACUUUGGAUUUUGCCAAAACUUCAAAGCGGUUGGUCCAGUUACGGUGUUAUGCUAACGGGUUUAAAGGUUCCGAUCCAAUGAGUUAGGGUGGAAUAUGAAUAUAUAAAUCCUAGUCAUGUAAGGACUAGGAUUUGUUUGUUCAUAUCAAGAAAAAAAAUCUGAAAAUUUGAUGAUCAGAAGAUAAAAACACUUAAACACGUUUAUUACAGAGAAACAAACGACAACAUGAUGCUAGUAGUAAUUUUAUUUUUCUUUUAUUGUGUAACGUGGACCAAAAAAAAGGAAAUGAAUUUAAUAAAACCGUCAUUCCGCAAUAAUAAUGUACCAGCCUGGUUUUUAUAAUCCAUACCAUCCUGAUAUAAUUAAACACCAUUAAUAAUGUACCAGCCUUUAAAUAGUAAUUAAUUUAUUUAUCUAAUUCACCAAAUGUCAUUUCCGGUACAUAUCUCCUGGUAUCAAGAAGAGGCAGAACCCAAAGAAACGUUUCUUGUAUCUUCAUAUUUGUGCGAAUUCAUCCUUUCAUUGAGAAUAACCAUUUCCAGGCGGCAGUUGGCAAUCAAUUCAUGCGCAAGUCGAUGCUAUUCAUAGAUAUUAAAGACAAUGAUGAACCAAAGGUGAUAAAUCAUAAAUGCAUAAUUACCAAACCUCCAUCCUUCUCUCAUUAUGAUUUGAUUUUAAAUGAAUUAUUGCUUGGUAACAUUAUUUCCAACCAUUGCAAGAUUAUUAUUAUUUUUUUUUGGGGAGAAAUUUCAAUUGAAAGUGAAACCUUUAGACAUUUACCUAAUGAAGUUAGUUAAUGGGGAGGGUUGGAAAAAUUCCCAAGCCGUUGCACAGCAAUUACGAUCAUCCUCGGCCUCAGGUAAUUUCUUCUCCUGCAUUUUUGUUAUUUGCUAUCAAGUGACAUUCGUAAGUAUGAUUGUAUUAAGCUGCUGCUGGGAAAUAUAAGGUUUUGAUGGCUGCCCAUGCUAUUGUCAGAAGCUGCGGUUCUUUUCAUCAGCCUGAACCUGGACCUGUCGCCAUGGAUAACUGAGGUUUUUUUUUUUUUAAAUCAACUACGUCAUCUUUUCCACUGUUUUGAAACUCUUAAGAUUAAACUUUAGUAAAGUUGUUUUAGUUAUCCAUGUAAUCAGGCUGAGGAUACUUAGCUGCCUAUUUAGGCAAAUGUCAGACUUUAGUUUGUUCGCUGGGAACUGGUGUGGUGACAGCGUCCUGGCAAAGGAUGAUGAGAUAGUUUUUUGAUUGAGUAAAUUUUGGGGGCUUGAGUAUAUUGGGAUUUGCAAUUACAAUUAUCCUCUGCCUCAGGUGAUUUCUUCUCCUGCCCUGUCGUUGUUUGUUCUCUAAUUCAAAAUUAUAAAAUAUUUCAUCAAAUUUUAUGCCGGGAAUAUGCAAAAGUUUCUAAUAUUUUAUUUCCAUCUGUUUGUCUUGAUAACUUUGCAGCAUAUGUACUAGUUAAAGAACAAAUCGAAACAGAGUUCAGUUAAAAGUUUCUUCUGCCGUCAUAUUUGAAAAAUGAACCCAUUUCCAGGAAGCAAUGGGCAGCAAAUUCAUAUAAAGCGUAGACAAUGAUGAGCAAACAGGUGAUUCACAUUAAUGAAAUUAAUUGUUUGGUUGGAGCGGACAUUGUUAGAAGGCUAUUGAGCUAACCUAUGUCACUACUUGCCUAGAUUACAGGGGGUCAAAACUCAAAAGCGGCAUUGAAUUUUAAAAGGCAUCCAAUAAUUCUUGUGGCCAUAUAUCAAUUCAUGUAUGUUUGAAUGUAAUUAUUGGUGAAGGGGUUUCACUUCCCGUCUCUAAAUAAAAAUACUGAUUCUUUAAGGUACCUGCCACUAGGGAUUGCGAGAUUAAUGAGUCUUUGGACAUUGGAAGAGCUCCUUGUGAGUGGAGGAGGAGGUGUUGAUGGUAGCAAAGCAUGUGGGCAGUGGGCUUGAAUCUCUAAAAAACUUGGAACUCCUCCAAGCGUAAGUAUACGUAUACUGGGAAAUUUGUUAGAUGUGGAUGAGGCUAAGAGAUUAGAGCUUGACAAAAUGAAAUACCUCUUUCAUUGAGACUUAAAUUUGAUGGGGAAGAAGAAAAAGAAGAGGGAAGGAGGAAGAAUGAGGAUAAUCAACUUGUUCUUGAAGCCUUGCAACCACCUCUGAAUUUGAAGGAAUUAGAGAUUUGGUCAUACAGAGGCAACAUUGUUUCCCCCCGGAUGAUGCAAAAAUUGAAGGAAUUUACCAAUCUAAGGAGUUUGACACUCUUUAAAACUGCAAAAAUUGAGAGCAGUUGCCUCCUUUGGGAAAAUUGUGAUCCUUUGAAAAUCUCAGCAUAUUGUACAUGGAGAGUGUGAAAACAGUGGGUAAUGAAUUUCUGGGAAUAGAAAGUCAUCUUCAUGACUCAUCUCCAUCUUUAUCAGUUAUUAUUGCCUUCCCCAAAUUGAAAUCACUUUCAGUUGAGGGAUUGAUGGAAUUGGAGGAGUGGGAUUAUGGGAUUAAAAGAACAGGAAACACCUUCACCAACAUUAUGCCACGUCUUUCUUCCUUGGAAAUUAGUGUGGGGUUAUGGGAUCGCACAACCACGUUGAAGGUAUUGCAGAUUGUGGCAUGUGGUACUCUAAGAAGACGUUGCAGACAGGGGAGAGCAGAAGACUGGCCUAAGUUCUCUCACAUUCUAGACAUCAUGAUUGUGUGAAAAGAGGCCCUUGACAAAAUUCUCUAGGCGGCUACAUGGAGUACAAUCAUAAAAUGCUAAUGUGGCCACCCUGGUUCUUAAUUAAGGUUGUGAAAUAUUAUUGUAAAAGAUGAUUAAUUCAAUUUGAGUCAUUCGUUUGCUUUGAUAAUGAUAGUAAUUUUAUAUUUUGACAAUUUGCAAGGUGAGAAUGGUGCUGAUUGGUGAUACAGGAUACGGUUCAAACACCAUUGAAUAAAGCUACGGACAUGGUGGCUCAACUUAGCUAUUGCUGUCAAAAUUGGUAAGUUGGCUUGUCAAUGUAUUGAUGCUUUUGUUUUCUCUCAACCCUAAUUACCUUACCUUCAUUUAGUUUGGCUUUGGAGUUGAGUAAUAACUUUCAAGGUUCUCAAACAGAGCAGGACAACCGAAAAAAAAAGCUUAAUUUGCUACUGAUCACGUGUUACCAAUUAUUAAGGUAAUUCUCGUUUACUUGCUUCUACACUAUAGAGUACGUGUUCUGGCUGGUUUAUCUAAUUCAUCAAAUGUUAUUUCCUUAUUGUUCCAUUGAUAUAUUUGUUAGAAAGUGAAACCAUUUCCAGGCAGCAGUUGGCAGUGAAUUCAUGCAAAUGUUGAUGCCAUUCAUAGAUAUUGAAGACAAUGAUGAGCCAAAGGUGAUAAAUCAUUAAUGCAUAGUUACCAAAACCUCCAUCCUUCUCUCAUUGUAAUUUGAUUUGAAAUGAAUAAUUUCUAGGUAAUUGAAGCCAAUAUUGUUAGAAACGGUGUUGAGCUACCCAAGCUAAGAAGUUGGCUGCCAAAAAAUGCAGGGGAUCAAAAGAAGCAUUGCAUUUGAAAAGGAAUGAGAUUCUGGUUGCUACAUGUCAAUUCGUAGAAGUUUCAAUAAAUUUAAUGGUUCAAGAUUUUAGUUUCUGUUUAAAUUUGUGCUACUGCAGUGCUGCAGUGCUGCUACUGGGAAAUUUAAAUCCCAUAUUAGACUUUCCUCACAUAAGAAGCUGUGGAUCUUCGGACAUCAGGUUUUUUCACAGUUCUGAAACUCUCAGGAUUAAACUCUAUUAAAGUUGUUGUAGUUGUCUACGUUCUCAGGUCAAGGAUUCUAAGCUGCCGAUUAAGGCAAAAUGUCAGAAUUCCCCUAUUAUUUUUUUUUUCAUGUAAAAUUAUGUUGUUGUCUUCGCCCAUGAAUCUUAGCUAAAUUCUGAACCAAUUGUUUGCUAUUAUAAAUUUCAUUGUUAAAUAUUAAUUGUGAUGUUGGUGUUGAGUUUCUUUUAAAGUCAGAGAAGCCUGACGAUUGAGUUCCAUGGGAUUCUGAGAAGCAGUAAUAUUUUGAACAAGUGAAGGUUCUUCGUUUUUACAGUAUGUGCAGAUGUCUAAGAGGCAGGAUUUUUAUUUCUGUAAUGCUAAAUUUCGCAAAACAAUAAAAAUAAAUAAAUGCAUGACAGUGACUUCAAGAAUUUAGAUUAUUGAAUUUGGUCAUUUUAAAAUUGUUGGAAUGUUGAACUUAAGUAAUUUUUAUAAACCAGAGCUCAGAAAUGUAGAAUAUAAAUAUUGGAGAUUUGGACUUCAAUCAUUAGACUUGAAGCUAAAGAGGUAAGCCAUUAAUUAUAUCAAAGGAUUUGGAAAAUGGAGGGAUUGGAAAAAGGAAACAUUUUCAUAAACUUCAAGAGGAACGUCACAGAAAGGGGUAAAGAGAAGAGUAGCCUAAGAUAUUAAAGACAAUGUUGAGCCAAAGGAAACAUAAAUCCCAACCAUUGCAUGUGAACAUGAUCACAAUAAGGUCAAAAACCAUUUUUUUGAGAAUUUUCAAUUGAAAGUGAAACCUUUUGACAUUUACCUAGUAAAGUUAGUUAAACGAGAGAAAUAAAGGGGAAAAGAAAAGUUGACUCAAGUCAAUACAGAAUAAUUAGUUCAAUCUGGAGUAACUAAAACAGAGCCACUAUAUUUUCAAAAAUAUCUGCAUUCAUCACCUUCUCCUCCAGCUAGUGAGCUACACACGAAUCCUUUCCUUUUAGCAUUUUUGCAGCAUCAAUUUCUCCCCUCGUUUGUCAUCAAUUUCUCCCUUCGUUUCACCAAUACCAUGGCUGAUGCAAUCGUUUCCCCUCUCUUGGAGCAGCUGAUUAUCUUUGCUGCUGAAGAGUUGAAACAACAGGGGAAGCUGGUGAGUGUUGGAUGAGUGGAUCACAGCAUGCGCCAAAUCGCAAAAUAGAUCAAUGCUCUUGGUGCUCCUUAUCUGAAGAAGAAGGUGCAAAUUGGGAGCUGCAUUUCACUGUCAUAACAUUUAUUGUAAUUUCAUUUGGAGAUAUGUAAUAUCUGUUGUCCAGAUACAUAUCAUACACCAGUUGCUAUGUAAUUUCGUUUAGGUUCAUUUUUGUUUCUUAAGAGUUUGUAAAAAGAAUGGAAAGAUUUUAAAAUAUAAAUUUCAUAUCUGUUUAUUACUGUUGUUUGGUCUAAUUUCUUAUGUAGAAUUUUCAGAAUCUGUAGGACAUUAGUUUAUAAUUUUGAGAUUUUGCAGCCAUAAAAAAAAUUUUUUUUUUUUGCCAUUUUAUUUUGCUCCUUUAUCUAUGUGCAUGUUGACUGGCUGCAGUGAGUGAAAAUUUACCUAUAUAUGCUGGCUAUUCUUGGACAAUAUUAGAGAAAAUAAUCAUAUUAUUUCGCGUGAUGUGAACUUCCAUAACUUAUCAAUUGAAUUGCUGUAAAAUAUUAAAUAGUUUUAUUUUUCUUUUAUCGUGUAACUUGGACCAAAAAAGGAAAUGAGUUUAACACGACCCUCAAUAUAACCUCCAUUUCAGCACAAUACAUGUUAAUUGUUCCCCAAGGACUUCUCCUGUUUCCCAUUCCCACCUCCAUGCUCUCGAGAGGAAUUUAGCACCCAUCAAUUUUUAUUUUUGAAAACUCGUAAUGGUCUGAUAAAAUUAAACAACAUCAAUAAUGUUACCAGUCUUUAAAUAGUAAUUAAUUUAUUUAAUUUGCCACCUAAAAGAAUCCUGCUGGAAAUAGAGGUUAAAAAUUUUAUUAGAUCUGCUUACCUUUGUUCAUUCAGCAAAAACACUUACAAUUCACAGCUAGAGAAUCUAUCCAUUGACAAUUGUGGAUUAAAAUUAUAACACCUGAAUUCAAACAUAUCCUUAUGAAGUUAUGAAUUUGUUCAUACUUCAAAUGAUUUUUUUUUCCAAGCUAAUAAAGCAACCACUUUGAUCAAACGACGACGUUGAAGGAAUUACGUAUUUUCAAUGUCCUUUUCCAGACAGAUGUUGGAGAGAGGGAAAGGAGAAGACUGGCCUAAUUAAGAUAUCUCACAAAGAUUAUUGAGUUAAAAUGUUAUUGUAAAAGAUGUUUAAUACAAUAAUAGUAAUUCUUUUGCAUUGUUAUAAUGAGGCUGGUGGGUUUCCUCAGAGGAUGGAUAUGGCUCGCUAGCAUGCAUUUGGGAAGAUGCUAAUUAUCGGCCAUAAAAAGUCAGGGGGUUGUGGCUCUUCCGUCGCCCAGAAAUUCCUAAACUCAUAUAUCAAACUUCAGAUGAACUUGGGCAUUAUGUAAAUAUGUAUUUUUGAGAAUUAAACUAGUGCGUUCGAAAAAUUUUGAGCCAUUGUAAUCAUUUUAUUUUGCUAAGAGAAAAUUUUACUUUGUUUCGCUUUGCCUUUUGUUUUUUCUGUGAUAAUAUGAUUCAUACGAAUGUGAUUACACACUAUCAUGCAUCUAUUUUCAUUUGCUUGUCAUGAAUGGUCAACAUGCUCGAAAUAUUUACUUAGGUUGGAAAUAUUUGAAUCCACUAAAAUACUAUACAAACCCAUUUUAAAAUUAAAAAAAUGAUUAUCAUAAUACUCGUGAAGAUAACACGAUAUCAUACAUAAAAUAAAAUAUUUCGCAAAAAAGAUAAGAUACAAAUCUUGAGUAAAUAGGUACAAAAAAUAUUUUAGUGGGUUAAGUAGCACUAAUGCCCCCUUAUCAAAAAAUAAAUAAAAAUAACUAGUCUGAUUGGGUAUACCGUUUAUAUAUAUGUACAUAUUCUUGAUAAUGUGUAAUGUACAUUAUAGACAAAGAUUUUGAAAGCAAUAUUUUUUAAAAAGUCGAGAGAAUAGGAAAAGUCUAAAUCAAUUUUCUAAUCUCUACCUCCUUUAUGAUUUAAACUUUAGUGUUUAGUGUCGCGAGCCACUCAAAUUUUCUAAUCAAAGAGACUAAAUUGCACGAAAUUGUGCUAGCUUAUUUGAUUCUAGAAAUUUCUACUACACUGUAACACACUCUCACGUAGGGAUGGCAAUGGGGAGGGGAGGGGAGGGGACCAAUCUCCCCAUAUCCAUCCCCGAUAUUUUACAUAUGUCCCCGUCCCCGUCAGAAUUGCUUGAGAGAAUCCCCAUCCCCUCCUCGAAUAAUAACAGGGGAUCCCCGAGGGUCCCCGGUCCCCGAAUAACUAAUAAUCUAAUACAUUUUUUUAUUUUCGAUUUUAAAUUAAUCAUAUUAAAAUAAACUCAUACCGCUAUUGUAAGCUCGUAACCAAUUUUGACAGCACAUUAAGGCCUCCAAUGUGCUUGGAUGAAGUCUGUUAUGGUAUGGGCUCACAACUCUACCACUAGUGUUAAAAGCUGAUUCAGAAGCAACUGUUGUAAUUGGAAUUGCCAAAAUAUCUCUAGCAAUUCGAGCUAAUGUAGGAUACCUAUUAGCAUUUGUCUUCCACCAACUCAAAAUAUUAAAAUCUUCCAUCCGAGGUAUAACUUUCUCAUCCAAAUAUGAAUCUAAUUCAUCUGCAACAACUGCACAAUCUCCAUUGUUUACAUAAUCAUCAAAACCUAUCAUCCAUUUGGUUGCUUUCUUAUAAGAAUCCCCUGUAGAUCUAGUAGAAGAACUACUACCAGUAUAAUCAAAGCAAUAAACAGUUGGUGAAAACUUCAAUUAAUACUCUUCAACUAAUUCCCGGCAAAGGAUGACCACUUUCCCAACAUACAACUAUUUUGAUAUUUAUUAUUUUUAACAAUAUUUAUAAUUUUGUUAUUUAUUUAUUAGUAAUUUUAAAAAUAAAAAUAAAAUUAAAAAUUAAAAUGGGGAAAUGGGUAGGGGAUGGGGAUUCCACCUCAUCCCCGUCCCCUCCCCGAAUAAAAAAUUGGGUAAAAAAUUUUCCCCGUCCCCUCCCCGAAAAAAAAAUUGGGUAUAAAAUUAUCCCCGUACCCUCCCCGAAUGGGGAAAAUCCCCGAGGGUAUCCGUCCCCGUGGGGAUUUUUGCCAUCCCUACUCUCACGCUUGUACAUACCUCGAAAUUCUCUAGAAUUUACUAGAGUAGUGUUGCAUGUAGCUUGUACAUAGGUUUUUCUGGAACACUCCAGGCAUUACUAAGCAUGAGAGCCUUGAGAACUCUCUAGCCAUAAAACAUUCUAGGGUAAGCCUACCCUAAAAAUAGGGCAUGAUGCUUGCCACUUGAGCAUACAACAAGUAAGAACAAAUCAAGCAUACUUGUGAGCUCUCAAACUCUCUUAUACACACUUUUAUGAAUAAUAUAUUCUCUCUUUGGCUAUAUUGCUCUCUCUUCUCUCUAGUUUUUUUCGCAAGCAUCAAACCUUAGUUAGUCGAAAAAUUCAAGGCUUACUUUAUAGCUAUCUCGUAAAAGUUGUUUAAGUACCAUAGAGAUUUGCUGUGCAAAAUACUCAUCACAUGACAUUAGCUAAAUAAAAUUGUUUGAAAGCCACUUACCCAAACUAUUAAACGAAUAUUGACUUUUGUCUUAAUUUUCUAUCUCCUACGAUAAAUUUUAUAGUUAAAAAUUGAAAAAAAUUAAUAACUAUUAGAUAGAGCAUUCUUUAUUGUUAAAAGAAAUCUAUAUAGAUAGAUAGAUGGUAAUAUAAAAACUUACUUAUUGUAGUAUAAUGUUUUUAGUUUUUUGAAACACAGAUUCUCACUUUUUAAAGAUAAAAUUCAAAGAAAACAAGUUAAAUGUUGUAGAAAAUCUUCCAGCCAUACAAGAAAUUGUGAUGGCUAAAUGCAAACCUAACUAAAGUAUUAGUUGUUUUAUUACAAUCUCCAAAAAGAUGAGCAAUUCCAAAAUCUUUUUUUGUGACAAUAAACACUACACGUCAGUAAUUAUCCAGGUCAAAAGCAAGCUACUCUAUUAAAAAAAAAAAAAACUUGCAGUGAAUUCGAAGAUAAACCAAUUUUACUAGCAAGUUGGAUACAAAAGAGUAGGGCUUCGGCCUCAAUUACUCAGUGUACCAACAACUCAAUCUCGGUGAGUUAAAAUCAACUUCCAUCAGUCUUUUAUUUGUUGAUAGAUCGAUUAAGGUACCAAAAAGAAUAAUUAAAGAUGUAUUAGUUCAAGUUAAUAAAUUCAUAUAUCUUGUGGAUUUUAUUAUUUUGGAAACUGAACCAAUUGCUAAUGAAUGCAAACAAAUUCCUGUUACAUUGGGUCGUCCAUUUUUAACUACUGCUAAUACAUUGAUUAAUUGCUGGAAUGGAGUAAUGAAUUUAUCUUUCGGCAACAUGACAUUGGAACUUGAUGUGUUCAACAUAUGUAAACAACCUCACCACCAGGAAGAUGAUGAUAAUGAGAAUUAGGAGAUUGAUUUCAUCGAGCCAAUCAUUGAGGAACACAUUCAGAAUAAGAAUUUUACAAAUUCUGUGGAAAUUUAUUCUUCUUGUUCUUUUGAAUCGAGUAAAGAAUUAAAUUAUGAUACUGCUAACAUAUAACCUACAAUUGAUUCUAUGCAGGUACAUGCUGACAAUGGCCAAUCAAACUUUAAAGAUACAGAACAACCUGAAGAACCAAACGAAGAGCAAGUACCAGAGCUCAAAUUAAAGCCCUUACUGGAAGAAUUGAAGUAUGUCUAUCUUGGAGAACAACAGAUUUAUCCUGUGGUAAUUUUUUUCCCAACUCACGCUUGAUCAAGAAGGUAAGUUGUUGUCUGUACUAAAAAGGCAUAAAACUGCAUUUGGCUGGACUUUAAAAGACAUAAAAAACAAUAAUUCUUUAAUCUGCACACACCGAAUACACUUAGAGGAAAAUACCAAAACAACCCAUCAACAUCGACAUUAUAUGUGUAAACAUUAAAUACCAAAAUCAACCCCAAAAACUAUAAAUAAAAUAUCAUGAUUAAAAUGAAGUUUUUUUUUAGAUAUUCGUUGUAGUAUCUCUUUAGAUCGCAAACAAGAGAUAAAAUAAAUAAAUAUUUGCUAUGUAAAUAAAAAUAAAUAAUUUUUUUUAACUGAAAAAUAUUCUCAAAAACUAAAUAGUUCAAACUUUUUUUAACAUCAUGUGUUUCUAGGGUUGGGCAUUCAGUUCGGUUUUUACCGAACCGAACAACUAAAUUAAAUCGAAAUUACCUGUUCGGUUCAAUUGAAUAGACAAAAACCGAAGAGUUUAUAUUUUCAUGAACUGAAUGAUUUGUGUUUCAGUUGAGUUCGGUUCGAUUCUGGACCUGAACCGAACCGAACCGAUCCGUGAAUCGUAAACUGCCCACCCUUACGUAGUAGUUUCCGUUAACCGACGUUGUAUUGCUCGUAUAAAAUUGUUCAAAUGUUCAAAUCACAGUCUCCCGCUCUCAGCUCAGUCAGAGUUUCCAGGUCCAGAGACUUCCCGCUGACUGAGAACUUUUUCGUAGCAGGUCUACAAAUAAUGGAGUAGAGCUGAUUUUAUGAUUAAUUUAUUUCCUUUUUCAAUUUCUCUUGAUUGCGAUUUAAUCUGGAAAGUUAAACGUGAAUUGUUUAGUGCGGAUUAAAUGUUCGACGAAUUUCCCACAAGAGUAUUAAGUUCAAGAGAAAAAAAGAAAACAAUUGAGCGUGAGCGUGAGCGAGAAUGGUGUUUGGGCAAGUGGUGAUUGGUCCGCCCGGCUCGGGAAAGACCACUUACUGCAAUGGCAUGUCUCAGUUUCUCAGCCUUGUUGGCAGGUAACUUCGUUUCUUGAUUUCAAGCAGCUUUAUCUUCGAUGACCAAAAAUAUUGAUUUGGGCUUUGCCAUUAAAUGAAUGUAAGAGCAGUAGGGAAUAACUGAGUUAUAGGAUUAGCUUUAAGUGAACAUUGAUGGUAAUGUGAAGGUUGUAUGUGUUCAGUGGCAAGCUGUAUGCCAAUUUGGUCUAUAUGGUUGCUUAGGUAGUAACUUAUUAAUUUUUAGGCAGGAAGGUUGCAGUCAUCAAUUUAGUUCCUGCUAAUGAUAGUUUGCCGCAUCCUUUGUCAUUGAACUUUCUUACAAAUGCUGUGGUUUGUUGUAGUAUAAUUAGUUCAAUUGGAAAUUUCCUUGAUGUUAAUAUAGAAAUGAGUGUGCUGUGAAUAUUGAGGACCUCAUUAGACUAAGUGAUGUGAUGAUGGAGUAUUCACUUGGUCCCAAUGGAGGUUAGUCAGCCUAUUGUUGUUUACUCUUUCUUGCUUUAUCACGCAAUGAUAUUCCUUUGCUUUACAACAAAUUUCAUGAAAUUAACUUCAAUCAAGUGGCAAUGUUCAUACGCUGUUGAGAUUUUAUGGACAAUGAUUUGGUAGAAUUUAUAUGCCGUCUUCUUUCUUUUUGCAGUGAUAUGCUUGUAUUCAAUGAGCUUGUACUUAUUCUAUGGUUUCUAAAGUAGGUGUUUUUAUGAUAAACUAGGUCUUGUGUAUUGUAUGGACUAUCUAGAGAAGAAUAUUGACUGGCUGCAGUCGAAAUUGGAACUACUUUUGAAAGGUAAGUAGAGGCCAUUUUCCUUCAUUCUAAUGCCAAUAAUGCUGUCAUGAGACUCAUAAAAAUUGUUAAAACGUUAAUGUUUUUGGUAUUUUGCAGAUCGUUAUCUUCUGUUUGAUUUUCCUGGCCAAGUUGAAUUAUUUUUUCUUCAUUCCAAUGCCAAGACUGUUAUAAUGAGACUCAUAAAUAAGUUAAAUCUCAGGGUAUUGUUACAUCUUACAUCUAUGAAGGGACUCAAAGAGUUGAGAUGAAUUCAUCUUUGUUAUUUUGAUGCCAGAAUUGUGCAAUUCUCAGUUUGUUCCUUUCACAUGCAGUUGACUGCAGUGCAUCUAGUUGAUGUGCAUCUUUGCAGUGACCCCAGGAAGUAUGUUAGUGCUUUGCUUCUCUCAUUGUCUACGAUGCUACAUCUGGAACUUCCCCAUGUCAAUGUCUUGUCUAAUCGAUCUGAUUGAGAAUCAUGGAAAGCUAGGUGUGGUUUUAAGUGUAGCUCUCCUGCUUGUUUGUUUAGUUUGAAAUAUCAGAUAUUGUCACAAGAUCCUAUUUGCUACAUUUCCUCACCAAUCAAUUAUUUUGGGUCUGUUGCAGCUUUUAAUCUCGAGUACUAUACAGAUGUGCAAGAUUUGUCAUAUUUACAGCAUGCUCUCGGUCAGGACCCUCGUUCUGCUAAGUACAGGUUUGAAUUCUAGCUGAAUCAAUGAUGCAAAUUAUGUCCAUUGUUAUUUCUGCUGUUGUUUCUAUCAUUUUCAAUUGUUACUUCCCCUUUCCAUCUACUACCACACUACAAUACCCACACAAAUGUUGUGAAAUUUGUCAAUGGAAAAAAAACAGUUCCUCUUUUAUUUUGAUCAGACUCAAUGAAUAAGUGGUUAAAAUGUGCCUGUCCUAGAAAUAUAGAUGUGUGGUUUCGUAAAAUUUUCUUGAUCUUAAGAAAGAGUUAUCUCGAAAAGAAGAUAACAUGGAGAAUUCAACAACUAUACAGUCAUAUUGAUGUCUGUCAACUUGGGUCAUAUGGUGUCGUUUGGAUGGAGAUGUUAGGUCCCAGAUGGUAAACUUGUUAUCGAAUUCCAGUCUACUUCAUUCAUGCUUUGAUGACAUAUACGGUGCAGCUUCUUAUCUAAGACCUGCAUAUGUUCAAUCAUCAUUCUGUUCUGUAUUUGGCUGCCAUUCUUUUCAAUGAAUUCAAACCACUUCUGAAUACUUGCAAAUUCAUCCAGUGUUGUCAUUGAGAUGCCAAUAUGAAAGGAAGCCAUAAUUGCCCUUGAUAGUAUGCUUAUUGAUUGCCUCUUGCCUCACUCAGCCUCAUGAAUCUGCUUGUAUGGUGUUCUUGUAAUUUCAUUUGGAGAUUAGUAAUAUCUGUUGUUCAAAUGUAUUUUAUAUACCAGCAGUUAAUAAUUCUGCUUGCAGAAAGCUUACAAAGGAGCUGUGUGAUGUAAUUUUUCAACCUUAGAUAUCCAGGUCAUCAGUUUCUCUUGAAUUCUUUCUUGAAUUUCUUUGAAUUAUUUGUGAAUAAGAUCUUAGUUGGCUGCUUCUCUUCAGGAUAAGGAAAGUGUGGCAAAACUCGUGAAGCUGAUAUAUAAAAGCAAUGGGUACAUCUUUGCUGGCAUGGAUGCCAGUGCAGUUGAAUUCAGCAAGAUUGCCGUUCGCGAUGUUGAUUGGGAUUAUUUCGGAUAUCCUUCUUUUCACCUAUUUUCAAUGUUGUUAUUCUCAUAUUCAUAAAAUUUUUUGGUUAUUUAAUUAUGGUUCAUCAUAUGCAUCUGCAUCUUCUAACUUGUUCGUUUGAGAAACUAAUUUUGCCGUUAGGUAGGCUUCGAGCUUGAUGAGUUGAUUCAUGCUUUUUUCAUAAAUGUACCAAAAUCAUGGAAACUUCUUUUUCCCAGAUAUUGUAUCCACACUUUUUCCAUGUAAUUGGGUCAGACAAGUUUUGCUUAACAAAGAUAUCUACAGUAGCCGAAGUGCAGGAGAAGUACAUUAAGGAUGAUGAUGAUGUUAACUAAAAUGAGACGUGAAGAUAUGUGGUGUGCGAACCGUAAGCCUGCCUCUUAAUUUUGUGCAUGUUUACUUGCUUGUGAUUCACGUUUGUUAAUCUAUUUUGCUCUCUUGCAGGAGUUAUAAAGUUUUCAAUCAAUCAAACAUUUAACUUAAGUCCUUACCUCUUGCUGCAAAGACAAUGGGAAGUCUCAUGAGCUCUAAAAAAACUGAAGAAGAGUGGAAAAUAAUUUUAAAUAGUGAUUUAUGGAAGGUAAAAGAGAUCGAGAAAGGUGUUCUAACCCCUUUGUGGUUGAGUUAUAAUGAUUUGCCGUCCAGAGGAAAAAGAUGUUUCUCGUAUUGUGCUGUCUUUCCAAAAGACUACAAUAUAAAAAAAGACAAAUUAAUUACUUUGUGGAUGGCUCAAGGUUAUCUUAGUGCAGAAGCAGCAGAACAAGAUGAGGAGUUGGAGACUAUAGGUGAAGAGUAUUUUGGCAUCUUAGCUUCUCGCUCUUUCUUUCAAGAGUUUCAGAAACGUUAUGAUAAUCGUAUUAUAGCGUGCAAGAUGCAUGAUAUGGUACAUGAUUUUGCCCAAUUUGUUAGUCAAAAUGAAUGUUUUUCGUUGGAAGUUAAUGGUAGUGAGGAACUAACCGUCACAAACUCUACAAACUCUCUUGAUGAGAAGGUCCGUCAUUUAAUGUUAAUCUUUAGUAAAGGGACUUCAUUACCUGUUUCCACUCGUAGAGUUAAAAGAAUGCGUACCCUCUUAAUUAACGAUAGUAGAUCUGAUCAUUCAUUAUUAAAUGGUGAGAUCCUAGAAGAAUUAUUUAGGGAAUUGACAAGUUUAAGGGCAUUAGAUUUUGGCAAAUCGUAUAACUCAAGUUGGUCUUCGACUGUGGAGAUUCCGAGAACCAUAGAAAAGCUGGUACAUUUAAGAUACCUUAAUUUGUUUUAUCAGGGAAUAAAGAAACUACCGGAGACAUUAUGCGAGUUGUAUAAUCUAGAAAAGUUAGAUAUUAGUUUAUGUUUUAAUCUUAAAGAAUUACCUGAAGGGAUUGGGAAGUUAAUAAACAUGAAGCAUUUACGAAAUAGAGGUACUAGUUCUUUAAGGUACAUGCCAGUAGGGAUUGGGAGAUUAACGGGUCUCAGGACCUUGGAUGAGUUCCACGUGAGUGGAGGAAAGCGUGUAGGCUUGAAUCUCUUAAAAAAUUGGAACACCUUCAAGUAUGUGGUAUACGUAGACUGGGUGAUGUAUCAGAUGUGGGCGAGGCUAAGCGAUUAGAACUUGACAAAAAGAAAUACCUCUUCAGUUUGACCCUUGAGUUUGAUAAGAAGGAGGAAGAAGAAGGAGAAAGGAGGAAGAACGAGGACGAUCAAGUUCUUCUUGAAGCCCUACAACCACCUCUCAAUUUAAAGGAAUUAGAGAUAGAGUACUACCGAGGCAACACUGUUUUCCCCAGCUGGAUGACGUCAUUAACCAACUUAAAGAGUUUAGAUCUCUCUUCCUGCGAAAAUUGGGAGCAGCUGCCUCCUUUGGGAAAAUUGCCAUCCCUUGAAGCACUCAGCCUAUGGGACAUGAAGUGUGUGGAAAGAGUGGGUGAUGAAUUUUUGGGGAUAGAAAGUGAUCAUCAUGGCUCAUCUUCAUCGGUUAUUAUUGCCUUCCCCAAAUUGAAAUCACUUUCAAUUGAGGUUCUGCGCGAAUUGGAGGAGUGGGAUUAUGGGAUUACAAGAACGGGAAACACCGUCAUCAACAUCAUGCCACGUCUUUCUUCCUUGACAAUUGCACUUUGCCCCAAAUUAAAGGCACUGCCCGACCACUUUCAUCAAACGACAACAUUGAAGGAAUUGCACAUUUGGGAUUGCAGGCUUCUGGAAGAACGUUAUUGCAAGGGGGAAGGAGAAGACUGGCCUAAGAUAUCACACAUUCCCAACCUCCAUAUUGGGCUUUGACAAGUAAUUUCUUCUCUUACUCUGAUUUGCUUUGUUGUUGUUUUUAAUCUAAUUAAGAAGCGUAAAUAGCAUUUUGAAUCAAACUCUAUAUCAGAAAUCUGCAAUACUUACUUUCUAAUAUUCUGAUUUUCAUAUCCUAUGAAUAUACGAUUUUUAAUUUGUGAGAUGGGUAACGUUACUGUAAAAGAUUAUUAAUGCAAUAUGAGUAAUUCUUUUGCAGGACAAGUGACCUACAUUUAGUUUGGCUUUGGAGUUGAAUAAUAACCUUUCGAGGUCCCGACAACCAAAAAACGAAGCUUAAUUUGCCACAGAUUGCACGUAUUGCCAUUAUUGACAAUUUUCUGCACAAGCUUAGGUUGAUGUCAAAAGAGGUAAAUUAUUGGCAUGCCUGACUAUUUUGACCAUUACACGAUUCAUAAGUUUACAUUAAUUUUGAUUUUGAGUUGAGUGAUUAGUUUUCUAGGUUUGCUUACUUUAACUGGGUGACCAAUUUCUUGUAACUAAAUGUAUGAUGUGAAGCAGAACUCAAACAAAAGUAUGCUACUUCUUGCGGAAAUCUUGCCUUUGUUCAGAUUAUGAAACCAUUUCCAUGCAGCAAAUUCAUCCAAAAGUUUGAAUAAGUUUCACGGUUGGACACUGUUGGUUUCUUUUUCUUCUGGGGUGCAUUUAGGUGCUAUCAAGUGACAGCUGUAAGUAUGAUUGCACUAAGCUGCCGCUGGGAAAUUUGAGGUUUUGAUGGCUGCCCAUGUUAUUUUCAAGAAACUAUUGAUGUAAGAAGCUGUGGUUCUUUUCAUCAGCUUGAACCUGAAACUGUCGCUAUGGAUAACUCAGGUUUUUGUUAUCAACUAUAUCAUCUUUUUCACUAUUUUGAAACUCUUAAGAUUAAACUUUAGUAAAGUUGUUUCAGCUUUUCAAAUGAAAAACUCAUUGAUUUGAGACUUCCUUCAUUAUUGUUUCUAAUUACAAUGCUAACGAUCCAGAUAAGAUAAUAUUUAAUCGGCGAAGGUGUCCCUUGGAAGUACAUCCUUCUUUUUCUUUUAUUAUACAAAUUCUUGCAAUGAGCUUAGUGAAGCUGUUGUGCUAAUCAUGCCACUGCAUAAUUUGGCCCCUAAUGUGGGUACUCUGUUACAUUGUUCUGCAAAUUCUCCAGAAGUUAAAAUCAAUAAAUUUUCUAUUAGCUCUAGUGCUUUGACCUAAAUGCUAUUCUAUAUUCUGAUUACAAUGUUUUACCUUUAAAUUAACUACCCCUAGAUGUUGGAUUUUCUAGAACUUCAAAAUGAUUAAUGGAGAAAGAUCCCAUUAUCGUUAUUGCUAUAAAAAAUUGAUUUAUGCAUCCAAAGAUACAUUAUAUAUUUCUGUGUCUCUAUUUAUAGAUGACAUUUAAGCAUCCAUAAACCGUCAGACAGAGGAAGGGGGUUCAGUGCAAAGAUUCUGUUGACCUAGGGUUGACUGCAUAAUGUCACUUGUUCGCAAUCUAUUAUUCUUUUCAAGGUCUGCUUCCUUAACGGAGCGACCAAUGUUUUUCAACUAAAUUUAUCAUAUGAUGCAGGAAGCAGGGCAGGAUAUGAAAUGUGAAGCUCAUUGGUGGAAGUAUUGCCAGUAACAGAACCCAAAGAAAAUGAAACUAUUUCAAGGCAGCAGUUGGCAGUUGCAAGUGAAUGGAGGCCCUUGACAAAAUUCUCAAGCGGUUGCAAUGCAAUUACGAUCAUCCUCAGCCUCAGGUAAUUUCUUCUCCUGCUUUGUAUUUAUUUGUUAUCUAAUUAGGAACCGUAAAGUAUCUUGAAUCAUUUUCUGUAUCUGGAAUAUAUGCAAGAGUUUCUAAAAUUUUGAUAUGAGUGUAAUGAUGGUAAUUUCUGUUUUCUGUCUGUCAUCAAAUGUUAGAAAACUUUCAUUGAGACCCUUGAACCGAGUCAUUUUUGACAAGUGAAGUGCUGAAGAGUGAAGAGUAAGAAUGGUGCUAGAUUGGGGAAUAAAGCAAAAGGAGGUAAAUUAUUGGCAGCUUCUUCAACCUUAUUUUCUUUGGACCAGUGCCUAAUUCACAAGUCUCCAUAAUUCGGCUUUUGACCAGUUGAUAGAUAAAAUUUUAAUUUCAUUGGUGCUAAUGUACCCGUGAGGCAGGCAGAGAAGGACUGUGGAAAAGAGAAGGUUUUUAGUGAAAGCUUAAACUCAGGUAAUUCUAAAAAUUAUAUGUUUUGGCUGAUUUAUCUAAAUCAGGAAAUUUUAUUUCCAUCUGUUACAAUAAAACAGAAACAGAACACAAAGAAAAAUAUUCUACUUCUUGUGGCAAUCUUGCCUUCAUUCAGACUAUGAAACCAUUUCCUUUCACCAAUUUCUUCCAAAAGUUUGAACACAUUUCAUGGUUGGACAUAGUUAGCUUCUUUUUCUUUUGGUGCAUUUAGGUGCUAUCAAGUGACAGCCGUAAGUAUGAUUGCAUUAUUGGGAAAUUUUAGGUUUUGAUGGCUCCCCAUGUUAUUGCCAAGAAAUUUUAAGUCCUCGUGUCAGAAGCUGCGUUUCUUUUCAUCAGCCUGAACCCGAACCUGUCACUAUGGAUAACUGAGGUUUUUGUCAUCAACUAUAUCAUCUUUUUCACUGUUUUGAAACUCUUAAGAUUAAACUUCAGUAAAGUUGUUUCAGUUAUCCAUGUAAUCAGGCUAAGGAUAUUUAGCAGCUUAUUUAGGCAACUGCCAGAAUUCAGUUUGUUCGCUCGAAACUUGUAUGGUGACAAGGAUACUGGCAAGGAUAGUGAGAUAGUUUUUUGUGUGAGUGAAUUUUGAAAGCUUGGGUGUUCUGGGAUUUGCAAUUGCAAUCAUCCUCUGCUUUAGGUGAUUUCUUCUCCUGUUCUGUCUUUAUUUUCUCUCUAAUUGAAAGCAUUUCAAUCAAAUUCUGUACCAGGAAUACGAAAAAUUUACCAAUAUUUUAUUUCCAUCUGUUUGCAUUGAUAACUUGGCCGCAUAUGUACUAGUUAAAGAACAAACAGAAGCAGAGUUCAGGAAAAAGUUUCUUCGGCCACCAUAUUUGAAAAUGAAACCAUUUCCAGGAAGCAGUUGGCAGCAAAUUCAUACAAAGUAUAGACAAUGAUGAACAAAAAGGUGAUUCGCAAUUUCAUUUUUUUAAAAUGAAAUUAUUUGUUAAGUUGGAGCUGAUAUUGUUAGAAGGCCAUUGAGCUAACCUCUGACACUGCUUGCCUAGAUUGCAGGAGGUCAAGACUCAAAAGAUGCACUGAAUUUUAAAAGGCAUGCAAUAAUUCUUAUGGCCAUUUGUCAAUGGUGGAAUGCUUUUAGCUUCUUUUCCUUUUGUGCAUUUUGGGGUUCUAUCAAGCGACAGCCGUAUGUAUGGAUGGAUAUAGCUGCUGCGUUGAUUUCUAAUGCAUUGUAUGAUGUUAUAGCAACUAUCCAUCUGGUCAAUGUUUCAAAAGAAUAAGACAGGGAAAAAGAGAAAGCAAGUGGCCAAUCAAGUUGCAUCAACCAAAUUGUUGUUAAACAAGUAAAACAAAGAAAGAGAGUUAAGGAAGCUGACCUUGUAGUAGGGGAGCUGAAGAAAGGCUGCCAGUGAAUGUAAGAGAAAAUAAAAUGCAAGAAAUGGUGAAGUGCAGCUUUUCAUGUCAACUUGAAAUUGAUUUUUCUGUUUGUUUUUUUUUUUUUGUAAUCUUUUGGAUUUUUCAAACAAAGAAAAUGAGGAGCAACCAGGGAGAUAAAAAGGGCGCCAAGGCAACUGUGUGUUGGGUUUAGAGCCAAAAAUAAAUAAAUAAAUAAAUAAGACAUCGUGUUCUUGUGGAGACCAGACCUAUUACGUAACGUCCCCUUCAAUACCACUUGUUCCGUAUCUGGUUUUCUCUUCGUCGUUUACAUAUUUAUCCUGUGAUUUUACAAUAACUAAAUAAUCCCCGCAUAGUUUGCAAUUUUAUUCAUUUGGGCCCUACAGAUUUCAGUAAUAGGAAUUAUUAAGGGACAAGAGCGCAAAACAGAAACUCUGUCCACUACUGAUGAUAUAAUAACGAACCUUUGUUUUUUUUUUUUAAAAAAAAAAAGAGUAACAAAAUAUCAUUAGACAAAUGAAAAUAUUAUCUAACAUCACCUAUUCACCUUACUGAUGAUAUGAAAAUAUGUAUGUAUGUAUGUAUGUAUGUACAUAUAUACAUACACCUAUGUAACAUUUACUUAUACAUUCUUUUGAGUUUAAAUCUUAAUACAACUACAUACAACCACAUCAAUGUAUAUAUUUUUUACAUAAGACAUGCCGUCCUAUUAUUCAUAAGUAAACAAUGUGCCGUAAAUAGUAUUCUGUGUUUUCUCAAAGUUGACUUUUCGUCUUUUAUUUUCAGACGCAGACGCUAUGUCAUUUUGUAAUCGUCCGAACAUAUACAGAGCAGAAUUGGUGUUAUCUGAUUUUGUGAUGCAAUAAGAUUUGCACUUCCUGUGCAUUCAAUGGAAUCAUGCCACGCUAGUAGACAAUAUGCUAGUUUGAACAAACUUGUUUGAAUGGCAAAAACGACAUGACCUGCUGUAGUAUUAAUUCUUUCCCGAACCAACGGGUGAUUUGCUACGUUGGAUCAUGAAAAUUAACCAAAAUAAAAAUUCUUAAGGAAUUAGUUAGUUAAUUGAUUGAUCGAAUUUAAUCUAAAUUUGAAAAUGAUAAGAUAAAUUUAAAUUUAUUAUUAUUAUUAUUAUUAUUAUUUUAAAGUGGGUGGGUUUAUACAAUUUGAGCGGUGGAAAUAUCACUGCUGAAUUAUUAAAUAUACAGUGUAAAAUUUUGACCUUUAAAAUAUUCCCUUUUUUUUUUUAUUUAGCACUAUAAGUUUAAAAAUUUAACAUUUUACCUCAAUAAUUAAAUACUUUUAACUUUAAUCUUCAAAUAUUUACCCUACAACAUUUGGACCUAAAUUUUUAAUCCGACUCGGCCCCUGACCCAAGUGGGAAGAAGAUCAGGCUUAUAAGUUAUAACUAUCACCAACAUAACAUCUUCUGGAAAAUAAUAAGAUUACUCACCUGCAAUUAUGUGAUCAAACUAAUGGUAAGCAAAAUAGAACAGCGUUAUUUCAGUCCCCUUUCAGUUUCUUUAUCAUUUUUCUUUUCCUAUUUAUAAGCUUAAUUCGGUUCAAAAUCGGCUAAUUCACUUUGAUUUCACUUUUCUUUCUUUCGGUUCAAAAAAAUUGAACCCAUUGGCUGUCAAUUCAAUUUUGUUGAAAACCAACUUUGCCUGAAUUUAAGUAAUAAUAGAGGAAAAAAAAAGAGUACUUAGCAGAAGAGAUUUCUCAUUUUUUUCUCAUUCAAACUUCUAAAAUAAAAGAAAAAAAAACAAGAGUAAUUGUUAAUUAUCAAAAUUUUGUUUAUACUAUUCCACCAAGAAAAUUAUACAAAAAAAAAAAUUUUAAAAAUUGGAGAAGAAAUAUGAGGUGAAAUACGUGGAUGGCUUAGACUAAUAAUGUGAACAAAUUCCUCUUGGAAGCAUGUCAUUGUUCAUCCGGACAACACGCGGCGAUGAGAUUCGAGAAUAAAAGGAUAGGAAUCAACUGUAACCUCAUAAACAAAUGGCCUUGGAGUUGUAACCAAAGCUUUUAAUUAUUGAUCAUUAAGAUCGAUAUAAAGUAUCACGAAAUGAUGUGUACGACGACAAUAUCAAUAGCGUAGUGUGAAGACCUGGCUGUAAACACAAGGCUCGGCAGAUUAAUUAAACAAGAGUAUCCGAAUUUUCUAUGAUAAUCUCUAGGAAACGAUCAGCUAUAAUGUACGAAAUUAAAAUAUUGCAUAUAUUUUUGAAUUUUUGAACUCAUGCAUUAAUUUAAAAAAUUAUAUCGUAUUAUAAUUUAUUCACAAAAGAAAGAAAAAUUCACUAAUCAAGUGAAAUCGUAUUCUUAUUGAAAUGAAUUCCAGUAAUUGGAUAAAUAUAAGUAUUUCUUCCGUUGUAAUUUUUGUUUAACAGAAAAUCUAUUUGAGAUUUUGUGAGAAGAAACUCAACAAUAAAGUUUGAUAGACUUUGUGGAUAUUAAGAGUUUGACAAGUAAUUGAAAUCUGAAGUUUACUGAAAUUUACGAGCAAACAAACUGAAAUCCGAAGUUUACUGAAGUUUACUAUCAAGAGUUUCAAAACAGUGAAAAAGAUGAUAUAGUUGAUGACAAAAACCUGAGUUAUCCAUAGCGACAAGUAACAUACUGAAGUAAGCCGUUGGGAGCUGGCCUGUUCAUGGGCUAUUUUUCUCUGAUGAUCUGCAUUUUUCUUCCUUUUAAAGUGAACCUUGACUCGUAUCAAACCUGUCAAAAGAACAGUUCAUCAACUGAGCUGAGAUUUGCUUUCCUUUUUCAAAACCCACCUGAGAUAUUGUAAUUCCCAAAUUUCUCUCUCUCAGCUACACGAGCAAGCAGCCGCUUUUUCACUUCAUCGAAGAAGGUAAGCGAUUUAUCUAUUUCGUCCGAUUGAUUUCUUGUUUCGUUUUCAGUGUUCGGGUAAAUUAUUGGCAUGCCUGACUUUUUGACCAUUACAUGAUUCAUAAAUUUCUAUUAAUUUUGAUUUUGAGUUGACUGGUUACUUUUAUAGGUUUGUUUACUUUGACUAGGUGACCAAUUUCUUGUAACUAAAUUUAUGACGUGAUGCAGGAAGCUCGGCAGGAUAUGAAAUGAGAAUCUUAUUAGUGGAAGGAUUGCCAGUAACAGAACCCAAAGAAAAUGAAACCAUUUCAAGGCAGCAGUUGGCAGUUGGGAGUGGAUGGAGGCCCCUGACAAAACUUCAGUAAACUUCAGAUUUCAGUUUGUUUGCUCGAAACUUGCAUGGUGACAAGGAUACUGGCAAGGAUAAUGAGAUAGUUUUUGUGUGAAUGAAAUUACGAUCAUCCUCAGCCUUAGUUGUUAUUUGUUACCUAAUUAAGAAGCAUAAAGUAUCCUGAAUCAUUUUCGUUGUCUGGAACAUAUGAGUGUAAUGAUUGUAAUUUCUGUUUUCUGUCUGUCAUCGAAUGUAAGACAACUUUAUUAAGAUUCUUGAACCGAGUCAUUUUUGACAAUUGAAGGACAAGUGCUGAAGAGUGGGAAUGCAAAAAGUUUUGUUGUUUCUAGCCUUGUUUUCUUUGAACCAGCGCCUGAUGAUAUAACAGAAACAAGGCUAGAAACAACAAAAACUCUGUCCACUACUGAUGAUAUAACAACGAACCUUUGUUUUUUUCUUUUUUCUUUUUUUUUUUAAAAAAAGUAACAAAAUAUCAUUAGAGAAAUGAAAAUAUUAUCUAACAUCACCCUACUGAUGAUAUGAAAAUAUGUAUGUAUGUAUGUAUGUAUAUACGUAUGUAUGUACAUAUAUACAUACACCUAUGUAACAUUUAAUUAUACAUUCUUUUGAGUUUAAAUCUUAAUACACAUUUUCAUGAAAUUUUUAUUUUAUUAAGUAUACAACUACAUACAACUACAUUAAUGUAUAUAUUUUUUACAUAAGACAUGCCGUCCUAUUAUUCAUAAGUCAACAAUGUGUUGUAAAUAGUGUUCGUGUCUCAAAGUUGACUUUUCGUCUUUUAUUUUCAGACGCAGACGAUAUGUCAUUUUAUACACAGCAGAAUUGGUGUUAUCUGAUUUUGUGAUGCAAUAAGAUUUGCACUUCCUGUGCACUCAAUGGAAUCAUUUCUUUGUAACUAAUUGGGUGCUGGAAUGGUGGUCAAAUCUCGAACGAAGACAGAUCUAUCAAACUCCAGAAUUGGUGUUAUCUGAUUAAUUGAUUGAUCGAAUUUUAUCUAAAUUUGAAAAUGAUAAGAUAAUUUUGAAUUUAUUAUUAUAAUUAUUAUUUUAAAGUGGGGUGGGUUUAUACAAUUUGAGCGGUGGAAAUAUCACUACUGAAUUAUUAAAUAUACAGUGUAAAAUUUUGACCUUUAAAAUAUUCCCUUUUUUUUUUAUUUAGCAUCUAUAAAUUUAAAAAUUUAACAUUGUACCUCAAUAAUUAAAUACAUUUAACUUUAAUCUUCAAAUAGUUACCCUACAACAUUUGGACCUAAAUUUUUAAUCCGAUUCGGCCCCUGAUCCAAGUGGGAAGAAGAUCAGGCUUAUAACUAUCACCAACGUAACAUCUUCUGGAAAAUAAUAAGAUUAUUCACCUGCAAUUAUGUGAUCAAACUAACGGUAACCAAAAUAGAACAGCGUUAUUUGAGUCCCCUUUCAGUUUCUUUAUCAUUUUUCUUUUCCUAUUUAUAAGCUUAAUUCGGUUCAAAAUUGGCUAAUUCACUUUAAUAAGUUUAUUGGUUUGAACGCUGUUAGCUUCUUUUCCUUUCGUGCAUUUUGGUAUGCAACAGUUCUUGCCUAUGACACUGCUUGCCUAGAUUGCAGAAGGUCAAGGCUCAAAAGAAGCACUGAAUUUUAAAAGGCAUGCAACAGUUCUUGUGCCAUAUGUCAAUUCAUGCAAGUUUGAAUAAGUUUUUUGGUAUGCUAUCAAGUGACAGCCGUAUGUAUGGUUUGCAUAUAGCUGCUGCUGGGAAAUGUGAGGAUUUCAUGGCUGGCCGUGUUAUUGUCUUAAAUUAGAUGUGAUAAGCUGUUGCUUGGUGAUUCUGUUGCCAAGAAUUUGCUCACAUCAGAAGCUGUGGAACCUGAACCCUUCUCUAGAUAUCAUCUUUUUCAUUGUUUUAAAACUCUCAGGAUUAAACUUGAGUAAUUUUGUUCGGUUGUCUAUAUAAUCAUGUAUUGAGUAAACUCUCAGGAUACUGAGCAGGCAAAUGCCAUAACUCGGUUUGUUCUUCAAAAACUUGUUUAAGAUUCUUGACAAAGCUGCAUGAAGUGAAUCUUGGGAGCUUUGAGGGUGAGAGAAAUUAGAGGGUGUAUAGGGAUUUGGGCUUAUUAGGAAGUUAUAUAUGUAUUUCGUCACUUAUCAUUAUCAUUUUUUUUUUCACAGAAAACCUUCUGAUGGUGCUAAAUUUUCAAACACCGGUCCGAUUCAAAACUUCAUAUUCCAAUUAUAUUCAUAAGACAAAUGGAACACUUUGAACGGCUUGUGUCCGAGCAUUGUAGUUUGAUUUAUUUUGAUGACAGUACCUUUUGACAUUGAGAUUCUUUCAUGAUUUAAACAUUCUUUUAAAAACUAAAUUAUUAAAAAAAAAGUAACUAACAUAUAUUAUUUUAUUAGUGCUUUUUAAAUCAAAUAUACAUAGGAGAACUGUAAUUCUUAGCAAUCAAUUUUCCACUAAAUACACCUGCAACAAACUAUUAAUAGCAAAGUGAUAGAAAAUACCUGAUUUUUCAUACUUUCUAAUUUCUUUUGGUCCUAAAAUAUGGGCAUUUGUGUAAUAAUUAGCCCAUGUGGAUCUCUAUGCCAUGAGUUUGAUAAGUAGCUAUCAAGGAUCACUUAUUAAGCUAAAAAUAUUUGGAGGACAAAAUUGUAAAACUAAAAGGGUGGAGCAAAUAUGGCUAUCUAGGAUUAAAUAGUAAGUCAACUAUAUUUAAAGGAUAAAAUAUUAAAACUUGAAAUGUGAUAUUAAAAAUAUCUCAACUAUUAUGUUAUUAAACCAUAUGUUGUAAUAGUUUAUUUUUUAAGCUUCAAAAUGUUCAGGAUUUUAGAUUGAAACAUUUUCAUUUGAAAUUAUUUGGUGCAGUCACAAGUUAAGAAAGAAAAAGUUGUCCCAUUGGUCAUUUCACAAAAAUGAAAGCCCUGUAUAACAUGGGCUUGAAUGGAAGCCCAAUUGUUUGUGUUUGAUUAAUUGAUUUCAAGCUUUAUCGAACCUUUGUACCUGGAUACUUUACUGCGGCCUCUAAGCGCUAUAAAUUUUUUUGGGGAUAAACGGCGCUUCAAUGAGGUCAUCUCCGAUGCUUAACACCAUUUUGGUGUAAUACCAACAUUAAAAAUAUACAUUUUUCACACUAAAUUACUAUUUCAUCUCCAACCCAUUUACACCAAAAAAAAUAUUUUUCUUUUUAUUCUUUUAAUUCUCAAGAAUUAAUUCAAUUAACACAAUAAAUACUACUAUUAACAUAGAUAAUUAAGUAAUAAGUAAUUUUAUCGAUUAACAAAAAAAUAUAGAAAAUUAUUAAAUUUGCAUUUAAUUAACUAAAUUAGUACAUUAUGAAAAUUAAACAUUACAUUAAUAUAGAAAAAUACAAUAACAAUAAUAAUAAUUUUAUAUCUAAUAUUUUGAUGAUAUUGGAGGAUCUAAUAAUGAUCUUCCAGAUUAUUAAAUAAUUGUUCUAAUUUAUACUAGUAGUAGUAGCUUUUUUAAUUUGUGUUAAUUUAAUUUUGUAAUAUGUAAUAUAGUAAUUAAUGUUACUAGCAUUUUAUUAUUAUUAUUAAUUUUUGUGUUGAAUAUUUUUUAUUUAAAAUAUUAGUAUAAUAUUCAAAAAUUAAAAAAUGAAAUAAAAAUAAUAACAAAAAUAAUAAUAAUAAUAACUUAAAAUAUUAUAUAAAAUAGGACAUAUAUGUAAAUAAGAAAAAGUAAUAAAGAUAUUUAAGAGCUUUUUUUCCUAGCACCAAAUGAAUAGUGUUACACCAUAUUUGGUGCAAUACUAUUCACAACACCAUUUUGUUGUUGGUUUUGGUGUUACAUUGGAGAAGCAUUUUACACCAAAAAUAGUGUAAAAGGUGGUUUGGUGUUAGUUUUGGUGUCACAUUGGAGAUGGCCUGGAAAAGCACUUGAAAACUUUGGAUUUUUGGUUCGUCCAGUUACGGUGUUAUGCUAACGGGGUUAAAGGUUCCGAUCCAAUGAGUUAGGAUCCGAAGGUUACUGAAGUUUACUAUCAAGAGUUUCAAAACAGUGAAAAAGAUGAUAUAGUUGAUGACAAAAACCUGAGUUAUCCAUAGCGACAAGUAACAUACUGUUUAUUACAGAGAAACAAACGACAACAUGAUACUAGUAGUAGUUAUUCUUUUCAUCCGAUAUAUUACAUGGUAAUAUCACUACUCGUUCCACUAGUUUCAUGUACACUGUCGACCAGCAACAUGAUAAUUUCGUGCCAGUUCAUUUUGGUUUGUUGGAAAAAGCAGUGUAUUUCUUAGAACUUGAAAAUAAUAAAAAUAUUUUAAAAUAUAAAUUGCAUAUUUGUUUAUUACCAUUCUUUGGUCUAUUUCUUCUGUAGACUUUUCAGAAUCUGUAGGACGUUAGUUUAUAACUUUGGGAUUUUGUAGCCCUAAUUUUUUUUUUUGGCAUUUUAUUUUGCUGCUUUAUCUAUGUGCAUGUUAACUAAAUUAAGCUAAUCUAGAAUUAAUAGAGAGGGAUAUUUAUCUAUUUUGUUUAACCUUUACCACUCUAGGCAUUGUACUACAUGUGAGCUUGUGAUGCUUGCAUUUUAUUGAUGUUGAUGAUUCGUUGAAUGUUUUAUUUUUUGAUUUUUUAAGUUUUCCAGAGUCAUGUUUGUGUCUACGAAGAAAUUGUAAAGGCUGUGCACGAAGCACUUGUCAUUCUUUAGACUUUAUUGAUUAUAUUUUUGUCAGAUUUGCGUGUAUAUUCACAUAUGUUUUAUUUUUUCAUUUUGUAGGACAUUUUUACAUGCCAUAUUAUCACGACUCUUCUGUGUCUGAAUAAGAAGAAAGCAUAAUGCGACCCUCCAACAGCUUAAUCUAUGGAAUUAUCGUGUUUUGUAAGUUCUGGUCCAAUGGCGUUUUGGCACAUCAUAUGAUAGACCACUAUAUUGCGUUGCUUUACAAAAGAUUAAUAUUUUUAAAAUUAUUAACUCAUGAUAUGAUAGUCCAGGUUUUCGAGGACCACUAUAUUGUAUGGAUUUAAAAAAAAUUAAUAUUUUUUAAUAUUAAUAUUCUAAAUUAUAUUCAGUUAAAAUAUUAAAUAUUAAAUACAUUCUUAACAUUAAUAUUCUUAGAUGAAAUUCUUUUGCUGACUUAAGAAUAAAGUAUUAAAUAAUUUUAUUUUUCUUUUAUUUUGUAACGUGGACCCAAAAAAAAAAGGAAAUGAAUUUAAUAAAACCUUCAUUCCGCCAACAUGCAUGUUAAUUGUUUCCAAAUUCCAACCUCCGUACUCUCUUGAGGAGUUUCCCAUUCAUCAAUUAUUAUUUUUUAUAAUCCAUACCAUCCUGAUAUAAUUAAACACCAUUAAUAAUGUACCAGCCUUUAAAUAGUAAUUAAUUUAUUUAUCUAAUUCACCAAAUGUUUUUUUCCGGUACAUAUCUCCAUUGGUAUCAAGAAGAAGCAGAACCCAAAGAAAUGUUUCUUGCAUCUUCAUAUUUGUGCGAAUUCAUCCUUUCAUUGAGAAUAACCAUUUCCAGGCAGCAGUUGGCAAUCAAUUCAUGCGCAUGUCGAUGCUACUCAUAGAUAUUAAAGACAAUGAUGAACCAAAGGUAAUAAAUCAUAAAUGCAUAAUUACCAAACCUCCAUCCUUCUCUCAUUAUGACUUGAUUUUAAAUGAAUUAUUGCUUGGUAACAUUAUUUCCAACCAUUGCAAGAUUUUUUUUUGGAGAAAUUUCAAUUGAAAGUAAAACCUUUAGACAUUUACCUAAUGAAGUUAGUUAAUCGGGAGGGUGGAAAAAAAAAAGUUGACGCAAGUCAAUACACAAUAAUUAAUUAAAUCCGGAGUCACUAAAACAGAGCCACGACUUUUUCAAAAAUAUCUGCAUUCAUCACUUUCUCCAGCAACUAGUCAGCUACACACGAAUCAAUUUCUCUCCUCGUUUGUCAUCCAAAAUUAUUCACCAAUACCAUGGCUGAUGCAAUCGUUUCCCCGCUCUUGGAGCAGCUGAUUUCCUUCGCUGCUGAAGAGAUAAAACAACAGGUGAUCGAAGUUACACCCCUCAUAUUACAAAUACUUCCAAUGAUUUUAAUUGGUUUUGUUUUUAUCAAAAACAUUAUAUAUUUUUGCUUUUUUUUAUUUAUCUGAUAAUUUUAUAUUUUGAAAUUUGAAUUGAAUUUAAUUAAAAGGUGAUGUAGUAACCACUUAUUUUUAUUUUAUUUCAUUUAUAUUCUCAAUAACUACUCAUAUUUUGGUAACUUACUAUAACUUCCAUAUCUAAGAAAUGAUCCAAACCCACAAUUUUAACUAUGUAUAAAUAUUCAACGUUGAGCUAAGGUUUUGCAGAACAUUCAAGUUUAUCAAAUAGUCAUUAAUUUAAUGUUUUAGUAAAACCUCAACUCAUCACUGAAUCCCAUAGCUAUUACUUAGACACUAUGAAAAAUUUCAUAGUUUUCUUACAUUCUUUCAGUUUGGUAAGUGAUUUCAUAUAAUUUCUUUUCAAGUUAAAUUUUAAUUUGGUUUCUGAUAUAGUCUCUUUGCCGAAUUGUAUCUUUUAUGAUUCUUGGAUUUUGGGCUCCAACUUUUUAGGAUUUGAUAGUCACAUUUUAUGCCAUGCUCAGAUUGAUUUUCAUGAUUUUUAGUACCCGUUAAGUGACGUACAAUUUGACAAAAGUUUGAAAGGAAAUAUGUUUCAGAAUUCUGUUUUAAUUGACCUUUUAGUGGAAUUAGGAUGCUUAUAACUUAAUGUGGAUGGUUCGUAAAAUCAUGAAAUUUGGAUAGGAUUCACUAGCAAUAUGUACAAGACUCCCCAUAAAGUUUCAUAAUUUUUCAUUCGGUCUGGGGUGGUACAGGUGAAACUUGUGGUUGGUGUUGAAAAAGAAGUGAAAAGCCUUACCAGCCAUCUUCAAGCCAUUCAAGUUGUGCUCGAUGAUGCAGAGGAAAAGCAAGUGAAGGAAAAAGCUGUUAGUCUUUGGCUGGGUAGGCUCAAGUAUGCAUCCUACGACAUUGAAGAUGUGUUGGAUGAGUGGAUAACAACAAGACGCAAAUUGCAAAUUGAGGGUGGCGUUGAUGAAAAUGCUCUUGUUGUUCCUCAUAAGAAAAAGAAGGUAUGUCUCUGCUUUCCCGGCUCUUGUUUUGGAUUCAAACAAGAAGAAUUUGGUUUCAAACAGGUCUUUCUCCGUCAUGACAUUGCCGACAAGAUCAAAGAAAUCAAUGAAGAGCUACAUGAUAUUGCCGCUCAAAAAGACAUGUUUGAUCUUGUUAAGAGUGGCAAUAAAAGUAGUGAAAGACCAAGGCGUGUACAGAGUACCUCCUUGAUUGAUGAGGAAGAGAUUUGUGGCAGAGUUGGUGAGAGGAAUGAACUCUUAAGCAAGCUGUUGUGUGAGAGUAGCGAGCAACAAAAAGGCCUUCAUAUCAUCUCAAUCGUUGGUAUGGGAGGCAUAGGGAAAACAACUCUUGCACAACUAGCUUGUAAUCAUGACGAGGUGAAGAGAAAGUUCGACAAAAUUCUGUGGGUGUGUGUAUCAGAAACUUUUGAGGAGUUUAGGGUUGCCAAAGCGAUCGUUGAAGUUUUGGAUGGUCGUGAAUCUCAUUUAGCUGAAUUCCAUUCUCUUCUUCAACAUAUUUAUGAAUCCAUUGCAGGGAAGAGCUUUCUUCUUGUCUUAGAUGACGUGUGGGAUGGAAAUUACUUGAAAUGGGAACCAUUCUACCAUUGUCUAAAGAAUGGUCUCCAUGGAAGUAAAAUUUUAGUUACCACACGUAAAGGGUCAGUCGCAUCCAUGAUGGGAUCCAUAGAUAUUAUCUCCGUUAAGGAGUUAGCUGAAGAGGAAUGUUGGUUGUUGUUUAACAAGAUAGCAUUUUUUGAUCGGUCCAUCGAGGAACGUGAAAAAUUAGAACAAAUUGGGCAAAGAAUUGCAGGCAAGUGCAAAGGUUUACCUCUUGCAGCAAAGACAAUAGGGAGUCUCAUGCGUUCUAAACAAACUGAAGAAGAGUGGAAAAGAAUUUUAAAUAGUGAUUUAUGGAAAGUAGAAGAGAUUGAGAAAGAUGUUUUGUCCUCUUUAUUGUUGAGUUAUAAUGAUUUGCCAUCUAGAGUAAAAAGAUGUUUUUCAUAUUGUGCUGUCUUUCCAAAAGACUACAAUAUAGAAAAAGACAAACUAAUCACGUUAUGGAUGGCUCAAGGUUAUCUUAGUGCAGAAGAAGAUGAAGAGAUGGAGACAGUAGGUGAAGAGUAUUUUGGCAUCUUAGCUUCUCGCUCAUUUUUUCAAGAGUUUAAGAAAAGUUAUGAUAAUCGGAUUAUAGAGUGUAAGAUGCAUGAUAUGGUACAUGAUUUUGCCCGAUUUGUAAGUCAAAAUGAAUGUUUUUCGAUGGCAAUUAAUGGUAGUGAAGAACCAAACGCCACAAACUCUCUUGAUGAGAAGGUCCGUCAUUUAAUGUUAAUCUUUAGUAUAGAGGCUUCAUUACCUGUUUCCACUUGUAGAGUUAAAAGAAUUCGUAGCCUCUUAAUUAACGAUAGUAGAUCUGAUCAUUCAUUAUUAAAUGGUGAGAUCCUAGAAGAAUUAUUUAGGGAAUUGACAAGUUUAAGGGCAUUAGAUUUUUGCAAAUCGUAUAACGCAAGCUGGUCUUCGACUCUGGAGAUUCCGAGAAACAUAGAAAAGCUGGUACAUUUAAGAUACCUUAAUUUGUCUUAUCAGGGAAUAAAGAAACUACCGGAGACAUUAUGCGAGUUGUAUAAUCUAGAAAAGUUAGAUAUUAGUUAUUGUUAUAAGCUAGAAGAAGUACCUGAAGGGAUUGGGAAGUUAAUAAACAUGAAGCAUUUACGAAAUAGAGGUACUAGUUCUUUAAGGUACAUGCCGGUAGGGAUUGGGAGAUUAACGGGUCUUAGGACCUUGGGUGAGUUCCACGUGAGUGCAGGAGGAGGUGUUGAUGGUAGGAAAGCAUGUAGGCUUGAAUCUCUUUAAAACUUGGAACACCUUCAAGUAUGUGGUAUAUGUAGACUGGGUGAUGUAUCAGAUGUGGGCGAGGCUAAGCGAUUAGAACUUGACAAAAAGAAAUACCUCUUCAGUUUGACCCUUGAGUUUGAUAAGACGGAAAGAGGAGGAGAAAGGAGGAAGAACGAGGACGAUCAACUUCUUCUUGAAGCCUUGCGACCACCCCUGGAUUUAAAGGAAUUAGAGAUACGGUACUACCGAGGCAACACUGUUUUCCCCAGCUGGAUGGCGUCAUUAACCAACUUAAAGAGUUUACAUCUCCAUAGGUGCGAAAAUUGCGAGCAGCUGCCUCCUUUGGGAAAAUUGCCGUCCCUUGAAAAUCUCUACAUAUGGCGCAUGGAGAGUGUGAAGAGAGUGGGUGAUGAAUUUUUGGGGAUAGAAAGUGAUCAUCAUGACUCAUCGUCAUCUUCAUCAGUUACUAUUGCCUUCCCCAAAUUGAAAUCACUCACAAUUUAUUCGAUGCUGGAAUUGGAGGAGUGGGAUUAUGAGAUUACAAGAACAGGAAACACCGUCAUCAACAUCAUGCCACGUCUUUCUUCCUUGACAAUUGUUGAUUGCACCAAAUUAAAGGCACUGCCCGACCACAUUCAUCAAACGACAACGUUGAAGGAAUUGAGCAUUUUUAUGUGUUGGCUUCUGAACAAACGUUACCGCAAGGGGAAAGGAGAAGACUGGCCUAAAAUAUCACACAUUCCCAACCUCCAUAUUGGGCUUUGACAAGUAAUUUCUUCUCUCACUCUGAUUUGCUUUGUUGUUGUUUUUGUUGAAAAGUUAAAAAGUUUGGUUGGAAAAGAAAAGUGAGCCACAUGCAUUGCUUUUGUUUUUCAAAGUCGGCACCAAAUUGCAAACUGUAUUUGGCAUUUGACAAUCCUGCACCAAAUGAAGAAAAAUGCAAAAGUUAGCAAAAUUUGUCAAAUUGACAGAGAUGGAGAUUGAUAAAUUGCAGAGGGAUUAGGUGGAAUAGUGCAUGCUUGAAGCCUAUAAAUUGAAGCCAUUUCUUCAUUCUAAAUAAUCCCAAAAUUGUUAAACUUAUAAGUUUCUAAGCUUUUGAGAGAAGUGAGAGAAGUGUGUCUGUGGAAUUUAUUUUUCCUGCAGAGUGUGAGAGUACUUGGUAUAUUUGGGUUUCUGGGAAGUGAGAUUCGUUACUCAAAUAUUGUAUUCUAUUAAUUGUUAAAUAAACAAUUAUUCUUUCUUACCUCCGUGGAUGUAGGUUUAAUUACCGAACCACGUAAAAUCUUGUGUCCUUUAUUUUUCAGUAAUUAUUUGGUGCGCUUGAUUCCGCAUUCCGCGCACAACAGUUUUUAAUCUAAUUAAGAAGCGAAAAUAGCAUUUUGAAUCAAACUCUAUAUCAGAAAUCUGCAAUACUUACUUUCUAAUAUUCUGAUUUUCAUAUCCUAUGAAUAUACGAUUUUUAAUUUGUGAGAUGGGUAACGUUACUGUAAAAGAUUAUUAAUGCAAUAUGAGUAAUUCUUUUGCAGGACAAGUGACCUACAUUUAGUUUGGCUUUGGAGUUGAAUAAUAACCUUUCGAGGUCCCGACAACCAAAAAACAAAGCUUAAUUUGCCACAGAUUGAACGUAUUGCCAUUAUUGACAAUUUUCUGCACAAGUGUGACUGAACUUAGGUUGAUGUCAAAAGAGGUAAAUUAUUGGCAUGCCUCACUAUUUUGACCAUUACAUGAUUCAUAAGUUUACAUUAAUUUUGAUUUUGAGUUGAGUGAUUAGUUUUCUAGGUUUGCUUACUUUAACUGGGUGACCAAUUUCUUGUAACUAAAUGUAUGAUGUGAUGCAGGAAGCAGGGCAGGAUAUGAAAAGAGAAGCUUAUUAGAGGAAGGAUUGCCAGUAACAGAAUCCAAAGAAAAAGAAACCAUUUCGAGGCAGCUGUUGGCAGUUGGCAGUGAAUGGAGCCCCUUGAAAAAAUUCCCAAGCCGUUGCACUGCAAUUACGAUCAUCCUCGGCCUCAGGUAAUUUCUUCUCCUGCAUUUUUGUUAUUUGCUAUCAAGUGACUAUUUUAAGUAUGAUUGCAUUAAGCUGCUGCUGGGAAAUUUGAGGUUUUGAUGACUGCCCAUGCUAUUGUCAGAAGCUGCGGUUCUUUUCAUCAGCCUGAACCUGGACCUGCCGCUAUGGAUAACUCAGGUUUUUUUUUUUUUUUAAUCAACUGCCAUCUUUUCCACUGUUUAGAAACUCUUAAGAUUAAACUUUAGUAAAGUUGUUUUAGUUAUCCAUGUAAUCAGGCUGAGGAUACUUAGCUGCCUAUUUAAGCAAAUGUCAGAAUUUAGUUUGUUCGCUGGGAACUGGUGUGGACUGGCAAAGGAUGAUGAGAUAGUUUUUUGAGUGAGUAAAUUUUGGGAGCUUGAGUGUAUUGGGAUUUGCAAUUACAAUCAUCGUCUGCCUCAGGUGAUUUCUUCUCCUGCUCUAUCAUUGUUUGUUCUCUAAUUCAAAAGCAUAAAAUAUUUCAAUCAAUUUUUAUGCCAGGAAUAUGCAAAAGUUUCUAAUAUUUUAUUUCCAUCUGUUACAAGAUCAAACUGAAGUAGAACUCAAACAAAAGUAUGCUACUUCUUGCGGAAAUCUUGCCUUUGUUCAGAUUAUGAAACCAUUUCCAUGCAGCAAAUUCAUCCAAAAGUUUGAAUAAGUUUCAUGGUUGGACACUGUUGGCUUCUUUUUCUUCUGGGGUGCAUUUAGGUGCUAUCAAGUGACAGCUGUAAGUAUGAUUGCACUAAGCUGCCGCUGGGAAAUUUGAGGUUUUGAUGGCUGCCCAUGUUAUUUUCAAGAAACUAUUGAUGUAAGAAGCUGUGGUUCUUUUCAUCAGCUUGAACCUGAAACUGUCGCUAUGGAUAACUCAGGUUUUUGUUAUCAACUAUAUCAUCUUUUUCACUAUUUUGAAACUCUUAAGAUUAAACUUUAGUAAAGUUGUUUCAGCUAUUCAAAUGAAAAACUCAUUGAUUUGAGACUUCCUUCAUUAUUGUUUCUAAUUACAAUGCUAACGAUCUAGAUAAAAUAAUAUUUAAUCGGCGCAGGUGUCCCUUGGAAGUACAUCCAACUUUUUCUUUUAUUAUAUAAAUUCUUGCAAUGAGCUUAGUGAAGCUGUUGUGCUAAUCAUGCCACUGCAUAAUUUGGCCCCUAAUGUGGGUACUCUGUUACAUUGUUCUGCAAAUUCUCCAGAAGUUAAAAUCAAUAAAUUUUCUAUUAGCUCUAGUGCUUUGACCUAAAUGCUAUUCUAUAUUUUGAUUACAAUGUUUUAACCUUUAAAUUAACUACCCCUAGAUGUUGGAUUUUCUAGAACUUCAAAAUGAUUAAUGGAGAAAGAUCCCAUUAUCGUUAUUGCUAUAAGAAAUUGAUUUAUGCAUCCAAAGAUACAUUAUAUAUUUCUGUGUCUCUAUUUGUAGAUGACAUUUAAGCAUCCAUAAACCGUCAGACAGAGGAAGGGUGAUGGGUGUCGAAGCCAACAAAAAUAAAUUCCUACUCUAAAUAAAUUGUGUAUAGUGAUUGAGCAGGGUCGUGUCCACAGAGAUCGGUAAUUAAUUAAAUCCUUUUGAAACGUAAAACAUAAAAUGGGGGAAUUGUUGACAAUAAUAAAAAUCAAAUUAAAAUAACAAGAAUGCAAAUUAAAGUUGUAAUUCAAAUUAGAGAAAGCUCUGGUUGAAGGAAUUAACUCAGCUUGAUUCGACUACUGAUCAUUGAUUCAAAUAUAGAUUAUUAUUACUCAUGAAUAGACCGGUUAUAGCUACUGAGACCCUCUAAUAGCCAAUCUCUCCUUAACUAGUCGAUAACCAAGGUACGACCAUUGGUUAUUUCCCUAAUCAAUAGACAACCCUAGAUACGAUCAUAGAAUUUAAUCAAUUGACAGCCUGAAAAACCAGAGAGACCCAAAUCCUAAUCAACACAUAUGAUGAUUCAUUUAAAUUAGAUUGUUUAUUCUCACAACACAACUCUCUGCUAUGUUAUUUGUCACAAACAUUAAAUUCUUCAUACGAUGAAUCCUUUAAUUGACAAUAGAUUAAGUUGAUAAUUAAAUAGUGGCCAAUUACCUAAUUAACAAACAUAAUCAUGAAAAUAAUUCAGAGAAUAAACAAAUACCCAAAAAGUAAUAAAACAAUUAAAGCACAAGAAAGAUCUCACAGUAGUGAUGAAUCAAAGCUUCAUUAACCUUCAACCAGAAAAAUAGGUUUAGCUCUUCAUAGAGAGAAGAGAAAAAUUAGAUCUAGGGUUUCUUUCUUUUUCUCCAAUCCAAAAAUCCCCCUUUUUCACAAUAGAUUCCUCCCUUAAAUACUUUCUCUCUCUUCUCUUUUAGAAUUCUAUUUAAAAUAAAAUCCUAAUAUCUGAAAUAUUAAAUUCGUAAUUACAAAAAUAACCAAAAAUACAAAACACGUUAAACUAAAAACUGCAGGUCCGCAGUUGACAGCACGCGCCCACGCCUUAUCAACAAAGUUCUUCUGACGCUCAUAAUUUCUCCAAGAGAACAAUCAUCCUUAAACAUCAUCUUAUAGCUCAAUUUUAUCAUCAAUCAAUAGAAUUGCACCUACAAAAGUAAAACACAAGUAAAUCACUAUUAUUAAGUGCAAAACAUUGAUAUUAAGGGAAGUAAAUAAUGCAAAACUAGUGCAUAAAUUGCACUCUAACAAAGGGGGUUCAGUGCAAAGAUUCUGUUGACCUAGGGUUGACUGCAUAAUGUCACUUGUUCGCAAUCUAUUAUUUAUUUUAUAUUUUGAAGAAUUUAAUGGGUAAUCCUAAUUGUUUGUUUUGGCAGGUAUGUGUUGUUAUCUCCUUCUAUCUAACAGUCGUACCUAAAUAGCAUAGUUUCAUCUGUGUUACCAUGUGAUGUACAUAAUUUCACAUUUGCCUCAGAUUAAGCUUAAUUUCCCACAAAAUAGAGCUGUCGCGACUGGACUUAGGUUGAUGUCCAAAGAGGUAAAUUAUUGGCAUGCCUAGAUAAUUUGGCCAUUUCCUAAUUCAUAAGUCUACAUUAUUUUUGAUUUUGAGUUGACUGAUUUCUUUUCAAGGUCUGCUUCCUUAACGGAGUGACCAAUGUUUUUCAACUAAAUUUAUCAUAUGAUGCAGGAAGCAGGGCAGGAUAUGAAAUGAGAUCUCAUUGGUGGAAGUAUUGCCAGUAGCAGAACCCAAUGAAAAUGAAACUAUUUCAAGGCAGCAGUUGGCAGUUGCAAGUAAAUGGAGGCCCUUGACAAAAUUCUCAAGCGGUUGCAAUGCAAUUACGAUCAUCCUCAGCCUCAGGUAAUUUCUUCUCCUGCUUUGUAUUUAUUUGUUAUCUAAUUAGGAAGCGUAAAGUAUCUUGAAUCAUUUUCUGUAUCUGGAAUAUAUGCAAGAGUUUCUAAAAUUUUGAUAUGAGUGUAAUGAUGGUAAUUUCUGUUUUCUGUCUGUCAUCAAAUGUUAGAAAACUUUCAUUGAGACCCUUGAACCGAGUCAUUUUUGACAAGUGAAGGACAAUUGCUGAAGAGUGGGAAUGGUGCUAGAUUGGGGAAUAAAGACAAAGGAGGUAAAUUAUUUGCAGUUUAUUCAGCAUUAUUUGCUUUGGACCACCGCCUGAUUCACAAGUCUCCAUAAUUUGGCUUUUGAGCAGUUGUUAAUAAAUUUUUAAUUCCAUUGGUGCUAAAUGUGCACGUGAAGCAGGCAGAGCAGGACUGUGGAAAUGAGAAGGUUUUUAGUGAAAGCUUAAACUCAGGUAAUUCUAAAAAGUACAUGUUUUUGCUGAUUUAUCUAAAUCAGGAAGUUUUAUUUCCAUCUGUUACAAGAUAAAACAGAAACAGAACACAAAGAAAAAUAUUCUACUUCUUCUGGCAAUCUUGCCUUCAUUCAGACAAUGAAACCAUUUCCUUUCACCAAUUUCUUCCAAAAGUUUGAAUAAGUUUCAUGGUUGGACAUAGUUAGCUUCUUUUUCUUUUGGUGCAUUUAGGUCCUAUCAAGUGACAGCCAUAAGUAUGAUUGCAUUAUUGGGAAAUUUUAGGUUUGGAUGGCUCCCCAUGUUAUUGCCAAGAAAGUCCUCAUGUCAGAAGCUGCGGUUCUUUUCAUCAGCCUGAACCCGAACCUGUCGUUAUGGAUAACUCAGGUUUUUGUCAUCAACUAUAUCAUCUUUUUUACUGUUUUGAAACUCUUAAGAUUAAACUUCAGUAAAGUUGUUUCAGUUAUCCAUGUAAGCAGGCUAAGGAUAUUUAGCAGCUUAUUUAGGCAACUGCCAGAAUUGAGUUUGUUUGCUCGAAACUUGUAUGGUGACAAGGAUACUGGCAAGGAUAGUGAGAUAGUUUUUUGUGUGAGUGAAAUUUGAAAGCUUGGGUGUUCUGGGAUUUGCAAUUGCAAUCAUCCUCUGAGUCAGGUGAUUUCUUCUCCUGCUCUGUCUUGAUUUUCUCUCUAAUUGAAAGCAUAAAGUAUUUCAAUCAAAUUCUGUACCAGGAAUACGUAAAAGUUACUAAUAUUUUAUUUCCAUCUGUUCGCAUUGAUAACUCGGCGGCAUAUGUGUUGUGCGCGGAAUGCGGAAUCAAGCGCGCCAAAUAAUUAUAGAAAAAUAAAGGACACAAGAAUUACGUGGUUCGGUAAUUAAACCUACAUCCACGGAGGCAAGAAAGAAUAAUUGUUUAUUUAACAACUAAUAGAGUACAAUAUUUGAGUAACGAAUCUCACUUCCCAGAAACCCAAAUAUACCAAGUACUCUCACACUCUGCAGGAAAUAUAAAUUCCCCAGACACACUUCUCUCACUUCUCUCAAAAGCUUAGAAACUUAUAAGCUUAACAAUUUUGGGAUUAUUUCAAAUGAACAAUUUCCCUUCUAUAUAUAGGAACCGUAGCUCACCUACCACUUCCAAUUUGGCUACAACUUGCCGAAUUGAUAAAUUGAAUUUAGAAUGGAAAAUCAAUUUGGUGAGCAACAAAAUCAACAAGUUUGAAAAAUCAAUUGGCUUCUAGAAAAACAUCACAUUUUUCCUCCAUACAAUUUCAACAAAAUCGUCCCACCAACCAUGUCUUUUGAAAUUUGCAUGCCAUUCUUUGACUUGUUGUGCGCGGAAUGCGGAAUCAAGCUCACCAAAAAUUACUGCAAAAAUAAAGGACACAAGAAUUUACGUGGUUCGGUAAUUAAACCUACAUCCACGGAGGCAAGAAAGAAUAAUUGUUUAUUUAACAAUUAAUAGAAUACAAUAUUUGAGUAACGAAUCUCACUUCCCAGAAACCCAAAUAUACCCAGUACUCUCACACUCUGCAGGAAAGAUAAAUUCCCCAGACACACUUCUCUCACUUCUCUCAAAAGCUUAGAAACUUAUAAGCUUAACAAUUUUGCGAUUAUUUCAAAUGAACAAUUUCCCUUCUAUAUAUAGGAACCGUAGCUCACCUACCACUUCCAAUUUGGCUACAACUUGCCGAAUUGAUAAAUUGAAUUUAGAAUGGAAAAUCAAUUUGGUGAGCAACAAAAUCAACAAGUUUGAAAAAUCAAUUGGCUUCUAGAAAAACAUCACAUUUUUCCUCCAUACAAUUUCAACAAAAUCGUCCCACCAACCAUGUCUUUUGAAAUUUGCAUGCCAUUCUUUGACUUUUCAACAAUUCUCCACCUCGGCGAAAAUUUUCCAAAUCUGAGCCGACUACCAACUAACCAUCCCCAAAGUGAUCCUUCAAUAAGGAUCCAGAAUGGCUGUGUCGAUUCGACUGCCUACGUACCCAAACUGUCUUGAUUUUCUCUCUAAUUGAAAGCAUAAAGUAUUUCAAUCAAAUUCUGUACCAGGAAUACGUAAAAGUUACUAAUAUUUUAUUUCCAUCUGUUCGCAUUGAUAACUCGGCGGCAUAUGUGUUGUGCGCGGAAUGCGGAAUCAAGCGCGCCAAAUAAUUAUAGAAAAAUAAAGGACACAAGAAUUACGUGGUUCGGGAAGCAGUUGGCAGCAAAUUCAUAUGGAGUGUAGACAAUGAUGAGCAAAAAGGUGAUUCUCAAUUUCUUUUUUUUUUAAAGUGAAAUUAUUUGUUAGAUUGAAGCUGAUAUUGUAAGAAGGCCAUUGAGCUAACCUAUGUCGCCACUUGCCUAGAUUGCAGGGGGUCAAGACUCAAAAGAAGCACUGAAAUUUAAAAAGCAUGCAAUAGUUCUUUUGCCAUGUAUCAAUUAAUGCAAGUUUGAAUAAAAUUAACAUAUAUCAAGACACAACUAGAAACAUCAUACUUUCGUGUAAGUUCAUUUCAGAAUAUUUCUUAGAGUUUGUAUAAAAUGAAAAGAUUUUAAAAUAUAAAUUUAAUAUUUGUUUAUUACCGUUGUUUGGUCUAAUUUCCUCGGGAGAAUUUUCAGAAUUUAUAGGACAUUAGUUUAUAAUUUUGAAAUUUUGUAACCUAAAUGUUUUUUUUUUUCGGUUACCAUUUUGUUUUCCUGCUUUAUCUACGUGUAUGUUGACUAAAACUAAUCUAUUUUGUUAAACCUUUACCACUUUAGACAUUGCACUAAAUAUGAGUUCGUGAUGCUUGCAUUUUAUUGAUGCUGAUGAUUCGUUGAAUGUUUUAUGUUUUUGAUUUUUAAGUAUUCCGGAUCGAAGUUUGUGUCUACGCGGAAAUUGUAAAGGCAGCAUAUAAAGUACUCGUCGUUCUUUAGAUUUUAUUGAGUACACUUUUUUCACAUUUAGCGUAUGCUAUACACUACUGAUUUGCGCAUUGACAUAUAACUUAUUUUAUCAUUUUGAAUGAAUUGCACGGCGAGGCUUAUCAACUUUGGAUGAAUCCUCCAAUUGUCACAGUCCAAGACUGGCUGCAGUGAGUGAAAAUUUACCCAUAUAUAUGCUGGCUAUUUUUAUUGGCGACGAAUUCGUUGUAGUUGGUCCAUCUUGCUAUUCUCGGACAAUAUUAGAGAAAAUAAUCAUAUUAUUUCGCGUGAUGUGACCUUCCAUAACUUAUCAAUUGAAUUACUGUAAAAUUAUUGUGUAAGUUUAGGCCCAAUGGCACUUUAGUUCAUCACAUGAUAGCCUGGAUUUAAAUGGAAAACUAUAUUGCAUUGCUUCAAAAAAAUAAAUUAAUGUUUUUAAUAUGAAUAUUUUUAACUAUAUUCAGUUAAAAUAAUAUAUUCUUAAUAUUAAUAUUCAUAGAUGAAAUUCUUUUGCGGAUUUAAGAAUAAAAUAUCAAAUAGUUUUAUUUUUCUUUUGUUGUGUAACUUGGACCGAAAAAGAAAAUGAGCUUAACAUGACCCUCCUUCCGGCACUAUGCAUGUUUUUCUUGUAUUGAUGACAGUGCUCUUGGUGCUUCUCAUCUGCUUCUUGCUUUGGUUUCAAACAAGUCUUUCUCCGUCAAGACAUUUAUUGUAAUUUCAUUUGGAGACAUCUGUCGUUCAAAUAUAUUUCAUAUUCAAGCUGUUGAUAAUUCUGCUUGAGAAAGCCUACAAAGCAGCUGUGUGAUGUAAUGGAAGACUAUAUAUGCAAGCGGUCAUCAGUUUCUCUUGAAUUCUUUCUUGAGUUUCUUUGAAUUAUUUGUGAAUGAGUUCUUAAUCGGCUGCUGCUCUUCAGGAAAAGGAAAGUUUUGCAAACUGGUGAAGCUGAUCGAUAAAAGCAAUGUACCAUCUUUGCUGGCAUGGAUCGAUGCCAGUGAGUAGCUCAUUGGUGGAAGUAUUGCCAGUAACAGAACCCAAAGCAAAUGAAACUAUUUCAAGGCAGCAGUUGGCGCUUGCAAGUGAAUGGAGGCCAUUGACAAAAUUCUCAAGUGGUUGCGAUGCAAUUACGAUCAUCCUCAGCCUCAUGUAAAUUCUUCUCCUGCUUUGUUUUUAUUUGUUAUCUAAUUAAGAAGCACAAAGUAUCUUCAAUCAUUUUCUGUAUCUGGAAUAUAUGCAACAGUUUCUAAAAUUUUGAAACGAGUGUAAGGAUGGUAAUUUCUGUUUUCUGCCUGUCAUCCAAUGUUAGACAACUUUCAUUGAGACUCUUGAACAGAGUCAUCUUUGCUGGCAUGGAUCGAUGCCAGUGAGUUUUUUUAUUUGUCAACCUUUUUAAUAAUGCAUAUGUGUUUCUUCAACUUGAAGCGGCAUAUAAGACGAAAGAAGUGAUCUUUAUCCAAUUGCUCCAAAUUAUUUGCAAAUUACUGAACACGAAUGCUGAUGAAUAAACUGAUGGCUCUAUGUAUGUAUGCACAUGCAUGGAGAAAUUUUAAGUCAGACAUUGACUCGUGGUACCAAAUCAUUAAAUAAUCUUGAAAUCAAAGUAAUAAUUAAAUACAAAUAAAUUGCUCGAAUUGUACAUAUAUCUGAAUCAUGUAGUGAAGAAAAUACAACAACAACAGCCAAUGGCUCAAAUUCCCUAUCAACUUCUAGUCUCAACACUUUUGAGUGUCAGAAGCAUUACUCUGCUACUAGUUAACAAACAUAUAAUUAGUAAUUUGCCAUUCACUUCCCUUUUAGGCCUAACACAUUUUCUAUAAAAGAGCCACAGAGUGAACUCAGCAGGAAACACUCAAUUUCAACCUACGUAGGACCAGGAAUUUCAACCAAAAAAAAAGUGUGCAAUUGCUUAUCCUAUCCUAUUGCUACUAGAAAGAAAGUGAACAAUUAAUUUCAGUGAAUAAAUUAAAAAAAAAAUUACUUCUGCAGAUACUCAAGCUAAGAACACAUUAACCCAUUAAAGACUCCAAAUUGCAUCAAACAAAUUGUUGUUAAACAAGUAAAACAAAGAAAGAGAGUUAAGGAAGCUGACCAAGUAGUAGGGGAGCUGAAGAAAGACUGCCAGUGAAUGUAAGAGAAAAUAAAAUGCAAGAAAUGGUGAAGUGCAGCUUUUCAUGUCAACUUGAAAUUGAGUUUUCUGUUUUUUUUUUUUUUUUUAAUCUUUUGGAUUUUUCAAACAAAGAAAAUGAGGAGCAACCAGGGAGAUAAAAAGGGCGCCAAGGCAACUGUGUGUUGGGUUUAGAGCCAAAAAAAAAAAGAAUAAGACAUCGUGUUCUUGUGGAGACCAGACCUAUUACGUAACGUCCCCUUCAAUACCACUAGUUCCGUAUCUGGUUUUUUCUUCGUCUUUUACAUAGUUUGCAAUUUUAUUCAUUUGAGCCCUACAGAUGAUAUAAGGGACAAGAGCGCAAAACAGAAACUCUGUCCACUACUGAUGAUAUAACAACGAACCGGGGUUUUUAAUUAAAUACCCUUUAAUAGUUUCAAAAUUAUUUAAAUACCUCCUCCCUUUUUAGUUUUCAUGGAUACCCUAACAAAAUUAUUUAAAAAUGGUUCAAUUUUAUUCUACUCUCAGGAAUUAAGUGUUGGAUAGACUAGAAAAUUCUGAGUACAAAGCAUCGCUUGUUUUCGUUGGUUUUUUUUUUGCAUUCCAGUAGAAAGGUUGUGUACAAUUGAAUCUGAUAACUAUGGCAGGAGGUAAGUUUUCUAACUUGCGCAUGAUGAAUAUAGUCUUUUAUUUCUUCCAUUGUAAUUUUUGUUUAAUAGAAAAUCUAUUUGAGAUUUUGUGAGAAGAAACUCAACAAUAAAGUUUGAUAGACUUUGUGGAUAUUAAGAGUUUGACAAGUAAUUGAAAUCUGAAGUUUACUGAAGUUUACGAGCAAACAAACUGAAAUCCGAAGUUUACUGAAGUUUACUAUCAAGAGUUUCAAAACAGUGAAAAAGAUGAUAUGGUUGAUGACAAAAACCUGAGUUAUCCAUAGCGACAAGUAACAUACUGAAGUAAGCCGUGGGGAGCUGGCCUGUUCAUGGGCUAUUUUUCUCUGAUGAUCUGCAUUUUUCUUCCUUUUAAGUGAACCUUGACUCGUAUCAAACCUGUCAAAAGAACAGUUCAUCAACUGAGCUGAGAUUUGCUUUCCUUUUUCAAAACCCACCUGAGAUAUUGUAAUUCCCAAAUUUCUCUCUCUCAGCUACACGAGCAAGCAGCCGCUUUUUCACUUCAUCGACGAAGGUAAGCGAUAAUAUCUAUUUCGUCCGAUUGAUUUCUUGUUUCCUUUUCAGUGUUCGGGUAAAUUAUUGGCAUGCCUGACUUUUUGACCAUUACAUGAUUCAUAAAUUUAUAUUAAUUUUGAUUUUGAGUUGACCGGUUACUUUUAUUGGUUUGCUUACUUUGACUAGGUGACCGAUUUCUUGUAACUAAAUUUAUGACGUGAUGCAGGAAGCUGGGCAGGAUAUGAAAUGAGAAUCUUAUUAGUGGAAGGAUUGCCAGUAACAGAACCCAAAGAAAAUGAAACCAUUUCAAGGCAGCAGUUGGCAGUUGGGAGUGAAUGGAGGCCCCUGACAAAACUUCAGUAAACUUCAGAUUUCAGUUUGUUUGCUCGAAACUUGCAUGGUGACAAGGAUACUGGCAAGGAUAAUGAGAUAGUUUUUGUGUGAAUGAAAUUACGAUCAUCCUCAGACUCAGGUAAUUUCUUCUCCUGCUUAGUUGUUAUUUGUUACCUAAUUAAGAAGCAUAAAGUAUCUUGAAUCAUUUUCGUUGUCUGGAAUAUAUGCAACAGUUUUUAAAAUUUUGAUAUCAGUGUAAUGAUUGUAAUUUCUGUUUUCUGUCUGUCAUCGAAUGUAAGACAACUUUAUUAAGAUUCUUGAACCGAGUCAUUUUUGACAAUUGAAGAACAAGUGCUGAAGAGUGGGAAUGCAAAAAGUUUUGUUGUUUUUAGCCUUGUUUUCUUUGAACCAGCGCCUGAUUCACAAGAGUUCAUUAAUUUGGCUUUUGAUCAGCUGAUUGAUAAAUGUUCAAUUUCUUUGGUGAUAAAUGUAUAUGUGAAGCAGGCAGCAGGGCAUGACUGUGGAAAAGAGAAGAUUUUAGUGAAAGCUGAGACUCAGAUAAUUCUACGCGUUUUGGCUGAUUUAUAUAAUUCGUGAAAUUUUAUUUCCAUCUGUUACAAGAUCAAACUGCAAUUAGCAAUUUAACAUUCCCUUAAAACCACUAGCUACAUUUCAUCUUUGCACAAUUACACUUAAAAUUCCACUAAAAGAAACUCUUGAGUUGCUCGCAAGCUAUAUGUCAUUAUCCAUUGAAUUCUUACCACAUACAUCUCACCUUUCAAUCAAUCACAUAAUAAUCAAUAUACAUAUUGUAAGAAUUCAACAAAUGGAGAACAUAAUAUACUAUAAAAGCAUCCAAAAUUUUUCCAUCUCAAAUUAUUACUAAACUUCUUGAACAAGUUGAAGAUUGGGGGGAAAAAGUGCAAGAAGGAAAAGCAUUAUUCUACUAGUUUCUAGGUUUCUCAUUUGAACAGAAAGAUUAAAUAAGAUAUUUGUGUAUGGCUGUAGUACUACACGGUAUCUGCUAGAAAGCAAAAUACCUUCUGCUGAUUGCACAUUGGAAUGGGAAUAAGUUGGUAAAUAUAUAAGUUACAUAAAUUAUUUUGGAUAAUUCUGCUGGUGAAUUAAUUAUCUUAAAAUCACCCUUUUAUUUUUUAAAAAAUCUUAAGUUAUUUUUCAUAUAUCUUAGGAAGACAAACAAACUUUCAUCAACUCUCCUUUUUUAGCUUUUCCCUUCAAUAAUGUUAGAAAUUCUAACAUUUGAGUCCUGCUUGAGCUUAAUACUAUUUAUCACUCAUUUAUUAGAUGAUGAAUUUUUUAAAUUAUAAAGUUAUUUGACUACCAUUCAAUGAAUGAAUGUCACAUCAUUUAAAACUCAAAGAAAAGUAUUCUACUUCUUGCGGCAAUCAUGCCUUCAUUCAGACUAUGAACCAUUUCCUUUCACCAAAUUCUUCAUAAACAUUGAAUAAGUUUCAUGGUUGGACAUAGUUAGCUUCUGUUUCUUUUGGUGCAUUUAGGUGCUAUCAAGUGACGGCCGUAAGUAUGAUUGCAUUAUUGGGAAUUUUACGAUUUGAUGGUUCCCCACGUUAUUGCCAAGAAAGUUCUCAUGUCGGAAGCAGCGGUUCUUUUCAUCAGCCUGAACCCGAACCUGUCGCUAUGGAUAACUCAGGUUUUUGUCAUCAACUAUAUCAUCUUUUUCACUGUUUUGAAACUCUUAAUAUUAAACUUACAGUAAACUUCAGAUUUCAGUUUGUUUGCUCGAAACUUGUAUGGUGACAAGGAUACUGGCAAGGAUAAUAAGGUAGUUUUUUGUGUGAGUGGAUUUUGAGAGCUUGUGUGUAUAGGGAUUUGCAAUUACAAUCAUCCUCUGCCUCAGGUGAUUUCUUCUCCUGCUCUGUCUUUAUUUGCUCUCUAAUUGAAAAGCAUAAAGUAUUUCAAUCAAAUUCUGUACCAGGAAUAUGUAAAAGUUCCUAAUAUUUUAUUUUCAUUUGUUUGCAUUGAUAACUUGACGGCAUAUGUACUAGUUAAAGAACAAACAGAAUCAGAGCUCAAGAAAAAGUUUUUUCUGCCAUCAUAUUUGAAAAUGAAGUCAUUUGCAGGAAGCGGUUGGCAGCAAAUUCAUACAAAGUGUAGACAAUGAUGAGCAAAAAAGGUGAUUCACAGUUUGAUUUUUUUUUAAUAAUGAAAAUAAUUUGGUAGGUUGAAGCUGAUAUUGUAAGAGGGCCAUUGAGCUAACCUAUGUCGCUACUUGCCAAGAUUGCAGGGCGUUAAGACUCAAAAGAAGCACUGAAUUUUAAAAGGCAUGCAAUAGUUCUUGUGCCAUAUGUCAAUUCAUGCAAGUUGGAAUAAGUUUAUUGGUUUGAACGCUGUUAGCUCCUUUUCCUUUCGUGCAUUUUGGUAUGCUAUCAAGUGACAGCCGUAUGUAUGGUUUGCAUAUAGCUGCUGCUGGGAAAUGUGAGGAUUUCAUGGCUGGCCGUGUUAUUGUUUUAAAUUAGAUGUGAUAAGCUGUUGCUUGGAGAUUCUGUUGCCAAGACUUUGCUCACAUCAGAAGCUGUGGAACCUCAACCCUUCUCUAGAUAUCAUCUUUUUCAUUGUUUUAAAACUCUCAGGAUUAAACUUGAGUAAAUUUGUUCGGUUGUCUAUAUAAUCAUGUAUUGAGUAAACUCUCAGGAUACCGAGCAGGCAAAUGCCAUAACUCGGUUUGUUCUUCAAAAACUUGUUUAAGAUUCUUGACAAAGCUGCAUGAAGUGAAUCUUGGGAGCUUUGAGGGUGAGAGAAAUUAGAGGGUGUAUAGGGAUUUGGGUUUAUUAGUAAGUUAUAUAUGUAUUUCGUCACUUAUCAUUAUCAUUUUUAUUUUCACAGAAAACCUUCUGAUGGUGCUAAAUUUUCAAACACCGGUCCGAUUCAAAACUUCAUAUUCCAAUUAUAUUCAUAAGACAAAUGGAACACUUUGAACGGCUAGUGUCCGAGCAUUGUAGUUUGAUUUAUUUUGAUGAAAGUACCUUUUGACAUUGAGAUUCUUUCAUGAUUUAAACAUUCUUUUUUAAACCAAAUUAUUAAAAAAAGUAACUAACAUAUAUUAUUUUAUUAGUGCUUUUUAAAUCAAAUAUACAUAGGAGAACUGUAAUUCUUAGCAAUCAAUUUUUCACUAAAUACACCUGCAAUAAACUAUUAAUAACAAAGUGAUAGAAAAUACCUGAUUUUUCAUACUUUCUAAUUUCUUGUGGUCCUAAAAUAUGGGCAUUUGUGUAAUAAUUAGCCCAUGUGGAUCUCUAUGCCAUGAGUUUGAUAAAUAGCUAUCAAGGAUCACUUAUUAAGCUGAAAAUAUUUGGAGGACAAAAUUGUAAAACUAAAAGGGUAGAGCAAAUAUGGCUAUCUAGGAUUAAAUAGUAAGUCAACUAUAUUUAAAGGAUAAAAUGUUAAAACUUGAACUGUGAUAUUAAAAAUAUCUCAACUAUUACAUUAUUAAACCAUAUGUUCUAAUAGUUUUUUUUUAAGCUUCAAAAUGUUCAGGAUUUUAGAUUGAAACAUUUUCAUUUGAAAUUAUUUGGUGCAGUCACAAGUUAAGAAAGAAAAAGUUGUCCCAUUGGUCAUUUCACAAAAAUGAAAGCCCUGUAUAACAUGGACUUGAAUGGAAGCCCAAUUGUUUGUGUUUGAUUAAUUGAUUUCAAGCUUUAUCGGAUCUUUGGACCUGGAUACUUUACCGCGGCCUCUAAGCGCUAUAAUUUUUUUUUUUUUGGGAUAAACGGCGCUUCAAUGAGGGCAUUUCCAAUACUUAACACUAUUUUGGUGUAACACCAACACUAAAAAUGUACAUUUUUCACACUAAAUUACUAUUUAAUCUCCAACCCAUUUGAUCUACCAUGAUUGUGACUCCCACUGGGGCCACGUUCUGUUGAUCACCCUCUCGUCACCGAUAGCGCCUCCGCUUGUGGCGAACUUGCUUGUCUAUUUUCCCUAUUUUUCCGCUUACUCUCCUCAUUUAAUACGGAGGCUGCAACAUCAUCGAAAACUAGACUGUCCACUGAAUUGUAGUUUGUCAGGUUGACGAUGAGUUGUUCAUACGAAUCUUAUAGACUUUGAAGUAGAAGCUCUGCAUGUACAUUAUCCUCUAUAUUAUGACCCAACGUUGUGAGUUGUGAAAAUAGAGUCUUCAAGGUGUUGAUGUGGUCGGUCACCAUUGUAGAUUCCACCAUUCGAAGAGUAUAAAGUCUCCUCUUCAAAAAGAUUUUGUUGUGUAGUGACUUGGCCUCGUACAAUUUUGUAAGAGUAUCUCAUAUUUCCUUUGCUGUAUUUUUCUCUGCCACACUGGAUAAUACUCCAUCCGCAAGUGCCAAGUGUAGAUCAGAAAUAGCGUUGCCAUCUAUCUCAUUCCACUUGUCAUCAGUUAUCUCCAUGGGCCUUUCUCCAAUUGCUGCCAAACAAUUAUUUUUCCUCAAUACAACUUUCAUCUUCAUUUUCCACAAUGAAAAAUUAUUUCCGUUAAACUUCUCAAUUUCAUAUUUUGCUGCCAUUUUUUUGAUAAAUACCGCACACAAGUUAGUGUAUCACCUUGAAUAGUUGUCGGUAUGUGUGAGAAUGCACACCAGGAAAGUUCCCAGGAAAGACUGGAGGGGUCACACUGGUCCACUUAAAACUCAGACUCCUUAAGCACUUAUCGCGUUUGUAACAGAACUUUCCUAGACAUGUACAAAACCACACAGUUGCUUUUACUUACACCACUAUUUCCUACUUUGCAGUGCAAAAGUUCUUGGAUCGCUCCCAUCGUUUCUCGUGAACAGUACCAUAUACGUGAACAGUGCCACAUACAUGAAUAGUACCGUAUACGUGAACAGUACCGUAUACGUGAAUACUACCCUUUACGUGAACAGUACUUGACUCCAAAAAAUUCAACCAAUAGCUUUGAUACCACUGUUAGGAAAUUGGUAGGUGAAGCAGACACGCAGCUAAAAUAAAAUUGGAAGAAAAUAAAGAACAAGUACAAAGUGGACACCAAGAAAUUACGUGGUUCGGCUUUUAGCCUACGUUCACGGGCGAAGAUAGAAGGAAAAUAUUAUACUAGUGAUAUGAAGAUUACAAGUAUUGUAAUAUUUUGGCUCACUAUCCAAAACCCCAAUACACUCAAUCUCUCACUCAAUAAACUCUCAGGAGCUUUAUUAUUUUAAGCUCUUAAAAUCUCUCAAGCUUUCUCCUUAUUAUUCUCUCACAAAUUGUAUGCUAAAAUUAGGGUGGGAAGCCCUCUUUAUAUAUCCAAGAUUUUGGCUCUUUUUUUUUUAUAUAACAAGUCAACACGGCACCAUUAAGAAUGGCGAGCCAUGUUGAAUGGCAUGGCACCGCCCAUCUAGAUGGCCGGUGCCAACCAUGACUUUAACAUUCUAUCACUUGGAGAUUUGAUUGAGAAUCAAUCAAUCUCCACAUCAUCCUUUCUACUUCGCCAUAAUCAUGUUGCCUACGUUUUUACUAGGCCACAAGAGGAUCUACUCCAGUUAAACUUAUCAAUAUUGAUUGGCUUAGUCAAAACAUCUGCUAGGUUCUCCUUCGUAUGGAUUUUUGCAAAUUGACACUUCCAUCUUCCACUACUUCUCGAACGAAGUGAUACUGAACUCCUAUGUGCUUUGUCUUGGAAUGAAAGGCUGGAUUCCUUGCAAUGUGCAAGGCACUCUGACUGUCACAAAACACAGGAAUUUUCUGUUGUUUGUGCCCGAGCUCCUCCAAUAAUCUUUGUAUCCAAAUAGCUUCCUUGCAAGCUUGUAUAGCUGCCAUGUAUUCUGCUUCUGUUGUAGAUAAAGCCAGAACGGUCUGCAGUUUCCAAACCCAACUUACAACUCCUCAUGCAAAUGUAAACACAUAACUAGUAGUGGAUUUCCUUUUAUCAAGGUCUCCUGCAAAAUCUGAAUCCACAUAGCCCCUGACAGUAAACUCUGAUCCUCAAUAACAUAAUACAACAUCUGAGGUUCCUCUUAUGUAUCUCAGAAUCCUCUUCACAGCUAUCCAAUGCUGUCCACCAGGAUUCACCAUGUAUCGACUGAUUGCUCCCACUGCUUGUGCAAUGUCUGAUCUUGUACAUAUCAUAGCGAACAUCAAACUUCCCACUGCUGAUGCAUACGGUACUUGAGACAUCUCCUUCCUCUCUGCUUCAUUGCUAGGACACAUACUUGAGGAUAAUUUGAAAUUAACAGGAAGUGGGGUAGAAAUUGACUUACAAUCUUGCAUGUUGAAGCGCCACAAGAUUUUCUUCAAGUAGUUAUUCUCAGAAAGCCAAAUCUUUCUGUUAUUUCUGUCUCAGUGAAUUUGCAUCCCUAGAAUCUUGUUUGCUGGUCCCAAGUCCUUCAUUUCAAACUCCCUAGCCAACAGUGCCUUCACUUCUUGGAUUCGAUCUUUGUCGGGGCCUGCUACCAACAUGUCAUCCACAUAUAACAACAAAAUAAUGAAAUCAUUAUCUUCAAACCUUUUGUAAUAUGCACAAUGGUCUGAACUGAGUCUGUUAUAUCCAAGACUCAUGAUGAAGGAAUCAAAUCUCUUAUACCAACACCUCGGCGCCUGUUUGACACCGUAUAGAGAUUUGUUCAACCUACAAACCAAGUUUUCCUUUUCUGUUUCUGCAAAACCUUCUGGUUUGAGCAUAUAAAUUUUCUCUUCAAGUUCUCCAUGAAGAAAUACAGUUUUCACAUCUAACUGCUCUAGAUGUAGGUCAAAUAUAGCACACAUUGCCAAGACUACUCUGACUGUUGUGAGUCGAACCACCGGAGAAAAUAUCUCGUUGAAGUCAAUACCUUCUUUCUGAGCAUAUCCUUUCACCACCAAUCUUGCACGAUACCGCUCCACUUGAUCAUUGCCAUCACGUUUGAUCUUGUAGACCCAUUUGUUUCCAAUGACUUUUCUUCCAUGUGGUAGUGGUACAAGUUCCCAUGUCUUAUUUUUAUGUAGAGCUUCAAUUUCUUCCUGCAUUGCUGUCAUCCACAAAGCAACAUUUGAACUUUCUAAAGCUUCAUGGAAAGUUGAUGGCUCUCCAUCCUCUGUUAGAAGACAGUAUGCAACAUGGAUCUCUGUGACAUACUCCGAGUGCCACGCUGGCGAUCGUCUCUCACCAAUUGACCAAAGAACUUCUGGAGUCUCAGACUCGACUGGUUCUUGUUCCUCGUGCUCUGGUGCUGCUUUAGAAGAAUCUGAAUCUUCUAGAUUAUUUCCACAUAUACCGGCACAGUUUCUGACUUUUCUUUUACAGUGUCAUCAUCUCCAUCUUUCCUUUACAGUUGAUCUUCUACAAAAAUAACAUCUCUGUUGAUGACGAUCUUGUGGGCAGUGGGGUCCCACAAACGAUACCCCUUUACUCCAUUAGCAUAUCCCAAGAAGAUACAUCUUCUAGAUUUUGGAUCCAGCUUUGUUCUUUCUUACGGAUUGUACAUCACAUACACAGGACAUCCAAAUGCAUGUAAGUAGGAAUAAUCAGCUGGCUUUCCAGUCCACAUCUCCACGUUGUCUUCAGCCCAAUAGCUGUAGAUGACGACUGAUUUACUAUAUAACAAGCAGUUUUGGCUGCUUCUUCCCAAAAUGAAUUGGGUAGACCAGCAGUCCUCAACAUAGCUCUUAUUCUUUUGUAAGAGUUUUGUUCAUCUACUCCGCCACUCCAUUUUGUUGAGGAGUGUAUGCUACCGUGAACUGUCUAUGAAUACCUUCUUACUUACAGAAAGCAAGAAACUCACCGUCUGUAUACUCUCCACCAUUAUCUGUCCUCAAGCACUUGACCCUUUUACCAGAUUCAAGUUCCACCCGCGCUUUGUAUUCUUUAAAUACUGGAAAUAUAAUUGACUUUUUCAUAAUUGGAUACACCCAACAUCUCCUGGAAUAAUCAUCAAUGAAAGUCACCAUAUACUUUGCACCUCCCAUGGAUAUAUCCAGUGAUUCCCAAACAUCAGAAUGAAUCAAGUCUAAAAUGCAUUUACUUCUAGCAAUAGAUUUACUGAAUUUUAAUCUAUGCUGCUUACUUGUAACACAAUGCUCGCAAAAUGGUAAACUUACCGAUUUAAGCCCCGGAAGUAAUUUUCACUCAGAGAGAAUCUUCAAACAUUCUGACAUGUGACCAAAUUUGAGAUGCCACAUCAUCGUUGACUCUUCUCCAUUUGAUACGAGACACGCAUUAGCCUCCUAUAGUGUUUCUCCUUUAAGCAUGAAUAGAUUAGCACCGAUCUUUUCUGCCUUCAUCAAUACAAGCGCUCUUUUAACAAUUUUCGUAAUUUCAUUCUCCAUAUGAGUUUUAUACCCAUGACUAUCCAUUUGUCCCAAAGACAAUAGAUUUUUAUUCAGGUCAUUGACAUGUCGUACCUCCCCAAUUGUGCGAAUUGUACCAUCAAAAUUUUUAUUUUGAUAGUGUCAAUACCAGCGAUCUCCAAGGUAUGAUCAUUACCCAUAUAUAUAGAUCCUCCUGAGAUAUGUUCAUAUGUGUGGAACCAUUCUCUCCGAGAGGUCAUGUGCCAGGUAGCUCCUGAGUCUAUAAUCCAGACAUCAGAUAGUCGUUUUCUACCUUCUAAAACAGUUGUUGCCUCGCUUUAGAGAAUUUCACCAUUAUCUGAAGUACUUGCUACACACCCUUGAGCAUUUGAUGACUCAGGUUAUUUGCCCUCUCUUCUCUUCUGGUUACUCCAACACUUUUUCUUGACGUGCCCUUUCUUGCCACAGUUGUAGCAUUUAACAUUCUUCUUACUUCUGGAUUUUGAUCUACCAUGAUUAUGACUUCUACUGGGGUCACGUUCUGUUGAUCUCCCUCUCGUCACCAAUAGCGUCUCCGCUUGCUGCGAACUUGCUUGUCUGCUUUCAUUAUUUUUCCGCUUACUCUCCUCAUUUAAUACGGAGGUUGCAACAUCGUCGAAAACUAGACCGUCCGCUGGAUUGUUGUUUGUUAGGUUGAUGAUGAGUUGAUCAUACGAAUCUGGUAGACUUUGAAGUAGAAGCUCUGCAUGUACAUUAUCCUCUAUAUUAUGAUCCAACGUUGUGAGUUGCGAAAAUAGAGUCUUCAAGGUGUUGAUGUGGUCGGUCACCAUUGUAGAUUCCACCAUUCGAAGAGUAUAAAGUCUCUUCUUCAAGAAGAUUUUGUUGUGUAGUGACUUGGCCUCGUACAAUUUUGUAAGAGUAUCUCAUAUUUCCUUCGCUGUAUUUUUUUCUGCCAUACUGGAUAAUACUCCAUCCGCAAGUGCCAAGUGUAGAUAAAAAAUAGCGUUGCCAUCUAUCUCAUUCCAUUUGUCAUCAGUUAUCUCCAUGGGCUUUUCUCCAAUUGCUGCAAAACAAUUAUUUUUCCUCAAUACAGCUUUCAUCUUCAUUUUCCACAACAAAAAAUUAUUUCCGUUAAACUUUUCAAUUCCAUACUUUGCCGUCAUUUUGUUCAUAAAUACCGCACACAAGUUAGUGUACCACCUUGAAUAGUUGUCAGUAUGUGUGAGAAUGCACACUAGGAAAGUUCUCAGGAAAGACUGGAGGGGUCACACUGGUCCCACUUAAAACCCAAACUCCUUAAGCUCUUAUCGCCUUUGUGACAGAACUUUCCUAGACAUGUACAGAAUCACACAGUUGCUUUACUCACACCACUAUUCCCUGCUUUGCACCGCAAAAUUCUUGGAUCGCUUCCACCGUUUCUCGUGAACAGUAUCGUAUACGUGAACAAUGUCGUACAUGUGAAUAGUAUCAUACAUGUGAAUAGUAUCGUAUACGUGAACAGUACCGUAUACAUGAAUACUACCCUUUACGUUAAGAAAUUGGUGGGUGAAGCAGACACGCAGCUAAAAUAAAAUUGGAAGAAAAUAAAGAACAAGCACAAAGUGGACACCAAGAAAUUACGUGGUUCGACUUUUAACCUACGUCCACGGGCGAAGACGGAAGAAAAAUAUGAUACUAGUGAUAUGAAUAUUACAAGUAUUGUAAUAUUUUAAUUUACUACCCAGAACCCCAAUACACUCAAUCUCUCACUCACUAGACUCUCAGGAGCUUUAUUAUUUUAAGCUCUUAAAAUCUCUCAAGCUCUCCUUAUUAUUCUCUCACAAAUUGGAUGCUAAAAUGAGGUGGGAAGCCCUCUUUAUAUAGCCAAAAUUUUGGCUCCUUUUUUUUUUUUAUAACAAGUCAACACGGCACCACCAAGAAUGGUGGGCCGUGUUGAAUGGCAUGGCACCGCCCAUCUAGAUGGCCGGUGCCAACCAUGACUUUAACAUUAUAGUCCAAGUUUUCGAGGACCACUAUAUUGUAUUGAUUUAAAAAAAACUAAUAUUUUUAAUAUUAAUAUUCUAAAUUAUAUUCAGUUAAAAUAUUAAAUAUUAAAAACAUUCUUAAUAUUAAUAUUCUUAGAUGAAAUUAUUUUGCUGACUUAAGAAUAAAAUAUUAAAUAAUUUUAUUUUUCUUUUAUUGUGUAACGUGGACCAAAAAAAAGGAAAUGAAUUUAAUAAAACCUUCAUUCAAAACCUUCAUUCCGCCACCAUGCAUGCAUGUUAAUUGUUUCCAAAUUCCAACCUCCGUACUCUCUUGAGGAGUUUCCCAUUCAUCAAUUAUUAUUUUUUAUAAUCCAUACCAUCCUGAUAUAAUUAAACACCAUUAAUAAUGUACCAGCCUUUAAAUAGUAAUUAAUUUAUUUAGUUGGCCACCUAAAAGAAUCCUGCAGGAAAUAGAGGUUAAAAAUUUUAUUAAAUUUGCUUACCGCUGUAUCAUUAUAUAUAUAAAGAGUGAAAUCUAAAUGAAAUUUUUUAUCAUCCAUUCAGCAAACACUUAUAAUUCACAAAUAGUGAAUCUAUGCAUUGACAAUGUGGAUUAAGAAUUAUAACACAUGAAUUCAAACAUACCCUUGUGAAGUUAAGAAUAAGUUCAUACUUCAAAUGAUUUUUUAGCUAAUAAAGCAAUCAGUUUCAUUAAACGACAGCGUUGAAGGAAUUGUGCAAUUUUUUACGUUCUUUUCUAGACAGACGUUACAGAAAUGGGGUAAGUAGAGGGCUGGCCUCAGAUAUCUCACAAUUGUUAGUGAGAUAAAAUGUUAUUGUAAAAGGCGUUUAAUAGAAUAAUAUUAAUUCUUUUGCAUUGUUAUAAAAAUAUUUUUUUCUUUUGACAGUUCUGCAGGACAAGUGAUCAGAGCUCAAUGAAUAUAGCCGUGGAGGCACAGCAGAGCAGGAUUAUGAAAAAGAGAAGCUUAUUACAGGUCAUUCAAGUUUACUUGCUUUUAUAUAAUAAGUGUUUUGGCCGAUUUAUCUAAUUCACCAAAUGUUUUUUCCGGUACAUAUCUCCAUUGGUAUCAAGAAGAGGCAGAACCCAAAGAAACGUUUCUUGCAUCUUCAUAUUUGUGCGCAUUCAUCCUUUCAUUGAGAAUAACCAUUUCCAGGCAGCAGUUGCCAAUCAAUUCGCACGUCGAUGCUAUUCAUAGAUAUUAAAGACAAUGAUGAACCAAAGGUGAUAAAUCAUAAAUGCAUAAUUACCAAACCUCCAUCCUUCUCUCAUUAUGAUUUGAUUUUAAAUGAAUUAUUGCUUGGUAACAUUAUUUCCAACCAUUGCAAGACCUUUUUUUUUUUUUGGGAGAAAUUUCAAUUGAAAGUGAAACCUUUAGACAUUUACCUAAUGAAGUUAGUUAAUCGGGAGGGUGGAAAAAAAAAAGUUGACGCAAGUCAAUACACAAUAAUGAUUAAUUAAAUCCGGAGUGACUAAAACAGAGCCACUACUUUUUCAAAAAUAUCUGCAUUCAUCACUUUCUCCAGCAGCUAGUCAGCUACACACGAAUCAAUUUCUCUCCUCGUUUGUCAUCCAAAAUUAUUCACCAAUACCAUGGCUGAUGCAAUCGUUUCCACUAUCUUGGAGCAGCUGAUUUCCUUCGCUGCUGAAGAGAUAAAACAACAGGUGAUCGAAGUUACACCCCUCAUAUUACAAAUACUUCCAAUGAUUUUAAUUGGUUUUGUUUUUAUCAAAAACAUUAUAUAUUUUUGCUUUUUUUUAUUUAUCUGAUAAUUUUAUAUUUUGAAAUUUGAAUUGAAUUUAAUUAAAAGGUGAUGUAGUAACCACUCAUUUUUAUUUUAUUUCAUUUAUAUUCUCGAUAACUAACCAUAUUUUGGUAACUUAAUAUAACUCUCGUACAUAAGAAAUGAUCCAAACCCACAAUUUUAACUCUGUAUAAAUAUUCAACGUUGAGUCAUUAAUUCUCAACUCAGCACUGAAUCCCAUAGCUAUUACUUAGACUCUAUGAAAAAUUUCAUAGUUUUCUUACAUUCUUUGAGUUUGGUAAGUGAUUUCGUAUAAUUUCUUUUCAAGUUAAAUUUUAAUUUGGUUUAUGAUAUAGUCUCUGUGCCGAAUUGUAUCUUUUAUGAUUCUUGGAUUUUGGGCUCCAACUUUUUAGGAUUUGAUAGUCACAUUUUAUGCCAUGCUCAGAUUGAUUUUCAUGAUUUUAACUACCCGUUAAGUGGCUUACAAUUUGACAAAAGUUUGAAAGGAAAUAUGUUUCAGGAUUCUGUUUUAAUUGACCUUUAAGUAGAAAUAGGAUGCUUAUAACUUAAUGUGGAUGGUUUGUAAAAUCAUGAAAUUCGGAUAGGAUUCACUAGAAAUAUGUACAAGACUCUCCAUAAAGUUUCAUAAUUUUUCAUUCGGUAUGGGGUGGUACAGGUGAAACUUGUGGUUGGUGUUGAAAAAGAAGUGAAAAGCAAGUUGUGCUCGAUGAUGCAGAGGAAAAGCAAGUGAAGGACAAAGCUGUUAGUCUUUGGCUGGGUAGACUCAAGUACGCAUCCUACGACAUUGAAGAUGUGUUGGAUGAGUGGAUCACAGCAAGACGCAAAUUGCAAAUUGAGGGUGGCGUUGAUGAAAAUGCUCUUGUUGUUCCUCAUAAGAAAAAGAAGGUAUGUCUCUACUUUCCCGGCUCUUGUUUUGGAUUCAAACAAGAAGAAUUUGGUUUCAAACAAGUCUUUCUCCGUCAUGACAUUGCCGACAAGAUCAAAGAAAUCAAUGAAGAGCUACAUGAUAUUGCCGCUCAAAAAGACAUGUUUGAUCUUGUUAAGAGUGGCAAUAAAAGUAGUGAAAGACCAAGGCGUGUACAGAGUACCUCCUUGAUUGAUGAAGAAGAGAUUUGUGGCAGAGUUGGUGAGAGGAAUGAACUCUUAAGCAAGCUGUUGUGUGAGAGUAGCGAGCAACAAAAAGGCCUUCAUAUCAUCUCAAUCGUUGGUAUGGGAGGCAUAGGGAAAACAACUCUUGCACAACUAGCUUGUAAUCAUGACGAGGUGAAGAGAAAGUUCGACAAAAUUCUGUGGGUGUGUGUAUCAGAAACUUUUGAGGAGUUUAGGGUUGCCAAAGCGAUCGUUGAAGUUUUGGAUGGUCGUGAAUCUCAUUUAGCUGAAUUCCAUUCUCUUCUUAUAAGUAUUGAUAAAUCUAUUGCGGGAAAGAGAUUUCUUCUUGUCUUAGAUGACGUAUGGGACGGAGAUUACAUUAAGUGGGAACCGUUCUACCGUUCCCUAAAGAAUGGUCUCCAAGGAAGUAAAAUUUUGGUUACUACACGUAAGGAGUCAAUUGCGUUUAUGAUGGGAUCCAUUGAUAUUAUCUCUAUCAAGGGAUUGGCCGAAGAAGAAUGUUGGUCGUUGUUUAAGCGGUUAGCAUUUUUCGGUCGAUCCAUUGAGGAAUGUGGAAGAUUGGAACAAAUUGGACAAAGAAUUGCAGGAAAGUGUAAAGGCUUACCUCUUGCAGCAAAGGUAAUAGGGAGUCUCAUGCGUUCUAAAAAAACUGAAGAAGAGUGGCAAAGAAUCUUAAAUAGUGAGCUAUGGAAAAUAGAAGAGAUCGAGAAAGGUGUUCUAACUCCUUUGUGGUUGAGUUAUAACGAUUUGUCAUCUCGAGUAAAAAGAUGUUUUUUAUAUUGUGCUGUCUUUCCAAAAGACUACAAUAUAAAAAAAGACAAACUAAUUACAUUAUGGAUGGCUCAAGGUUAUCUUAAUGCAGAACAAAAUGAAGAGAUGAAGACAAUAGGUGAAGAGUAUUUUGGCAUCUUAGCUUCUCGCUCUUUCUUUCAGGAGUUUACGAAAAGUUAUGAUAAUCGUAUUAUAUGGUGCAAGAUGCAUGAUAUGGUGCAUGAUUUUGCCCGAUUUGUAAGUCAAAAUGAAUGUUUUUCGAUGGAAAUUAACGGCAGUGAGGAACCAAACGCCACAAACUCUCCUCAUGGGAAGCUUCGUCAUUUAAUGUUAAUCAUUGGUGAAGGGGCUUCAUUUCCUGUCUCCACUUGUAGAGUCAAAAGAAUGCGAAGCCUCUUAAUUGAUAGUAGCAGAUUUGAUUAUCAGUCGUUAAAUGGUGAGAUCCUAGAAGAAUUAUUGAGGGAAUUGACAAGUUUAAGGGCAUUCGAUUUUUGCAGAUCGGACCACACACGAUUGGGUUUCACUCUAGAGAUUCCAAGAAAUAUAAAAAAGCUGAUACAUUUAAGAUACCUUAAUUUGUCUGGUCAGAAAAUAGAGAAGCUACCGGAGGCAUUGUGCGAGCUAUAUAAUCUAGAGAAGUUAGAUAUUUGUGGUUGUUGGUGUCUUAAAGAAUUACCUGAAGGGAUUGGGAAGUUAAUAAACAUGAAGCAUUUACUAAAUAGAAAUACCGAUUCUGUAAGGUACAUGCCAGUAGGGAUUGCGAGAUUAAAGAGUCUUCAGACAUUGGAAGAGGUCAGUGUGAGUGGAAGAGGAUGUCUUGAUGGUAGGAAAGCAUGUAGGCUCGAAUCUCUUAAAAACUUGGAACACCUUCAAAUAUGCGGUAUACGUGGACUGGGUGAUGUAUCAGACGUGGGCGAGGCUAAGCGAUUAGAACUUGACAAAAAUAAAUACCUCUUCAGUUUGACCCUUUGGUUUGAUAAGAAGGAGGAAGAAGGAGAAAGGAGGAAGAACGAGGACGAUCAACUUCUUCUUGAAGCCCUGCAACCACCUCUGGAUUUAAAGAAAUUAACGAUAUGGUCAUACAGAGGCAACACUGUUUUCCCCAGCUGGAUGAUGUCAUUAACCAAUUUAAGGAGUUUAGGUCUCUGUUACUGCAAAAAUUGUGAGCAGCUGCCUCCUUUGGGAAAAUUGCCAUCCCUUGAAACGCUCCACAUAUUGGGCAUGAAUAGUGUGAAAAGAGCGGGUAAUGAAUUUUGGGGUAUAGAAAGUAAUCACCAUGACUCAUCUUCAUCUUCAUUUUCAUCAGUUAUUAUUGCCUACCCCAAAUUAAUAUCACUUUCAAUUCAUUGUCUGACGGAAUUGGAGGAGUGGGAUUAUGGGAUUACUAGAACGGGAAACACGUUCAUCAACAUCAUGCCACGUCUUUCUUCCUUGCGAAUUACUAUGUGCCCCAAACUAAAGGCACUGCCCGACCACAUUCAUCAAACGACAACACUGAAGGACUUGACCGUUGGGUGGAACUCUGAUCUUCUGCAAGAACGUUACAGCGAGGGUAUAGGAGAAGACUGGCCUAAGAUAUCUCACAUUCCCAACGUCAGGAUUUGGCAAGACGUAAUUUCUUCUCCUACUCUGAUUUGCUUUGUUGUUGUUUUUAAUCUAAUUAAGACGCAUAAAUAGCAUUUUGAUUUUGAGUUGACAAUUUUCUGGACCAGUGAUCAAGGGUGAGAAUGGCGCUAGGAUAUUGAAUAAGGCACUGAACUUAGGCUGAUGUCAAAAGAGGUAAAUUAUUGACAUGUGUAGCUAAUUUGACCGUUUCCUGAUUCAUAAGUCUACAUUAAUUUUGAUUUUGAGUUGAGUGAUUACAUUUUAAGGUUUGCUUACUUAACAGGGCCAGGACAUGAAAUGAGAAGCUUAUUAGUGGCAGUUGGCAGUGAAUGGAGGACCUUGACUAAAUUCUCAAGCGGUUGCACUGCAGUUACGCUCAUCCUAAGCCUCCUGUAAUUUCUUCUCCUGCAUUUUUGUAAUUUGCUAUCUAAUUAAGGAGCGUAAACUAUUUUGAAUCGACUUCUAUAUCAGGAAUAUAUGCAACAUUUUCUAAAAGUUUGAUAUGAGUGUAAUGAUGGUAAUUUCUCUUUUUUGUCUGUCAUCGAAAUGUAAGAUAACAUUCAUUAAGACUCUUGAGAGUCGUUUUUGGCAAUUGCAGGACAAGUGAUGAAGAGUGAGAAUGGUGCUAGAUUGGGGAUUAAAGCAAAAGGAGGUAAAUUAUUGGCAGAGAAUUGUGAGAGCUUGAGUGUACUGGGAUUUGCAAUUACAAUCAUCCUCUGCUUCAGGUGAUUUCUUCUCCUGCUCUGUCGUUGUUUGUAUCUCAAUCAAAUUCUAUAACUGGAAUAUGCAAAAGUUUCGAAUUUUUUAUUUCUAUCUGCUUGCAUUGAUAACAUCACGGCAUAUGCACUAGUUAAAGAACAAACAGAAACAGAGCUCCGGAAAAAGUUUCUUCUGCCAUCACAUUUGAAAAUUCAUGUAAAAUGUAGACAGUAAUCAGCAAAAAGGUGAUUCACAAUUUCAUUUUUUUUAUGAAAUUGAUUGUUAGGUUGGAGUUGCUAAAAGGCCAUUGGGCUAACCUAUGUCGUUACUUACCUAGAUCAAGACUCAAAACAAGCAUUGAAUUUUAAAAGGCAUGCAAUAAUUUUUGUGGCCAUAUGUCAAGUCAGGUAAGUUUGAAUAUAAUUAUUGUUGAAGGGGUUUUAUUUUCGGUGUCCAAAUAGAGAUACUGAUUCUUUAAGGUAAUGCCAGUAGGAAUUGCAAGAUUAACAAGUCUUCGGACAUUGCGAGAGUUCCAUUGAGUGGUGGAUGAGGUGUUGAUGGUAGCAAAGCAUGUGGUAUGCGUAGACUGGAAAACAUGUAAGAUGUGGGCGAGGCUAAGAGAUUAGAGAUUGACCAAAUGAAAUACCUCUUUAGUUUGAGGCUUAAAUUUGAUGGUGAAGAAGAAGGAAGGAGGAAGAAUGAGGAUGAUCAACAUCAGCUUGUUCUUGAAACCUUGCAACCACCUCUGACUUUGAAGGAAUUAGAGAUAUGGUCAUACAGAGGCAACACUGUUUCUGCAAGUAGUCCUCUCUUUUCUUUUUAUUAUAUUUUAUUUAGUUAUUAUUUAUUAUUUAUUUUUUGGUUUACUCUGCUUCUUCUUUUUACGUUUCUCAAAUUUUGAAUUUCAUUACUUUUGAACAUACGACAGUCUGUUAUGUGGCGACCCUGGUUUUUAAUUAAGGUUGUAAAAUAUUAUUGUAAAAGAUGAUUUAUUCAAUUUGAGUAAUUCGUUUGCUUUGAUAAUGAUAGCAAUUUUUUAUUUUGACAAUUUGCAAGGUGAGAAUGGUGCUGAUUGGUGAUUCAGGAUAUGGUUCAAACACCAUUGAAUAAAGCUAUGGACAUGGUGGCUCAACUUAGCUAGAUUGGUAUCAAAAUUGGUAAGUUGGCUUGUCAAUGUACCGAUGCUUUUGUUUUCUCUCAACCCUAAUUACCUUAACUUCAUUUAGUUUGGCUUUGGAGUUGAGUAAUAACUUAUUGUUCAAAUGUUAUUUCCUUAUUGUUCUAAUUCAUCAAAUGUUAUUUCCUUAUUGUUCCAUUGAUAUAUUUGUUGCAUAUCAAGCAGAAACAGAACCCAAAGAAAAUGAAACCAUUUCCAGGCAGCAGUUGGCAGUGAAUUCAUGCAAAUGUUGAUGCCAUUCAUAGAUGUUGAAGACAAUGUUGAGCCAAAGGCGAUAAAUCAUUAAUGCAUAAUUCCCAAAACCUCCAUCCUUCUCUCAUUGUAAUUUGAUUUGAAAUGAAUAAUUGCUAGGUAAUUGAAGCCAAUGUUGUUAAAGACCGUGUUGAGCUACCCAAGCUAAGAAGUUACUUGCCAAAAAAUGCAGGGGAUCAAAAGAAGCAUUGCAUUUGAAAAGGCAUGAGAUUCUGGUGGCUACAUGUCAACUCAUAUAUGUUUGAAUAAGUUUGAUCGUUCAAGAUUGUUAGCUUCUGUUUAAAUUUGUGCUACUGCGGUGCUACAAUGCUGCUACUGGGAAAUUUGAAUCCCAUAUUAGACUUUCCUCACAUCAGAAGCUGUGGAUCUUCGGACAUCAGGUUUUUUCACAGUUCUGAAACACUCAGGAUUAAACUCUAUUAAAGUGUUGUAGUUAUCUUGUUGUCAGAAUUCCCAUAUUAUUAUCUUUUUCAUGUAAAAUUAUCUUGUUGUCUUCGCCCAUGAAUCUAAGCUAAAAUUUGAACCAAUUGUUUGCCAUUAUAAAUUUCAUUGUUAAAUGUUAAUUAUGAUGUUGGCGUUGAGUUUCUUUUAAAGUCAUAGAAGCCUGACGAUUGAGUUCCAUGGGAUUCUGAGAAGCAGUAAUAUUUGAACAAGUGAAGGUUCUUCUCUUUUAAUUAUGUUCUGCACUUUUACAGUUUGGCUUUGGAGUUGAGUAAUAACCUUUCGAGGUCGCGGCUAUAAAAAGGCGAUGCUCAAUUUGCCACAGAUUACAUGUAUUGCCAUCAUUGACAAUUUUCUGGAUAAGUGAUGAAGGGUGAGAGUGGUGCUAGACUUCAGCCCUCCAGAAUAUUGAAUAAAGCUGUCAAAAGAGGUAAAUUAUUGGCAUGCCUGUUAGUGAAUUGGAUAAAGCUGGAGCAGAGCAUGAUGUUGCUGUAUAGCUGGAGCAGAGCAUGUUGUUGCUGUGUAGCUGGUUGUAGCAGAUCAACUCACUGAGCUGACCUGUCAAAGCUGGAGCAGAGCAGAGCAGAGCGGAUAAAGCUGGAGCAGAGCAGAGCGGAUAAAGCUGGAGCAGAGCAGAGCAUGAUGUUGCUGUAUAGCUGGAGCAGAGCAUGCUGUUGCUGUGUAGCUGGAGCAGAGCAUGCUGUUGCUGUGUAGCUGGUUGUAGCAGAUCAACUCACUGAGCUGACCUGUCAAAGUUAGUUAGCUGGUUGAGCUGAUGUGUAAAGUUAGUUAUGCAGCAAAUGGUUAUGUGAUGUAACAAACUCGUGUGUGUAGUGAAGAUUGUAGCUUAGUAUAAAUGUCAAUCAGUAUUCAUUAAGUUGAAAUAUCUGAGGAUAAUAAAAAGGUUCUUUAGAGUUCUCUUUCAUUUUCUUUUACUUUCUUGCUUGCCAAACAAUAUAGAACUAAGUUUCUUUCAUGGUAUCAGAGCCAUAAAUGGCAAAUACAGUUCAAAACAACAACUCUUUUAGUUUUGUUACGCCUGUAAAGCUAGAUCAAAACAACUAUAUUUUGUGGCGCACACAAAUUCUAGCUUCGAUCAAAGGAAAUGGUUUGGAAGGUUUUAUCAAUGGUGAUCGAGAAUGUCCUGAGCAGUUUCUUUCUUCUGGCAACAACAAUGGAGCUGAAAUCUUAACUGAAUCUGGAUCCAGAUCUGUUACUGAAUCUGGAUCCAGAUCUGUUACUGAAUCUGGAUCCAGAUCUGUUAAUCCAGAGUUCGUAGCUUGGAUGAAGGCUGAUCAACUUCUGCUGAGUUGGAUGAUGUCAUCGAUACAACAAAAUCUGCUUGCUACUAUGAUUGACUCAACAACCUCAAAACAGCUUUGGGAGACUCUUGCUAGUAUGUUUAUCUCUCAAUCACAGGCUAGAAUUCAAACACUUAGAAUGCAGAUUCAAACUAUUAAGAAAGGUGCAAUGCAUAUGUCUGAUUACUUUGUAAAAGUAAAACGUAUAGCUGAUACUUUAGCUCUAGCUGGAAAACCUGUUGAGUUAAAUGAUCUUGUGAUGCAUGUAUUAACUGGUCUUGAUUCAUCAGAUUAUGAAUCUUUAGUCACUGCUGUGUUAGCUCGAGGUGAAAAGAUAACAUUAGAUGAACUAUAUUCUUUGCUGUUAAAUCAUGAAAAUAGAGUUGAGCAAAAGAAAGGAAAAAUUGCUGGUGAUGUGAUGCAUAACAUGACAGCAAAUAUUGUUCAGAAGAACUCAUAUGCUAGAAAGAAUAAUGGAAAUUUUCAGAAACAGUAUGGAAAUAACUCUGGAGGUGGUAAUAAUUCUGGAUAUGGAUAUGGUCAGUUUAAUAAUAAUAGUAAUUUCUCUGAAGUUGUUUGCCAAAUUUGCUUCAUACCUGGUCAUGCAGCCUAUAAAUGCAGAAAUAGGUACAACUCAUCUUUUGUUCCACAUAGGAACCAUGGUAGAGGUAAUAUGAAUGGUGGCGGAGGUUUUAAUCAAGGGCAAUAUGGUCGAGGAAGAGCCUUUAAUGGUAAUAGUGGAAGAGGUUUUGGAGGUUUUGGUUCAAAUGCUGGUUUUGGACAAAAUGUUGGUUUUGGUAAUGCCCCCAGGGGUUUUGGCUAUCAAGGAAAUAUAGUAUAUCCAGAGAGCAACCCAUCUGCUUAUUUCUCAUUCAACCCUGGAUCAUCUAAUUUUGUUUCUGGUCUAGGACAUAAUAAUCUGGAACAGUCAAGUGCUUCCUCCUCCUCUGCUAUGUCUUCUUCACUUCCACCUGAACACAUUGAAGAUCCUUCCUGGUAUAUUGAUAGUGGAGCAACAAAUCAUAUUACCAACGAUCUAGGUAAGCUUCUGGAUUCAAAAGUUUACACUGGUACUGAAAGGUUAUUUGUUGGAGAUGGAAAUGCAUUAGCUAUUACACAUGUAGGGUCAGUUGUGCUAAAUACUUCAGCUUCUCAAUCCUUAUUUCUUAACCAUGUUCUUCAUGUCCCUUUUAUUACUAAGAAUUUGCUUAGCAUCUCAAAAUUGUUGGCUGACAAUCCAGUUACUGUUGAAUUUCUUGGUGAUUUGUGUUUUAUAAAGGCCAAGAACACAGGGAAAAUUUUACUUGAAGGUGUUGCUAAAGGUGGGCUUGUAUAGAGUCUCUUCUCAUGCUGCUGUUCAUUCAGUCUUUCUCAGUUCAGUUGGUCAAAACAAAAUUCAGUCUCUUUUUGCUUGUUCUCCUGUUUUUAAUUCUGCUCAGCUCUCUACUGUUAGCUCUUAUGAGUUGAAUAAAACGUCAUGUCUGUCAGUUGUUGCAAAGGGUUCUAUUGAUGUAAAUCUUCUUCAUAGAAGAUUAGGACACCCAGCAUCUUAUACUCUCAAAACCAUUCUCAAAGCUUGUAACAACUCUACUGCUUUUAAUAAAGUUGACAGUUUGAAAUUUUGUUCAGCAUGCCAAUAUGGUAAAAAUCACAUGCUGCAUUUUGAUUCAGUAGAAACAAAAACUUCAGCACCUUUACAACUGAUAUAUGCAGAUCUUUGGGACCCUUCUCAUGUUUGUUCUACCCAAGGAUAUAAUUACUACUUGUCAAUCCUAGAUGAUUACAGUAGGUUUACCUGGAUUUUUCCCUUAUCAGCAAAAUCUGAUGCUCUUGAAGUUUUUACCAAUUUCAAAAUAUUCAUUGAGAAGCAUCUUCAACUUUCCAUCAAAACUGUACAAACUGACUGGGGAGGGGAGUUCAGAACAUUUUCAUCGUUACUCACUACUUCUGGCAUCCAUUUUCGACAUCCUUGCCCCCACAUUCAUCAUCAAAAUGGAAAAAUUGAGAGGAAACAUAGACACAUAGUUGAUGUAGGACUGACUUUAUUAGCUCAAGCACAUUUACCACUCAAAUUUUGGUGGAAUACAUUCCAUACAGCUGUCUACUUGAUAAACAGACUUCCAACUCCAGUUCUAAACAGCAUUUCUCCUUUUCAAAAGUUGUUUAAUUCCCAACCAGAUUAUUCAACACUUAAAAUUUUCGGCUGUGCUUGUUAUCCAACACUCAGACCAUACAAUAGACAUAAGUUUGAUUUCAGAACAGCUAGAUGUAUAUUCAUUGGCUACAGUUCACGACACAAGGGAUAUCAGUGUCUUCACUCUUCUGGGAGGGUCUAUAUUUCAAAUCAUGUAACCUUUGAUGAAAGUUCUUUUCCUUAUGAGUCAGGAACAGAUUUUUCUUCAGUUUCUUCAAACUGUCAGUCAUCAACUCAUUCUGAGUCUUCUUUUAAUUCUUCUACUCCUUUUGUUACUCAGUUACAAGCACCUUUAGCAGCAUCAUCAGAAUAUCAUCUUAAUGAUUCUCAGUCACAUGCUUCUAUUUCCUUCCCAAAUUCUACUCCAGUUUACUUUUCUGAUAAUUUCAAUUCCACUUCUUCUUCUCCUUCUUCACCAUCCCAUCAUUCACCUCCACAUACCUUGUCACAACCUGCAUCAUCUGGUCAUCCAAUGAUAACCAGGUCAAAAGCAGGUAUCUUCAAGCCCAAGAUCUACUUGUCAGCUUUACUAGCUCAGAAAUCAGAACCAACCUCUGUUUCCAAAGCACUUUCUGAUCCUAUGUGGUAUAAAGCUAUGCAAGAAGAGUAUCUAGCUCUUAAAACCAAUCACACCUGGGAUUUAGUCUUACCUGCUACUCCAGUGAAGAUAGUUGGCAACAAGUGGGUAUUUCGAGUAAAGUAUAACUCAGAUGGUUCAGUUUCAAGGUAUAAAGCCAGGCUUGUGGCUAAAGGGUUUCAUCAGACACAUGGGAUUGACUACACAGAAACCUUCAGUCCAGUGGUUAAGUCCUCCACUGUUAGAGUUAUUCUUAGCUUAGCAGUAUUGAGUCACUGGGUUGUAAGGCAGGUGGAUGUUAACAAUGCCUUUCUAAAUGGCAUUUUAAUUGAAGAUGUGUACAUGGCUCAACCUCAAGGUUUUGUUGAUUCAACUAAACCUAAUCAUAUCUGCAAGCUAAAUAAGGCUUUGUAUGGCUUAAAACAGGCUCCUAGAGCCUGGUUUGAUAGGUUUAAGGAUGCAAUGAUCUCCAAGUGGCAUUUUUAGCAUUCCAGGUCUGAUAACUCUCUCUUUUAUGCCUGGAACAGUGGUCAUCUAACUGUUGUUUUGGUCUAUGUUGAUGAUAUUAUCAUCACUGGUUCCAGUCCAUCCAUAAUUCAACAAGUUAUCCAGAAUAUGCAUCAAGCUUUUGCUUUAAAAGACCUGGGGGAACUUCACUAUUUUCUGGGGAUUGAAGUCAGCAAAUCUUCACAAGGGGUUUCCUUGACACAAGCAAAGUACAUUGCUGAUAUUCUGGAUAAACAUGGCAUGACAGACUGCAGUCCUGUGCCAACUCCAAUGUCUACAGGCUUUUAUCUCACCAAAGACUCAGGAGAGCCACUUGAUAAUGUUUCUCAAUAUCGAAGUGUUAUAGGAGCUCUUCAAUAUGUUACUCUUACCAGACCUGACAUUGCCUUCUCUGUAAACAAGUUAAGUCAGUUCCUUUCCAGUCCUAGAACUCAACAUUGGGAAGCAUGUAAAAGGUUAUUGAGGUACUUAAAAGGCAUUAUCCAUCUGGGGCUGCAUUUCUACAAUCAAGGAGCUCUGCAAUUACAUUGUUUUUCAGAUUCUGAUUGGGCUUGUGAUCAUGAUGAUAGGAAGUCAGUGGCUGGCUUUGCUGUUUAUCUAGGUCCUAAUCUUGUUUCCUGGUCGUCAAAGAAACAAGCUGUUGUUUCCAGAUCCAGCACAGAAGCUGAGUAUAGAUCUCUUGCUCAUGCUGCUUCAGAAGUUACCUGGAUUAAAUCCUUACUUGGUGAACUUAGUAUCACAUUAAGCUCCACUCCUAUGAUGUGGUGUGAUAAUCAAGGAGCAAUUGCUUUAGCUUAUAAUCCAGUUUAUCAUGCUAAGACUAAGCAUGUUGAAUUGGAUAUACAUUUUAUCCGAGAUAAGGUCACUGCUAAAGAGGUUGCAGUAUGCUAUGUGCCUAGUCCAGAUCAAACAGCAGAUGUGUUGACUAAGGCUCUUACUUUCAAACAAUUCAGUUACUUCAGAAGCAAGCUGAAUGUUCAUCCUAAACAUUUCAGCUUGAGGGGGGAUGUUAGUGAAUUGGAUAAAGCUGGAGCAGAGCAUGAUGUUGCUGUAUAGCUGGAGCAGAGCAUGUUGUUGCUGUGUAGCUGGUUGUAGCCAAAGCUGGAGCAGAGCAGAGCAGAGCGGAUAAAGCUGGAGCAGAGCAGAGCGGAUAAAGCUGGAGCAGAGCAGAGCAUGAUGUUGCUGUAUAGCUGGAGCAGAGCAUGCUGUUGCUGUGUAGCUGGUUGUAGCAGAUCAACUCACUGAGCUGACCUGUCAAAGUUAGUUAGCUGGUUGAGCUGAUGUGUAAAGUUAGUUAUGCAGCAAAUGGUUAUGUGAUGUAACAAACUCGUGUGUGUAGUGAAGAUUGUAGCUUAGUAUAAAUGUCAAUCAGUAUUCAUUAAGUUGAAAUAUCUGAGGAUAAUAAAAAGGUUCUUUAGAGUUCUCUUUCAUUUUCUUUUACUUUCUUGCUUGCCAAACAAUAUAGAACUAAGUUUCUUUCAAUGCCUAGCUAAUUUGACCACUACCUGAUUCAUAAGCCUACAUCAAUUUUGAUUUUGAGUUAAGUGAUUAAUUUUCAAGGUUUGCUUACUUAACCGGCGACUAAUUUCUUGUAACUAAAUGUAUCAUAUGAUGCAGGAAGCAGGGCAAGAUAUGAAAUGAGAAGCUUAUUAGUGGAAGGAUUGCCAGAAACAGAACCCAAAGAAAAUGAAAACAUUUCAAGGCAGCAGUUGGCAGCUGGCAAUGAAUGGAGGCCCUUGAAAAAAUUCCCAAGCCGUUGCACUGCAAUUACGAUCAUCCUCGGCCUCAGGUAAUUUCUUCUCCUGCAUUUUUGUUAUUUGCUAUCAAGUGACAUUCGUAAGUAUGAUUGCAUUAAGCUGCUGCUGGGAAAUUUGAGGUUUUGAUGGCUGCCCAUGCUAUUGUCAGAAGCUGCAGUUCUUUUCAUCAGCCUGAACCUGGACCUGUCGCCAUGGAUAACUCAGGUUUUUUUUUUUUUUAAUCAACUACGGCAUCUUUUCCACUGUUUUGAAACUCUUAAGAUUAAACUUUAGUAAUGUUGUUUUAGUUAUCCAUGUAAUCAGGCUGAGGAUACUUAGCAGCCUAUUUAGGCAAAUGUCAGAAUUUAGUUUGUUCGCUGGGAAUUGGUGUGGACUGGCAAAGGAUGAUGAGAUAGUUUUUUGAGUGAGUAAAUUUUGGGAGCUUGAGUGUAUUGGGAUUUGCAAUUACAAUCAUCGUCUGCCUCAGGUGAUUUCUUCUCCUGCUCUGUCAUUGUUUGUUCUCUAAUUCAAAAGCAUAAAAUAUUUCAAUCAAAUUGUAUGCCAGGAAUAUGCAAAAGUUUCUAAUAUUUUAUUUCCAUCUGUUUGCCUUGAUAACUUUGCUGCAUAUGUACUAGUUAAAGAACAAAUCGAAACAGAGCUCAGUUAAAAGUUUCUUCUGCCGUCAUAUUUGAAAAAUGAAACCAUUUCCAGGAAGCAAUGGGCAGCAAAUUCAUAUAAAGCAUAGACAAUGAUGAGCAAAAAGGUGAUUCACAAUUUCACUUUUUUUAAUGAAAUUAAUUGUUUGGUUGGAGCGGAUAUUGUUAGAAGGCCAUUGAGCUAACCUAUGUCACUACUUGCCUAGAUUACAGGGGGUCAAAUAAGGCAUCCAAUAAUUCUUGUGGCCAUAUAUCAAUUCAUGUAAGUUCGAAUGUAAUUAUUGGUGAAGGGGUUUCACUUCCCGUCUCUAAAUAAAAAUACUGAUUCUUUAAGGUACAUGCCACUAGGGAUUGCGAGAUUAACGAGUCUUUGGACAUUGGAAGAGCUCCUUGUAGUGGAGGAGGAGGUGUUGAUGGUAGCAAAGCAUGUGGGCAGUGGGCUUGAAUCUCUUAAAAACUUGGAACUCCUCCAAGCGUAAGUAUACGUAUACUGGGAAAUGUGUUAGAUGUGGAUGAGGCUAAGAGAUUAGAGCUUGACAAAAUGAAAUAACUCUUUCAUUGAGACUUAAAUUUGAUGGGGAAGAAGAAAAAGAAGAGGGAAGGAGGAAGAAUGAGGAUAAUCAACUUGUUCUUGAAGCCUUGCAACCACCUCUGAAUUUGAAGGAAUUAGAGAUUUGGUCAUACGGAGGCAACAUUGUUUCCCCCCGGAUGAUGCAAAAAUUGAAGGAAUUUACCAAUCUAAGGAGUUUGACACUCUUUAAAACUGCAAAAAUUGAGAAAAGUUGCCUCCUUUGGGAAAAUUGUGAUCCUUUGAAAAUCUCAGCAUAUUGUACAUGGAGAGUGUGAAAACAGUGGGUAAUGAAUUUCUGGGAAUAGAAAGUGAUCUUCAUGACUCAUCUUCAUCUUCAUCAGUGAUUAUUGCCUUCCCCAAAUUGAAAUCACUUUCAGUUGAGGGAUUGAUGGAAUUGGAGGAGUGGGAUUAUGGGAUUAAAAGAACAGGAAACACCUCCACCAACAUUAUGCCACGUCUUUCUUCCUUGGAAAUUAGUGUGGGGUUAUGGGAUCGCACAACGACGUUGAAGGUAUUGCAGAUUGUGGCAUGUGGUACUCUAAGAAGACGUUACAGACAGGGGAGAGCAGAAGACUGGCCUAAGAUCUCUCACAUUCCAGACAUCAUGAUUGUGUGAAAAGAUGCCCGUGACAAAAUUCUCUAGGCGGCUACAUGGAGUACAAUCAUAAAAUGCUAAUGUGGCCACCCUGGUUCUUAAUUAAGGUUGUGAAAUAUUAUUGUAAAAGAUGAUUAAUUCAAUUUGAGUUAUUCGUUUGCUUUGAUAAUGAUAGUAAUUUUAUAUUUUGACAAUUUGCAGGGUGAGAAUGGUGCUGAUUGGUGAUACAGGAUAUGGUUCAAACACCAUUGAAUAAAGCUACGGACAUGGUGGCUCAACUUAGCUAGAUUGCUGUCAAAAUUGGUAAGUUGGCUUGUCAAUGUAUUGAUGCUUUUGUUUUCUCUCAACCCUAAUUACCUUAACUUCAUUUAGUUUGGCUUUGGAGUUGAGUAAAUUCUGGCCUCUUCCGAAAAAAAAAGCUUAAUUUGCUACUGAUCACGUGUUACCAAUUAUUUAAGGUAAUUCUCGCUUACUUGCUUCUGCACUAUAGAGUACGUGUUCUGGCUGGUUUAUCUAAUUCAUCAAAUGUUAUUUCCUUAUUGUUCCAUUGAUAUAUUUGUUAGAAAGUGAAACCAUUUCCAGGCAGCAGUUGGCAGUGAAUUCAUGCAAAUGUUGGUGCCAUUCAUAGAUAUUGAAGACAAUGAUGAGCCAAAGGUGAUAAAUCAUUAAUGCAUAGUUACCAAAACCUCCAUCCUUCUCUCAUUGUAAUUUGAUUUUAAAUGAAUAAUUGCUAGGUAAUUGAAGCCAAUAUUGUUAGAAACGGUGUUGAGCUACCCAAGCUAAGAAGUUAGCUGCCAAAAAAUGCAGGGGAUUAAAAGAAGCAUUGCAUUUGAAAAGGAAUGAGAUUCUGGUUGCUACAUGUCAAUUCGUAGAAGUUUCAAUAAAUUUAAUGGUUCAAGAUUGUUAGUUUCUGUUUAAAUUUGUGCUACUGCAGUGCUACAACGCUGCUACUGGGAAAUUUGAAUCCCAUAUUAGACUUUCCUCACAUCAGAAGCUGUGGAUCUUGAGACAUCAGGUUUUUUCACAGUUCUGAAACUCUCAGGAUUAAACUCUAUUAAAGUUGUUGUAGUUGUCUACGUUCUCAGGUCAAGGAUUCUAAGCUGCCGAUUAAGCAUUGCGCAUUUUCAUUUGUCCGAUUCAAGAGGAACGUCACAGAAAGGGGUAAAGAAAAGAGUAGCCUAAGAUAUUAAAGACAAUGUUGAGCCAAAGGAAACAUAAAUCCCAACCAUUGCAUGUGAACAUGAUCACAAUAAGGUCAAGAACCUACCAAACCAUUUUUUUGAGAAUUUUCAAUUGAAAGUGAAACCUUUUGAUAUUUACCUAAUAAAGUUAGUUAAACGAGAGAAAUAAAGGGGGAAAGAAAAGUUGACUCUAAGUCAAUACAGAAUAAUUAGUUCAAUACAGAAUAAUUGCUGUAAAAUAUUAAAUAGUUUUAUUUUUCUUUUAUCGUUUAACUUGGACCAAAAAAGGAAAUGAGUUUAACACGACCCUCAUUCUGCUUCUUGCUUUGGUUUCAAACAAGUCUUUCUCCUUUAUGACAUUUAUUGUAAUUUCAUUUGGAGACAUAUGUCUGUCGUUCAAAUAUAUUUCAUACGCAAGCUGUUAAUAAUUCUGCUUGCAGAAAGCCUACAAAGCAGCUGUGUGAUGUAAUAGAAGACCAUAGAUAGUCUCGUCAAUUUUUCAACAUUAGAUAUUCAGGUCAUCAGCUUCUCAUGAAUUCUUUCCUGAGUUUCUUUGAAUUAUUUGUGAUGUAAUAACUUGUGCAUUUGAGAAACUGUUCUCUUGAAUUCUUUCUUGAGUUUCUUUGAAUUAUUUGUGAAUAAGUUGUUAAUCGGCUGCUUCUCUUCAGGAUAAGGAAAGUGUUGCAAACUGGUGAAGCAGCUGAUAGAUAAAAGCAAUGGGUACAUCUUUGCUGGCAUGGAUCGAUGCCAGUGCGGCUGAAUUCAGCAAGACUGCCGUUCGUGAUGUUGUUGAUUGGGAUUACAUUAAGGAUGAUGACAACAUUGAUUAAAAUGGGACGUGAAGAUAUAUGGUGUGCAAAUUAACCCAACCCAACCAAACCCGUACAUUUUAUCAACCCAACCCAACCUGUAAAAAAUCACACGGGUUAGGUUAGUUUCACGGAUUGGGAGGUUGGUGCCCACCCCUAAAUAUAACCUCCAUUUCAGCACAAUGCAUGUUAAUUGUUCCCCAAGGACUUCUCCUGAUUCCCAUUCCCAACCUCCAUGCUCUUGAGAGGAAUUUAGCACCCAUCAAUUUUUAUUUUUGAAAACUCGUAAUGGUCUGAUAAAAUUAAACAACAUCAAUAAUGUUACCAGUCUUUAAAUAGUAAUUAAUUUAUUUAAUUUGCCACCUAAAAGAAUCCUGCUGGAAAUAGAGGUUAAAAAUUUUAUUAGAUCUGCUUACCUUUGUUCAUUCAGCAAAAACACUUACAAUUCACAGCUAGAGAAUCUAUCCAUUGACAAUUGUGGAUUAAAAUUAUAACACCUGAAUUCCAACAUAUCCUUAUGAAGUUAUGAAUUUGUUCAUACUUCAAAUGAUUUUUUUUUCCCAAGCUAAUAAAGCUACCACUUUGAUCAAACGACGACGUUGAAGGAAUUGCGUAUUUUCAAUGUCCUUUUCCAGACAGACGUUCGAGAGAGAGAAAGGAGAAGACUGGCCUAAUUAAGAUAUCUCACAAAGAUUAUUAUUGAGUUAAAAUGUUAUUGUAAAAGAUGUAUAAUACAAUAAUAGUAAUUCUUUUGCAUUGUUAUAAUGAGGCUGGUGGGUUUCCUCAGAGGAUGGAUCUUGCUCGCUAGUAUGCAUUUGGGAAGCUGCUAAUUAUUGGCCAUAAAAAGUCAGGGGGUUGUGGCUCUUCCGUCGCCCAGAAAUUCCUCAACUCAUAUCUCAAACUUCAGAUGAACUUGGGCAUUAUGUAAAUAUGUAUUUUGAGAAUUAAACUAGUGCCUUAGAAAAAAUUUGAGCCAUUGUAAUCAUUUUAUUUUGCUAAGGGAAAAUUUUACUUUGUGUUUCGCUUUGACUUUUUUUUUUUUGCCUUGUGAUAAUAAGAUUCAUACGAAAGUGAUUACACGCCUAUCAUGCAUCUAUUUUCAUUUGCUUGUCAUGAGAGAUCAACAUGCUCGAAAUAAUUACUUAGGUUGGAAAUAUUUGAAUCCACUAAAAUACUAUACAAACCCAUUUUAAAAUUAAAAAAAUGAUUAUCAUAAUACUUGUGAAGAUAACACGAUAUCAUACAUAAAAUAAAAUAUUUCGCAAAAAAGAUACGAUACAAAUCUUGAGUAAACAGGUACAAAAAAUAUUUUUUUUUGGUUAAACCACGAGGUACAAAAAAUAUUUUAGUGGGUUAAGUAGCACUAAUGCCCCCUUAUCAAAAAAUAUAGAAAAAUAACUAGUUUGAUUGGGUAUACCGUUUAUAUAUAUGUACAUAUUCUUGAUAAUGUGUAAUGUAUAUUAUAGACAAAGAUUUUGAAAGCAAUAUUUUUUGGUAUUAUUAUAUAAUAUUUUUUAAAAAGUUGAGAGAAUAGGCAAAGUCCAAAUCAACUUUCUAAUCCCUACCUCCUUUAUGAUUUAAACUUUAGCGUUUAGUGUCGCGAGCCACUCAAAUUUUCUAAUCAAAGAGACUAAAUUGCACGAAAUUGUGCUAGCUUAUUUGAUUCUAGAAAUUUCCAGUACACUGUAACACACUCUCAGGCUUGUACAUACCUCGAAAUUCUCUAGAAUUAAUUUACUAGAGUAGUGUUGCAUGUAGCUUGUACAUAGGUUUUUCUGGAACACUUCAGGUAUUACUAAGCAUGAGAGCUUUGAGAACUCUCUAGCCAUAAAACAUUCUAGGGUAUGUCUACCCUAAAAAUUGGGCAUGAUGCUUGCCACUUGAGCAUACAACAAGUAAGAACAAAUCAAGCAUACUUGUAAGCUCUCAAACUCUCUUAUACACACUUUUAUGAAUAAUAUACUUUCUCUUUGGCUAUAUUGCUCUCUCUUCUCUCUAGUUUUUUCGCAAGCAUCAUACCUUAGUUAGUCGAAAAGUUCAAGGCUUACUUUAUAGCUAUCUCACAAAAGUUGUUUAAGUACCACAUGGAUUUGCUGUGUAAAAUACUCAUCACAUGACAUUAGCUAAAUAGAUUUGUUUGAAAGCCACUUACCCAAACUAUUAAACGAAUAUUAACUUUUGUCUUAAUUUUCUAUCACCUAUGAUAAAAUUUAUAAUUAAAAAUUGAAAAAAUUAAUAACUAUUAGAUAGAGCAUUCUUUACUGUUAAAAGAAAUCUAUAUAGAUAGAUAGAUGGUAAUAUAAAAACUUACUUAUUGUAGUAUAAUGUUUUUAGUUUUUUGAAACAUAGAUUCUUACUUUUUUAAGAUAAAAUUCAAAGAAAACAAGUUAAAUGUUGUGGAAAAUCUUCCAGCCAUACAAGAAAUUGUGAUAGCUAAAUGCAAACCUAACUAAAGUAUUAGUUGUUUUAUUACAAUCUCCAAAAAGAUGAGCAAUUCCAAAAUAUUUUUUUGUAACAAUAAACACUAUAGGUCAGCAAUUAUCCAAGUCAAAAGCAAGCUACUCUAUUAAAAAAAAAAAAAACUUGUAGUGAAUCUGAAGAUAAACCAAUUUUACUAGCAAGUUGGAUACCAAAGAGUAGGGCUUCAGCCUCAAUUACUCAAUGUACCAACAACACAGUCUCGGUGAGUUAAAAUCAACUUCUACCACUCUUUUACUUGCUGAUAGAUCGAUUAAGGUACCAAAAGGAAUAAUCGAAGAUGUAUUAGUUCGAGUUGAUAAAUUCAUAUAUCCUGUGGAUUUUAUUGUUUUGGAAACUGAACCAAUUGCUAAUGAAUGCAAACAAAUUCCUGUUACAUUGGGUCGUCCAUUUUUAGCUACUGCUAAUGCAUUGAUUAAUUGCUGGAAUGGAGUAAUGAGUUUAUCUUUCGGCAACAUGACAUUGGAACUCAAUGUGUUCAACAUAUGUAAACAACCUCACCACCAGGAAGAUGAUGAUAAUGAGAAUGAGGAGAUUGAUUUCAUCGAGCCAAUCAUUGAUGAACACAUUCAGAAUAAGAAUUUUACAAACUCAGUGGAAAUUUAUUCUGCUCGUUCUUUUGAAUCGAGUAAGAAAUUAGAUUACGAUACUGAUAACAUAUACCCUACACUUGAUUCUAUGCAGGUACUUGCUGACGGUGACCAAUCAAACUUUAAAAAUACAGAACAAUCUAAAGAACCAAACGAAGAGGAAGUACCAGAGCUCGAAUUAAAGCCCUUACCGGAAGAAUUGAAGUAUGCCUAUCUUGGAGAAUAACAAACUUAUCCGGUGGUAAUUUCUUCCCAACUCACGCAUGAUCAAGAAGGUAAGUUGUUGUCUGUACUAAAAAGGCAUAAAACUGCAUUUGGUUGGACCUUAAAAGACAUAAAAAGUAUUAAUCCUUUAAUCUGCACACACCGAAUACACUUAAAGGAAAAUACCAGAACAACCCGUUAACAUCGACAUUAUCAGUGUAAACAUUAAAUACCAAAAUCAACCCCAAAAACUAUAACUAAACUAUCAUGACUAAAAUAAAGUUUUUUUUUUUUAGAUAUUCGUUGUAGUAUCUCUUUAGAUGACAAACAAGAGAUAAAAUACAUAAAUAUUUGCUGUGUAAAUAAAAAUAAAUAAUUUUUUUGAACUGAAAAAUAUUCUCAAAAACUAAAUAGUUCAAACUUUUUUUAACAUUAUCGGUUCUGGACCUGAACCGAACCGUGAACCGUAAACUGCCCACCCUUACGUAGUUGUUUCCGUUAACCGAUGUUGUAUUGCUGGUAUAAAAUUGUUCAAAUGUUCAAAUCACAGUCUCCCGCUCUCAGCUCAGUCAGAGUUUCAGGUCCAGAGACUUCCCGCUGACUGAGAGCUUUUUUGUAGCAGUUCUACAAAUAAUGGAGUAGAGCUGAUUUUAUGAUUAAUUUAUUUCCUUUUUCAAUUUCUUAUGAUUGCGAUUUAAUCUGGAAAGUUAAACGUGAAUUGUUUAGUGCGGAUUAAAUGUUCGACGAAUUUCCCGCAAGAGUAUUAAGUUAAAGAGAAAAAAGAAAACAAUUGAGCGUGAGCGUGAGCGUGAGCGAGAAUGGUGUUUGGGCAAGUGGUGAUUGGUCCGCCCGGCUCGGGAAAGACCACUUACUGCAAUGGCAUAACUCAGUUUCUCAGCCUUGUUGGCAGGUAACUUCGUUUCUUGAUUUCAAGCAGCUUUAUCUUUGAUGACCAAAAAAAUUGAUUUGGGCUUUGCCCAUUAAAUGAAUGUAAGAGCGGUAGGGAAUAACUGAGUUAUAGGAUUAGCUUUAAGUGAACAUUGAUGGUAACAUGCGCGUGAAGGUUGUAUGUGUUCAGUGGCAAGCUGUAUGCCAAUUUGGUCUAUAUGGUUGCUUAGGUAGUAACUUAUUAAUUUUUACGCAGGAAGGUUGCAGUCAUCAAUUUAGAUCCUGCUAAUGAUAGUUUGCCGCAUACUUUGUCAUUGAACUUUCUUACAAAUGCUGUGGUUUGUUGUAGUAUAAUUAGUUCAAUUGGAAACUUCCUUGAUGUUAAUAUAGAAAUGAGUGUGCUGUGAAUAUUGAGGACCUCAUUAGACUAAGUGAUGUGAUGAUGGAGUAUUCACUUGGUCCCAAUGGAGGUUAGUCAGCCUAUUGUUGUUUACUCUUUCUUGCUUUAUCACGCAAUGAUAUUCCUUUGCUUUACAACAAAUUUCGUGAAAUUAACUUCAAUCAAGUGGCAAUGUUCAUAUGCUGUUGAGAUUUUAUGGACAAUGAUUGGUAGACUUUAUAUGCCGUCUUCUUUCUUUUUGCAGUGAUAUGCUUGUAUUCAAUGAGCAUGUACUUAUUCUAUGGUUUCUAAAGUAGGUGUUUUUAUGAUAAACUAGGUCUUGUGUAUUGUAUGGACUAUCUAGAGAAGAAUAUUGACUGGCUGCAGUCGAAAUUAGAACCACUUUUGAAAGGUAAGAAGAGGCCAUUUUCCUUCAUUCUAAUGCCAAUAAUGCUGUCAUGAGACUCAUAAAAAUGUUAAAACGUUAAUGUUUUUGGUAUUUUGCAGAUCAUUAUCUUCUGUUUGAUUUUCCUGGCCAAGUUGAAUUAUUUUUUCUUCAUUCCAAUGCCAAGACUGUUAUAAUGAGACUCAUAAAGAAGUUAAAUCUCAGGGUAUUGUUACAUCUUACAUCUAUGAAGGGACUCAAAGAGUUGAGAUGAAUUCAUCUUUGUUAUUUUGAUGCCAGAAUUGUGCAAUUCUCAGUUGGUUCCUUGCACAUGCAGUUGACUGCAGUGCAUCUAGUUGAUGUGCAUCUUUGCAGUGACCCCGGGAAGUAUGUUAGUGCUUUGCUUCUCUCAUUGUCUACGAUGCUACAUCUGGAACUUCCCCAUGUCAAUGUCUUGUCUAAUCGAUCUGAUUGAGAAUCAUGGAAAGCUAGGUGUGGUUUUAAGUGUAUCUCUCCUACUUGUUUGUUUAGUUUGAAAUAUCAGAUAUUGUCACAAGCUCCUAUUUGCUACAUUUCCUCACCAAUCAAUUACUUUGGGUAUGUUGCAGCUUUUAAUCUCGAGUACUAUACAGAUGUGCAAGAUUUGUCAUAUUUACAGCAUGCUCUCGGUCAGGACCCUCAUUCUGCUAAGUACAGGUUUGAAUUCUAGCUGAAUCAAUGAUGCAAAUUAUGUUCAUUGCUAUUUCUGCUGUUGUUUCUAUCAUUUUCAAUUGUUACCUCCCCUUGCCAUCUACUGCCACACUGCAAUGCCUACACAAAUGUUAUGAAAUUUGUCAAUGGCAAUGCCAUCCUGUUUGUCCAGAGACAGCUCUUAGAUGCAAGUGAACAAUUUUUGGCUUUGGCCGUAGUACAGCCUUAGAUUUCAACUUGCCAUAUCUUGUCUCGGAAGUCAAAAGAAAGCGUAUAUGUUAGCCAAAUUUUAUUUGAAUUUAUUAAGUAACAAUGAAUGGGUCAGAAAAACAGUUCCUCUUUUGUUUUGAUCAGACUCAAUGAAUAAGUGUUUAAAAUGUGCCUGUCCUAAAAAUAUAGAUGUGUGGUUUCACAAAAUUUUCUUGAUCUUAAGAAAGAGUUAUCUUGAAAAGAAGAUAACAUGGAGAAUUCAGCAACUAUACAGUCAUAUUGAUGUCUGUCAACUUGGGUCAGAUGGUGUCGUUUGGAUGGAGAUGUUAGGUCCCAGAUGGUAUGCUUGUUAUCAAAUUCCAGUCUAAUUCAUUCAUGCUUUGAUGACAUAUGCGGUGCAGCUUCUUAUCUAAGACCUGUAUAUGUUCAGUCAUCAUUCAGUUCUGUAUUUGGCUGUCAUUCUUUCAAUGAAUUCAAACCACUUUCUGAAUACUUGCAAGGGAAAUUAUCAUUCGUAUACCCUAUAUUUACUCUGUUAUCAAAAAUACUACAACACUUUGAGGGUGUAUCAAUCGUCCACCAUAAGUUGACAAAAUGUAUCAACCGACCACCAAACCGUUAAUUGUCGUUUGAAAGUUAACGGAAUUACAGUGAAUUGACGAUUUUACCCUUGAAAAUUAUCACUUGUAUACCCAUAAAAUUCUCUUUUUAGCACUUGUAUACCCUUAAAUUAUCACUUGUAUCAUAUGAAAAGACCAAAUUACCCUUCUGAUGUUAUCAUAUUUAAACGGCAACUAACGGUUUGGUGGUCGGCUGAUACAUUUUGUCAACUUAGGGUGGACGAUUGAUACACCCUCAAAGUGUUGUAGUAUUUUUGAUAAUUGAGUAAACUAAGGGUAUACAAGUGAUAAUUUCCCUACUUGCAAAUUCAUCCAGUGUUGUCAUUGAGAUGCCAAUAUGUAAAGGAGCAAUAGUUGCCCUUGAUAGUAUGCUUAUUGAUUGCCUCUUGCCUCACUCAGCCUAAGGAAUCUGGUUGUAUGGUGUUCUUGUAAUUUCAUUUGGAGAUAAGUAAUAUCUGUUGUUCAAAUGUAUUUUAUAUACAACCAGUUCAUAAUUCUGCUUGCAGAAAGCUUACAAAGGAGCUGUGUGAUGUAAUAGAAGACUACAGUCUGGUCAAUUUUUCAACUUUAGAUAUUCAGGUCAUCAGUUUCUCUUGAAUUCUUUCUUGAGUUUCUUUGAAUUAUUUGUGAAUAAGAUCUUAGUUGGCUGCUCCUCUUCAGGAUAAGGAAAGUGUGGCAAAACUCGUGAAGCUGAUAGAUGAAAGCAAUGGGUACAUCUAUGCUGGCAUGGAUGCCAGGGCAGUUGAAUUCAGCAAGAUUGCCGUUCGCGAUGUUGAUUGGGAUUAUUUCGGAUAUCCUUCUUUUCACCUAUUUUCAAUCUUGUUAUUCUCAUAUUCAUAAAACAUUUUGGUUAUUUAAUUAUGGUUCAUCAUAUGCAUCUGCAUCUUCUAACUUGUUCGUUUGAGAAACUAAUUUUGCCGUUAGGUAGGCUUCAAGCUUGAUUCAUGCUUUUUUCAAAAAUGUACCAAAAUCAUGGAAACUUCUUUUUCCCAGAUAUUGUAUCCACACUUUUCCCAUAUAAUUGGGUCAGACAAGUUUUGCUUAACAAAGAUAUCUACAGUAGCCGAAGUGCAGGAGAAGUACAUUAAGGAUGAUGACGAUGUUAACUAAAAUGGGACGUGAAGAUAUGUGGUGUGCAAACCGUAAGCCUGCCUCUUAUUUUUGUGCAUGUUUACUUGCUUGUGAUUCACGUUUGUUAAUCUAUUUUGCUCUCUUGCAGGAGUUAUAAAGUUUUCAAUCAAUCAAACAUUUAACUCAAGUCCUUAGCUCUUCACGGCUUGAAUGGGUCAGAUAGGACAAGCGCCGAAGAGGUGGUUUUAAUCAAACCCCUCCUAAUUAUGAUGUAUGGUCCAAAUCUCGGACUUUCUGUACAAUAUCGAGCGAUUCGGACCUUUCAAGUCGAAUAUUGAUUUUUCUCCAGUAUUGUUUGUAAUUACAAGAAACGAAGUAAUGAAAUUUAUCACUGCGUUCAUAGUUAUGCUUAAGCUCAAAGAUUACCGUCAAGAUCAUUUUGGGCCCUCAAAGAAACAUGAUGUUGACACAUGUAAAAUUAUGAAGCUUGUGAUUAAAAUACUUUUGACAUAUAUAUGUUAAGUACUAUUAAUAAUUAAACAUAUGAAUAAAUAUGGUCAAUGAGGAGAGGAUAAAAUAAAAUGGUUUCAUUUUUUGAAUUACUCAACCGCUUCAAACUUCUAAGAAGUAGAUAUACAAUGAGUGGAAUACUGAAUUGAGUGCGAGCUGCGGAUAACUUAUAAAAUUGGGAUGCAAGCUUCAAGGAAAGUGUAUUGCUAUUCAAAUGUAGAUUUCAAAUUAGGAAGAUAUGCCAGCAAAUUGUAUAAAAAUGUAUAAAUUGAUCAGUAACAUUAAUUCCAAAUGAUGAAAUGAGUUAUCUUGAUCAAAAGGUCAAGAACCUACCUUACUUCUCUUAGAGAUAACUUGCAUCAACCGUUGUGGUAUUCAUACUUGUCUUCAGCUAGUAAAAGUGAAAGUUUCACAAUUGAAAUAAAGCUAAGGGAAGAUGCUAUGCUGCAUUUAUUAUUAUUAUUAUUGAUGUGGUCGAGAAGUAAAGCCAUGCAUAUGAUGAAGUAUAAAUAAGAAUGCAAUAGCCCGGAAUUCAUUUUCACAAACACUUCAAUAUCCUUUUGAUCACUUUUGCAAACAUCAAUUUGUCUCCUCUUGUAUUCACCAUGGUUGAUGCCGUCAUUUCCCCUCUCGUGGAGCAGCUGACUUCCUUCGCUGCUAAAGAGAUAAUACAACAGGUGAUCGAAGUUAAACCCCCCAUAUUAUAAAUACUUCUAAUGAUUUUAAUUGGUUUUGUUUUUAUCGAAAACAUUAACUUUGCUUUAUUUUACUUAUUUAGGCAUUUUAAAUUUUGAAAUUUGAAUUGAAUUUAAUUAAAAUGUGAUGUAGUUAGUAACCACUUUUUUUUAUUUCAUUUAAAUUCUCAAUAACUACCUAUAUUUUGGUAACUUACUGUAACCCCCGUAUCUAAGAAAUGAUCAAAACCCACAAUUUUAACUCCACAUAAAUAUUCCAUGUUGAGCUAAGUUCGAUGUUGAGGUAAGUUUUUGCAUAACAUUCAAGUUUGUCAAAUAGUCAUUAAUUAAAUGUUUAGUAAAAACUUAUCUCUGAAAAAUUUCAUAAUUUUCUUACAUUCUUUGAGUUUGGUAAGUGACUUCAUAUAAUUUCCUUUCAAUUUAAAUUUUAAUUUGGUUUCUGAUAUAGUCUCUUUACUGAAUUUAUAUCUUUUAUGAUUCUUGGAUUUGGGGCUCCAACUUUUUAGGAUUUGAUAGUCACAUUUUAUGGCAUGCUUAGAUUGAUUUUCAUGAUUUUUAGUACUCGUUAAGUGACUGAGAAUUUGACAAAAGUUUGAAAGGAAAUCCGUUUCACGAUUCUUAUGUGGAAGGUUCAUAAAAUCAUUAAAUUUGGAUAGGAUUCAUUAGCAAUAUGUACAAGACUCUCCAUGAAGUUUCGUAAUUUUUCAUUCGGUCUGGGGUGGUACAGGUAAAGCUUGUGGUUGGUGUUGAAAAAGAAGUGAAAAGCCUUACCAGCCACCUUCAAGCCAUUCAAGCUGUUAGCGAUGAUGCAGAGGAAAAGCAAGUGAAGGACAAAGCUAUUAGACUUUGGCUGGGUAGGCUCAAGUACGCAUCCUACGACAUUGAAGAUGUGUUGGAUGAAUGGAUCACGGCAAGAGGCAAAUUGCAAAUUAAGGGUGGCGCUGAUAAGAAAAAGAAGGUUUGUUUCUGCUUUCCCGCCUCUUGUUUUGGAUUCAAACAAGUCUUUCUACGUCAUGACAUUGCCAACAAGAUCAAAGAAGUCAGUGAAGAGCUACAUGAUAUUGCCACCCAAAAAGACAUGUUUAAAUUUGAGAGUAGCAGUAAAAGUAGUGAAAGACCAAGGCGUGUGCAGAGUACCUCCUUGAUUGAUGAGGAAGAGAUUUGUGGUAGAGUUGGUGAGAGGAAUGCACUCUUAAGCAUGCUGUUGUGUGAGAGCAGUGAGCAACAAAAAGGCCUUCAUAUCAUCUCAAUUGUUGGUAUGGGAGGCAUCGGGAAAACAACUCUUGCACAACUAGCAUGUAAUCAUGUUGAGGUAAAGAGAGAGUUUGACAAAAUUUUAUGGGUGUGUGUAUCAGAAACUUUUGACGAGUUUAGGAUUGCCAAAGCGAUGCUUGAAGCUUUGACUGGUUCAACUUCUAAUUUAGAUGCAUUGCAAUCUCUUCUUAUAAGUAUUGAUGAAUCUAUUGCGGGAAAGAGAUUUCUUCUUGUCUUAGAUGACGUGUGGGACGGAGAUUACAUUAAAUGGGAACCAUUCUACCGUUGCCUAAAGAAAGGUCUCCAUGGAAGUAAAAUUUUAAUUACGACACGUAAGGAGUCAAUUGUGAGCAUGAUGAGAUCCACAGAUAUUAUCUCUAUCAAGGAAUUGGCUGAAGAAGAAUGUUGGGCAUUGUUUAAGCGGUUAGCAUUUUUCGGUCGUUCCACUGAGGAGUGUGAAAAAUUGGAACAAACUGGUCAAAGAAUUGCAAGAAAGUGUAAAGGUUUACCUCUUGCUGCAAAGACAAUGGGAAGUCUCAUGAGCUCUAAAAAAAUUGAAGAAGAGUGGAAAAGAAUUUUAAAUAGUGAUUUAUGGAAGGUAGAAGAGAUCGAGAAAGGUGUUCUAACCCCUUUGUGGUUGAGUUAUAACGAUUUGCCAUCUAGAGUAAAAAGAUGUUUCUCGUAUUGUGCUGUCUUUCCAAAAGACUACAAUAUAGAAAAAGACAAACUAAUUACUUUGUGGAUGGCUCAAGGUUAUCUUAGUGCAGAAGCAGCAGAACAAGAUGAGGAGUUGGAGACUAUAGGUGAAGAGUAUUUUGGCAUCUUAGCUUCUCGCUCUUUCUUUCAAGAGUUUGAGAAACGUUAUGAUAAUCGUAUUAUAGCGUGCAAGAUGCAUGAUAUGGUACAUGAUUUUGCCCAAUUUGUUAGUCAAAAUGAAUGUUUUUCGUUGGAAGUUAAUGGUAGUGAGGAACUAAACGUCACAAACUCUACAAACUCUCUUGAUGAGAAGGUCCGUCAUUUAAUGUUAAUCUUUAGUAAAGGGGCUUCAUUACCGGUUUCCACUCUUAGAGUUAAAAGAAUGCGUACCCUCUUAAUUAACGAUAGUAGAUCUGAUCAUUCAUUAUUAAAUGGUGAGAUCCUAGAAGAAUUAUUUAGGGAGUUGACAAGUUUAAGGGCAUUAGAUUUUGGCAAAUCGUAUAACUCAAGUUGGUAUUCGACUCUGGAGAUUCCGAGAAACAUAGAAAAGCUGGUACAUUUAAGAUACCUUAAUUUGUUUUAUCAGGGAAUAAAGAAACUACCGGAGACAUUAUGCGAGUUGUAUAAUCUAGAAAAGUUAGAUAUUAGUUUAUGUUUUAAUCUUAAAGAAUUACCUGAAGGGAUUGGGAAGUUAAUAAACAUGAAGCAUUUACGAAAUAGAGGUACUAGUUCUUUAAGGUACAUGCCAGUAGGGAUUGGGAGAUUAACGGGUCUCAGGACCUUGGAUGAGUUCCACGUGAGUGGAGGAGGAGGUGUUGAUUGUAGGAAAGCAUGUAGGCUUGAAUCUCUCAAAAACUUGGAAAACCUUCGAGUGUGUGGUAUAUGUAGACUGGGUGAUGUAUCAGAAGUGGGCGAGGCUAAGCGAUUAGAACUUGACAAAAAGAAAUACCUCUCUUGUUUGAGACUUCGGUUUGAUAAGAAGAAAGAAGAAGGAGAAAGGAGGAAGAACGAGUACGAUCAACUUCUUCUUGAAGCCCUACAACCACCUCUCAAUUUAAAGGAAUUAGAGAUAGAGUACUACCGAGGCAACACUGUUUUCCCCAGCUGGAUGACGUCAUUAACCAACUUAAAGAGUUUAGAUCUCUCUUCCUGUGAAAAUUGCGAGCAGCUGCCUCCUUUGGGAAAAUUGCCAUCCCUUGAAAAUCUCCACAUAUAUCGCAUGGAGAGUGUGAAAAGAGUGGGUGAUGAAUUUUUGGGGAUAGAAAGUGAUCAUCAUGGCUCAUCUUCAUCGGUUAUUAUUGCCUUCCCCAAAUUGAAAUCACUCACAAUUUCUUUGAUGCUGGAAUUGGAGGAGUGGGAUUAUGGGAUUACAAGAACGGGAAACACCGUCAUCAUCAUCAUGCCACGUCUUUCUUCCUUGACAAUUGGGAAUAGUCCCAAAUUAAAGGCACUGCCCAACCACAUUCAUCAAACGACAACAUUGAAGACAUUGCGCAUUUGGAGGUGUGACCUUCUGGAAGAACGUUACCGCAAGGGGGAAGGAGAAGACUGGCCUAAGAUAUCACACAUUCCCAAUCUCCAUUUUGGGCUUUGACAAGUAAUUUCUUCUCUUACUCUGAUUUGCUUUGUUGUUGUUUUUAAUCUAAUUAAGAAGCGUAAAUAGCAUUUUGAAUCAAACUCUAUAUCAGAAAUCUGCAAUACUUACUUUCUAAUAUUCUGAUUUUCAUAUCCUAUGAAUAUACGAUUUUUAAUUUGUGGGAUGGGUAACGUUACUGUAAAAGAUUAUUAAUGCAAUAUGAGUAAUUCUUUUGCAGGACAAGUGGCCUACAUUUAGUUUGGCUUUGGAGUUGAAUAAUAACCUUUCGAGGUCCCGACAACCAAAAAACGAAACUUAAUUUGCCACAGAUUGCACGUAUUGCCAUUAUUGACAAUUUUCUGCACAAGCUUAGGUUGAUGUCAAAAGAGGUAAAUUAUUGGCAUGCCUGACUAUUUUGACCAUUACAUGAUUCAUAAGUUUACAUUAAUUUUGAUUUUGAGUUGAGUGAUUAAUUUUCUAGGUUUGCUUACUUUAACUGGGUGACCAAUUUCUUGUAACCAAAUGUAUGAUGUGAUGCAGGAAGCAGGGCAGGACAUGAAAAGAGAAGCUUAUUAGAGGAAGGAUUGCCAGUAACAGAAUCCAAAGAAAAAGAAACCAUUUCGAGGCAGCAGUUGGCAGUUGGCAGUGAAUGGAGCCCCUUGAAAAAACCCCCAAGCGGUUGCACUGCAAUUACGAUCAUCCUCGGCCUCAGGUAAUUUCUUCUCCUGCAUUUUUGUUAUUUGCUAUCAAGUGACUAUUUUAAGUAUGAUUGCAUUAAGCUGCUGCUGGGAAAUUUGAGGUUUUGAUGACUGCCCAUGCUAUUGUAAGAAGCUGCGGUUCUUUUCAUCAGCCUGAACCUGGACCUGCCGCUAUGGAUAACUCAGUUUUUCUUUUUUUUAAUCAACUGCCAUCUUUUCCACUGUUUAGAAACUCUUUAAGAUUAAACUUUAGUAAAGUUGUUUUAGUUAUUCAUGUAAUCAGGCUGAGGAUACUUAGCUGCCUAUUUAGGCAAAUGUCAGAAUUUAGUUUGUUCGCUGGGUACUGGUGGGGACUGGCAAAGGAUGAUGAGAUAGUUUUUUGAGUGAGUAAAUUUUGGGAGCUUGAGUGUAUUGGGAUUUGCAAUUACAAUCAUCGUCUGCCUCAGGUGAUUCUUUUUCCUGCUCUGUCAUUGUUUGUUCUCUAAUUCAAAAGCAUAAAAUAUUUCAAUCAAUUUUUAUGCCAGGAAUAUGCAAAAGUUUCUAAUAUUUUAUUUCCAUCUGUUACAAGAUCAAACUGAAGCAGAACUCAAACAAAAGUAUGCUACUUCUUGCGGAAAUCUUGCCUUUGUUCAGAUUAUGAAACCAUUUCCAUGCAGCAAAUUCAUCCAAAAGUUUGAAUAAGUUUCACGGUUGGACACUGUUGGCUUCUUUUUCUUCUGGGGUGCAUUUAGGUGCUAUCAAGUGACAGCUGUAAGUAUGAUUGCACUAAGCUGCUGCUGGGAAAUUUGAGGUUUUGAUGGCUGCCCAUGUUAUUUUCAAUAAACUAUUGAUGUAAGAAGCUGUGGUUCUUUUCAUCAGCUUGAACCUGAAACUGUCGCUAUGGAUAACUCAGGUUUUUGUUAUCAACUAUAUCAUCUUUUUCACUAUUUUGAAACUCUUAAGAUUAAACUUUAGUAAAGUUGUUUCAGCUAUUCAAAUGAAAAACUCAUUGAUUUGAGAAUUCCUUCAUUAUUGUUUCUAAUUACAAUGCUAACGAUCCAGAUAAAAUAAUAUUUAAUCGGCGAAGGUGUCCCUUGGAAGUACAUCCUUCUUUUUCUUUUAUUAUAUCAAUUCUUGCAAUGAGCUUAGUGAAGCUGUUGUGCUAAUCAUGCCACUGCAUAAUUUGGCCCCUAAUGUGGGUACUCUGUUACAUUGUUCUGCAAAUUCUCCAGAAGUUAAAAUCAAUAAAUUUUCUAUUAGCUCUAGUGCUUUGACCUAAAUGCUAUUCUAUAUUCUGAUUACAAUGUUUUAACCUUUAAAUUAACUACCCCUAGAUGUUGGAUUUUCUAGAACUUCAAAAUGAUUAAUGGAGAAAGAUCCCAUUAUCGUUAUUGCUAUAAGAAAUUGAUUUAUGCAUCCAAAGAUACAUUAUAUAUUUCUGUGUCUCUAUUUAUAGAUGACAUUUAAGCAUCCAUAAACCGUCAGACAGAGGAAGGGGGUUCAGUGCAAAGAUUCUGUUGACCUAGGGUUGACUGCAUAUGUCACUUGUUCGCAAUCUAUUAUUUAUUUUAUAUUUUGAAGAAUUUAAUGGGUAAUCCUAAUUGUUUGUUUUGGCAGGUAUGUGUUGUUAUCUCCUUCUAUCUAACAGUCGUACCUAAAUAGCAUAGUUUCAUCUGUGUUACCAUGUGAUGUACAUAAUUUCACAUUUGCCUCAGAUUAAGCUUAAUUUCCCACAGAAUAGAGCUGUCGCGACUGGACUUAGGUUGAUGUCCAAAGAGGUAAAUUAUUGGUAUGCCUAGAUAAUUUGGCCAUUUCCUAAUUCAUAAGUCUACAUUAAUUUUGAUUUUGAGUUGACUGAUUUCUUUUCAAGGUCUGCUUCCUUAACGGAGUGACCAAUGUUUUUCAACUAAAUUUAUCAUAUGAUGCAGGAAGCAGGGCAGGAUAUGCAAU
rnacentral:lncRNA from 1 species